GGCUUUAGAAUUUGGUUGUAAGGUGGGUAGCCUCCCUUCCUCUUAUUUGGGCCUCCCCUUGGGUACACUACUUAAUUCUGUGGCAGUUUGGGAUGAAGUGGAGGAGAGGUUUCAUGAAAUGUUGGCUAUGUGUAAGAGACAUUACAUUUCCAUAGGAAGGGGAAGUAUCUUGAUUCGACUCACUUAGACUAGUUUUCCAAUUUAUUUUAUGUCUUUACUUUGCAUGCCACAACUGUCAAGAUUGAGGCUAGAGCACAUUCAAAUAGAUUUUCUGUGGGGAGAUAGGACUUUCGAGCGAAGACCACAUCUAGUCAGAUGGGCGAUUGUUUGUUCAAACAAAAAGAAAAGGUGAUUGGGAGUUAAGCAUCUUUCAUCUCUCAAUUAUACUCUCCUAUGUAAAUGGAGUUGGCAAUUUUGUGAGUGAGAGAGGGGCCCUUUGGAAUCAAGUCAUCAACGGGAAGUAUGAGGAAGAAGGAGGGGGUGGUGUUCUUAGGAAGUGAGGGAGGGGUAUGGUGUCGGGUUUUGGAAUGCGAUAAGAAAGGAUUGGAACCUUGUGCAUAGAAGGAUCUCGUUCUUAAUGGGUAAUGGGCAUAAAGUGAACUUUUGGAAGGAUAAGUGGUGUGGGGACAAUUCUUUAAGUGUCACAUUCCUUUCAUUGUCUGCUUUAGCUGUUUCUAAGUUUGGAAUUACUCAGUUGAAGAGGGUGGGGGGAGUCCUUGCUUCUCUAGAUCUUUCAAUGAUUGGGAGGUGGAUUUUGUAGAGAGAUUUCUAUUGUGUUUGCAUGGGAAGAGAGUGUGUAGGGAUGAGGAAGAUAUGGUGCAGUGGAUAGAGACAAGGAGUUGCAAGUUUACAGUUAAGUCCCUCUAUAACAUCUUGAAGCCAGACAAUUCGGUUUGUUUUCCAUUGAGAAUUAUUUGGAACUUGUGGGUGCAACCUAAACUAUGUUUCUUUGCUUGGGAGGCAACAUGGGGAAAUGCUUUAACAUUAGAUGAAGUCCAAAGAAGAGGGUGGUCUUUAGUGAAUAGAUGUUAUCUUUGCUAAUUGGAUGAAGAAUCUAUUGACCACAUUCUUUUGCACUAUUUAAAGACAAGGGUUUUAUGGGAGUUGCUCUUUACGCUUUUCGAGGUGUCUUAUGUGCUUCCCUCGUUGGUUAGAGAGACACUUUUGGGUUGACAUGGUUCAUUUGUGGACAAAAAAUGCAAGAAGGUUUGGAGAGCAAGACCCUUAUGCAUCUUUUGGACGGUUUGGAAAGCAAGGGAUGGAAUCGCUUUCGAUGAUUAAGUGCUUUUGAUCCAAAGGCUUAAAGGCUCUUUUGUUUGCUUUCUUUGGUUGGAGAUUAAGAUGUUAAUAAAUGAUGGUUCUUUGACUCUAGUUAGUUUCUUUGAUUGGUAGAGCUCUUGUUGAGGGUGGUGGUGUUGUUGCCUUUCCUUUUUUGUAGAUCCUCCUCUUGUUUGCGCCUUUUUGCUUUGGGUGUAUGCGUCCUGUAUUCAUUGGGCCACUCUUUUGGCGUCUCUUUUUAAUAUAUAUAUAUAUAUAUAUAUAUAUAUAUAUUUAUCUAUCAAAAGAAAAAAAAUAAUAACCCCCCCCAUAGUUGUAUCAAACCAAUCAUAUUUUUUUCUCAAUGAAUUUCAUGUAUAGCAAAUCAUUUCUGAUAGAGUUUCUAGCUAGCUAAUGCAGUAUCCUUAACCUAUUGAAGGUAUUAAAGAAAUUAGUUCUUAUUGGAAACUUCUUGCAGGUUGCAUCUUGGUGGGACUAUGGUUACCAAACUACUGCUAUGGCUAACCGGACUGUUAUUGUGGACAAUAAUACCUGGAAUAACACUCAUAUUGCAACUGUUGGCACUGCCAUGUCUUCUCCUGAAAAGGCAGCUUGGGAAAUUUUUAACUCCUUGGAUGUAAAAUAUGUUCUUGUUGUCUUCGGAGGUUGGUUUCUUAGUUGUUUUCUGAGAUCAUCUUGAUAAAAAAAUAUAAUCACUACACUCUGAUGUGCUGCCUACUUUUCAGGUCUUGUUGGAUAUCCGAGUGAUGACAUUAAUAAGUUCCUGUGGAUGGUUCGCAUAGGAGGGGGGGUAUUCCCCCACAUCAGGGAACCUGAUUAUCUGGUGAGUUGUUGGUCGCUUGUAAUAUGGAUUCUAAGUAUGUGUCCUUUGGGUUCUUAUUGCUGGUGUAUUGUUGCUACACUGGUUUCAAGCUUUGUUCCAUUUGAGAUUCCAAAUAUUUGUCUUGAUUGGCAAUAGACUAACAUUUAAGUUGAAUCUCACUUGAUGGUCUCACAUCAUUGGUGAAUUUACAUUUGGUUGAAAGUUUACUUUUCUUGAUGGCUUUAUUGUGGUGAAUAUUGGAAACAGCUUGGAUUUGUUUAAUUUCCAUGGAAGGUCCAAAUAGUCCAUGAGAAUUAAGCUUUUAGGGCCAGCUAUAGCUCAAAUCUGGGCAACUUGAGCCUCAGCAUAACUCAGCCUAUUCCAAUUAAGGGCAUGCUCAGUCCGCCCAUCUUUUAGGCCUAUUAACUUCAAUGAUCUAGAUAAAACAUGCUAGGGUAUUUAGUUGUACAACAUAAUUUUCAUAUUUCUGUUUGUUUUAAGCAUCAAUUGUUAUCUUCGUGUUUGUAUAAAUUAAAUUAUACAAAGCCUAAUGUGGUUUGGUUUUCCUUGUGCAUAUCAUUAAUUGUUUUACCAUUAAUGUUGGAUGUUGCUUCAAUGUGGCUAAGAAAAUGAUAAUGUUUUCUACUAUUUUUUAUUUUGUUUGAUCAAUUAUAUUAAAUUUUAACUACUUGUCUCUUAUCCUGCUGUUUAAAAGAGAGAUGGACAGUACCGGAUUGAUUCUCAAGCCACUCCUACCAUGCUAAAUUGCCUCAUGUACAAACUGUCAUAUUUCAGGUCUGCUUUUGCUUUGGACUUGGUUCUUCAUAUGUAAAGGUUAUGCUUGGGUUGGUGUUUGAUACAUGAUUAUUUCUGUCUGUUUUCUUUUAGAUUUGUGGAGACAGAUGGUAAAGGCUUUGAUCGAGUAAGGCGGACUGAAAUUGGGAAGAAAUAUUUCAAACUCACCCAUUUUGAGGAGGUUAGACAAUCUAAAUCCCCAAUUUGGCAGUAGUGCAUAAAAUGGAGUAUGAUCAGUUGUUGUGCCUGUCAGGCUGUCACAACUUAUUUGAGAGUUAAAACUUGGAACACUUGUCAUAGACUCAUAAUAUGGUGGUGCCCUGGGAUGUAGUUCAGUGAUAGUUCAGGUUUCAAGUUUGAGCCUCUUUGAUAUUUAAGUUGUGUAGGAUAGAAGAAGAAUGGUCCAUAUCACCUGAGAUUUGUUUCGCCAGGUGAUACAUGUCUUGCUGUUAGGGUGGAUUCCCCAUGAUCAGGAAAAGAGGGGAAAAAAAGGAACAAAAUUGUUAUAUGUGGUGCUUAUUAUUGUAAUGUGAGUGUUGGACGCCCCAUCCAAAUGGCAUGUAUUUAAACUUGCCACACAGGAAUCCUAGAGACAUGUCUUUUGACGUACACCAACCCUUCCGAGAUUAGGAAUUUUCGUUUGAAUAAUUUUCCCUAUAACGUCCCAUGUCUGUUCUGAUUAACUUUCCAUGGUUUAUACUCAAUGAAGGUGUUCACUACUCACCAUUGGAUGGUUCGGAUAUACAAACUAAAGCCUCCGAAGAACAGGAUCCGUGUAAAAACAAAGAAAUCAAAAUCGGUAUGCAUGAUAAACACCUGUAGAUUGUAUUCGUUUCUGAUUCAGUGCAAAAUUACCCACUGACCUUUUGUUGCCUCUUCCCUUUGCAGAAAGCAAGCUCCACAACCAGCUCAAAAAGAAGUGGAAAAAGAAAGAAGAAUCCCUGGCAAUGAAAGGCACUUUCAGAAGCUGCUGUCUCCAAUUAGUUACUUGGAACCCACAUAUUUAAUAUGCUUGAGCCCCUAGAGAGCUAGUGCACCAGCAUUAUUAGCCAUUUUUCUUAUAGAAAAGCAAACGUAUCAAUCAAAGAUUUUGUAGUCUUUUCCCAUCGUGAACUUUUUUGGCUCGCACCCUUAACAUAUGACGAAAGAAUGCAUUGAUCAAUUUUGGAACAGUUCCUUUGGCUUGGUUCCACGUGUAACGAUGAGUGGGCAUAUUAUAUACAGCCUAUUGAGAGAGAGCUUGUGCCUGAAAAUGCAUGGUAAGUAAUUGCAUCAAUAGUGAGUUAAGAUUCCAUAAAUAUUUCUCAUCAUUUUUCGCAGAUUCUUGAGAUAUGGGCUCUUUGGCCUUUUACAAAAGUUGACAGACAUUCUAGAUUCUAUUUGUCUUUUGAGCUGAGCAUAUCUUUGCAGUUAGAACCUAAAAUCCAAUCCAAUAUAUUAUAUCAUGAUGGUGAUGCCAUAUAGCCUAUACAUUUUUAGUUAUAACAUAAAGUACUUUCCAAUAGUGUGCAUUUUCAAAAUUUAUUGAGUCUCCAACAGUGCGCAGAGGAAGCACAUACAGCAGAUUCAGUGACAGAAGAGGUAGGACUUAGGAGAGUGCCUGAUUCUGUUCUCCCUACCCAUCAAGAAAAUAAUUUAAUCCUCAACUCCGUUGAGGAAUUGUGCAUGAUAGACGGAGUGUUGGAGAGCUUGGAAGAGUCGAAGUGAUUUUAGGACUAACACUUGGCAAGCCAUUUUUUAUGAUCUCACAAUUUUUGUUUAGAUAAUAGUAUUAAAUUUUUUUACUAAAAGUGCUAUUCAAGGUAUCAUUUGGCCUUAAUCCAAAGCACUAAUUCGUUCUCUUAAAAGUAAUUUCUACAGCAAUUUUAUCGUGGUCAAUCCCAAACGGGCCUUUAUUAUGAUUUCUAUAUCCAUAUCCUCUCUUUCAUUAUAUUUCUCUAUUCAAUUUCUUCCUUUCAUUUUCCCUCUCAUGUGGGAUGGGUAAACUUUGCACUUUCUGAAGUCAUCUUUAAUGUCUGAACUGAGUGGUAUCCUCCUUAAGUAUUUUCUACUAACUCAGAAUGACCUCAGUGACAAAAGCCAACCACUUGAAGUAGAGGUAUAAAAGUAAAUUGCAUUCACAGCUGAUUUUGUCCCCUAUUUUCAAUCAAGUCACAGCUAACAAUUUUAUAUAUAGCAUUCAAAUUGCAUUCCACUCCACAGACUAUACAACAUUCAGAUGCAAAAUUGUCUUCUUACCCUUCCAGAAAGCCUAUAUCAACCCAAUCAUUCAAAACUAGGGCAUAGAAUUGCCAAAAGUACAGAAACAGAAUGCCACCUUAUGAAUCUCCACUGUAAAAUUAUCAAUCCUUUCUCAUGUCAUUCAACAUUGUUUUCACAAUUUUCUCACUUUCAUACAAGGAGUAUAUAUUAAAAAAACAAAAAAACCGAAAAAUAAGUUAUAUAGCCAACAAAAGGACUUUACCCAGUUGGACGAACAUUUGUGAAUGAGAUUGAUGGACAGGGUUUCUACUGGAUAUGAGGUAGUUGGCUGAAGAAGAGAAAAAAUGAUCACUGAUGUCUGCACACUUUCCUUGAGCAUAGAAACUCCCAAGCUUUAUUAAUCUUCCAAACCAUCGAUCAAAUACACUAUUCUGAGUGAGACAGUGGAGAGGGCAUCUCAGCAAAAAGAAUCCAACAGUAAAUUUUACUAUACAGGAGCAAUAUUUUAUUCCUAAAGGUGACGAGCUUUGAUCUUGAAGCCCAAAUUAAUAUAUAUAUACUAGGAGCUUCUGGCUUCUCCCGGGUGUAAUAAAAAGUGAGCUACAAAAUGACCCAGAGCAGUUCCCACCUAAGAAUUACCUUCAUCUGGUCAUUUUCUUGACACCUCAUAAUUGUUACAGUUUCUUAGGCAGGUUGUAAUUUUUCUUAAGAAACUUUGCAGCCAUGUCAUCAUGCCGAUAACACAAAACUCUCAAGACUGUGUUGGGUUCAGUUGGGUUCCAUUGACCAGAAGUUGGAGGCAAUGGAAGCCUGGAUUUAGCAGAAGAGCCAUAGGUCUCCAGACUUACACUUCUGAAUCGCCCAAUUAGGCUCUCAGUAUCGCUAUGGAAAAGGAGAAGGAUACUUUUUACAAUGGUUGAAUGUUUAUCUAUUAAUUCAGUUGGAAGUCCAUCCCCAUUGGCCCAGAAUAGCUCCAUAAGAAACUUGAAAUCCUCCUCUAUUAUUUCAGAAUCUUGCAAUGUGAAUGCACGAGAAGGGCCUCCAGCAAGCAAAACCAACAAGAACCCAUCAAAAGAAGCUCUCAUUAUGUCAGUAAUAACACGUGUUCUGACUCUGUCAUGAACUGUGGUUGAGACAAUCUCCAAAAUUUGCUCAAGCUCCUGAAGCAAAGGCUCAAUUCUAGAAGAUGAAACUUCUCCCACAUAUAAACCAUCCCAAAAAACAUGACUCAAAUCAUGGAAGAUAACUUUGUAAGCAGUUGCCUCACAUAGCUGUUGGAUCCCUUCCAGACAAGCAGCUGCUGAAAGCUCAAAUCUUUUUCCCAAUCCAUCUGCAUUAUCCUCCACAUGAGUGGAUUCACAAUUCCUUAGAUGUGUAACUAUCCUCUUCUCCAAAACUUGCAACUCUUUUCGAAUAUGCUGCAAAGUAUUAAUACGGACACAUAGCUGUGGAAUCGCAAAGGAACCAUCCCCAUUCGUAGUCCCGACCUGGGCUUUCCUCCUCUGAGCUAUAUGUGGCUUUUCCUUCUUUUUAAAUGCACCAAAUUUUGAUCCUGUUGAACAUCUGGUUAAAGCAGGCAGGGUGGGAAUGAAGGUACUUCGGGUCCCUGCAGAUCACAAAAGAUAAAAAGUACCAUUAAAGAGAUUAGAACUUCAAACUAAAAUGCAUGAAGGUUAUGCAACACUUACCGCAGCCAGAUUUUGCCUUGGAUAUAUAUUGUUGAAGACAUCUGUCAAGACCAGUCAAUAAGUCAGGAAGCAGAACUGGAUGAAUUUGUAUUGGCAACAGAAAGAAUGCUUCCACUGUUUCAUCUAUGAUUCGAAGAACUUCAACAGCAGAGGGAGCAAAACGCUCUUUGUUCGCCUGAGGGUUCCAUACCUAGAGAGAAGAUGUAAGGUUAGGUCAUGGAAAACUAGUAAUCAACAAGUUUCACCAAAUGAGAUCAAAUGGAAAAUGAUAAAUAAUGUGUUCGAUAACUUUAUUUCCAGAUGGAUGAAGCCAAGAUUGCAGGUUUCUAUAAUUUUUUUUUGCAGUUUAGCUACAGGCCCAGCAGAUUUUUCCCAUUGCACAUUUGGGUCCUCAUCAAAAAUUUUGAAGGUAUAAUAUCUUUAUCCAAACUGCAUGUUUAUUUCUUUUCUUUUAUGGACCUCCUUAUGCUUGACAUUAUGCAUGAUGUGAUUGAAUAGAACCUGGAAUAAGUUAGAUUCUCAUAGCAUGGCAAGGGAUAGCAUAAAACUAUAUAAGGGAAUGUGUAGUCAUGCUAACAGAAUCAGGUCAAUAUAUGGGCAGAUUUUUUGAAUCUCAAACGAUAUCAAUCCAAAAUGAACCUGGAUAAGGAUCAGCAAGCGUAGGCUGGAUCCAGAAGUCAAUCUACUACAACAGGACAGACACAGUCUAAGGCCAGGGUGGGGGUGGGACCACAUGGUGGUUGGAAGGAAAGAAACAUCACAUACCUCUUGUUGCAGAUUCCUGUCAACCCAUUCUUUCAGUAUGUCCAAUCUCGUUCUUAUCCAUGACUUAACCAGCUUGGCAACUACAGCUUCAGCUUCAUAAGGAGGCAUCGCCUGUAUAAUUGACUUUCCACCAUCCUCGCUCUCCACUGAAUCUGCAACUGCAAUCAGCACAAGAUCUUUCUCCAAUUUGUCAGCAGAUUUCAACACUUGCAAAGCAUCAGGUGUCAACUCACUGAUGCUCGAAACAAAUUGCUUCAGCUCAUUCCCAUAGCAAGCAUGAAGAGUGGCCACAGCUACACCUGCUGCAAGAGGGUGCCAUUUCUUCAGUAUUGGACUAAACAUCCCUUUCUCAUUAAAAGCCAGUUCGCUAAUGUCUUGUGCAAGGAUGGAAAGGACAGGAAGAGAAUUUUUCCGAUUUUUAGAUAACUGCCUCAUUGAGUCCACCUUCUCCAUUCUCUGUGUUAAGGCACGUAAAACAAAACCUUGAGUAAUAUGUUUAAUAGGAAAUCAGCAAGUGAGCUUGGUUAAAAUAAAUAAAUAAAUAUAACAAGAAUUAGAGAAAAAGUUCAAUUAGAAAAUUUACAUGACCCAAUGUCCAUCAUCCUGAAACAUACCCUGUGGACGCAUAUAGGACAUAUUAGCCAUCUGUAUUGCAGCCACAGUGACCAAUUCAGAGUUCAGAAAAAUUAUGGAAUGGAGAAUGAUACAAGAUUUAGGAAUUAGAAAAAUAUCUUGUACGGGUCCUUUAAUAGAAAUUAAGGAAUAGCUCAGGGAGAAGAGCAAGGAUGAAAAGGAUUGCCUUCUCAAAGAAGCAGGAUAGAAUUUCACUGAUUGUAGAUAAUAUGCAAAAAAGGGACUAAUUGUGUAAUAAAAGAAAUUGUACAUGAUUCAAGAAUUUUGGAGAAUGUCAAAACCAAUAAGCUCUAAAUUGGAAAGAUCAAAACCUCAAAUCUUCAGUUUUCAGCAUUGAAUCAAAAACAUGUUCACCAAAGUACUUAAGGCCAUUGGGCUGGUAAUAGAAGUACACUAUAUAUAUUUCAGGAUCAUUAGGACAGUGGACCUUUUGUUCCAUCUCAUAAUACCUCUUUCAUAAAGGGAGAUAUGCUGGAAAGGUGAACAUUUACCUGAGCAAAAGCAGCACGUAGUGAUGACCUGAUAUAUGUGUCAACCCUGUCACGAGCCACAUCAACCUCUUUCCUCUUUCUACGAUACUCAUGAGAGAUAUCUUCAACCAAUAUCUUGGCUGCUGUUACCCCCAGAGAAACAACAAUUUGCAUUAAAUCAAUAUCACCAUUGCAGAAAGUAUCAUGGUAUGUGAGAAGCCUUUUCUCUGCCCAAACCAAUAUUGAGCUCAAUGUAGAACUCAAGGCCUUCAAGUAAACAGGAUCCUUUGUUGCCUUUGCAUCUUUUUCAACUUCCAUCAACAGAUUAUUUACUGCAAACAGCAGGUCAUUUUCCACUUGGCUGGUUGCAAUAUAGCGGUGAAAUAAGACCCAUGCAAAACAAAGAUUAUGCAGCAUCUGGUUCAUUCCAAGGAUCACCCAAGUCUUUUUUAUGAGUUCCAAAACAUCAUCAACCUCUUCAAUAAUAGAUGUUUCAUCAUUAAUGUCAAAACAAGCUUCUAGAAGCAUUUGGUAUAUUCGGAGAUUCAAAGGAGACCCAUCUGCCCAGUGGCAUGUCUCUGAAGCAUGCCCAUCAAACGAUCUGCAUGCAAGAGACAUCACAGCAUUCCGGAGAACUUGCAUUGACUCACUGUUCUUUCCGGUUUCUAUGGGCUUCUCUAAGGCCCCACGAAUAAUCUGACGAAGCCGUUGUGAAGCAGUGUCUGUUUUAUCUAGUGGCAGGUAAGGAUGCAGGACAAGUCCUGCUUCCAGAACCUUGAGAUUUCUUUUCUGCCAGGCUUCAUAUUCUGGCUGCUUCGGAAAAUCUGAUGACUUGAACUGCUGUAAUAGCUCUAGUGGCAGAACUAUGGAUUCUAUUCGUCUUCCAAGCUGAUAUAAGCAAACAAACACAAGCACAUUGAUUGAGCAUACUGAAAUUUAUAUGCCUGUGAAACUACUCUCCCAGAAGAACAGUUUAGAUAUUAAAAUAUUAUUCAACUCGAUGAAACAGGACAUAACAGUAUAUACAAAAUCGAAACAAAAAAAUGUCACAAAAUUAAUGCAAAAAAAAAGAAGAAGAGAGAGAAUAAUAAUUUGUCAUCCUCGGACACCAAAAUUUGGCCAAAUGUAAUAAGAAAAAAAGGCAUUUAAUGCAAAUAAGAAAAGAAAGCAUAUGCUCUGUUUGGUUGCUGAGAAAUCGGUGGAAAAGAACAUUUUUUAUAUGGGAUGGUUUUAAGUUCGCUGAGAAGAUGUGAAAUUUGAAGCUUAACUAGAAUUAUGUAGCUAAAUAAAGUCGAAAUUUUCUUUCCCCCUCCUUUCCCAAAUUUCUCAGCAACCAAACAAAACCUAAAUUCCUAAUUUAGUAACCUAAACUUCAAAAUUUUCCAGAGCAGAGUUCACACCUGCCCCGCAGCGAUCCUCAACAAGCCUCUCCUAAUCCUCGAAUCGGUCUGCUCCGAGACCCUCAUCUGAAGCCUCAUCAACUCCCCAACCGUCACCGGCUUCUUCGACUUCGCCUGAGCCGCGGAGCUCUCCUUGGCCGCACCCCUCUUCGACGACGAAUUCAGCCCCAACGCCUUCUUCACCUUGCUCGCCGCCGUCGAAGUCAACGACCUUUGCAAAGACGGCGGUGCCCCCGAGAACGACGAUGCCCGCUCCGUCUUCUCCGACUGCGAGAUGUAAGUCAAGGGCUUCCCUCCAGAGCUCCGGCCGGCCCCGACAAAGAUCACGUACGCCGUUUCCCGAAGAUCCGAAUCCGAAAGAGAAUUACCCACCUCACCAAACGGGUUAGGGAACUCCAUAGCGGCGGCGCCAUCCACCAUUAUCAUUGUUGUGUGUCUCUUGGACUCCCCAACACCCCUCUCCCUAAAAAUAUUAUUAGCCAUUAUCGUUACAGACCAAACCCAAACCCAAAACCAAACCAAAACCAAAACCAAAACCUACUUUUUGUGUUUCUCUUAAUUCCCCGAAAAAGCAAGAGCGAAAAAGGGGGUGGUGGUGUGGAGUAUUAUUCUUGCUUGACUUUCAAGGAAUUCAUGUUCGCAGACAACACAGAAUGAGAGAGAAAAGUUCAAAAGUUCAAAGUGUUAGAUAUUGGAUUAAGAUGUGAGAAACGCGGUUUCACGCGGCCCCCCUCUGCGCGUGUUCCCCCUCCGCUAUUAGGUACGUGGAAGAUGUUAUGCCAUUUUCUCUCACUUUCUCUUUCUCUUUCUCCACACCCUCCACCCACUUUCAUGGAAACACAAUCCAAUUGGAAUUUUUUGUUUGUUCAUAAUUUAAGGGGAGAAGUUGUAAAAUUUCUUGUUUUUAAUUUAAUUUAAAUUAUUAAAUAUGUUAAGUUUGUAUAUCAUGAUUUAAAAUUAAAAAUAUUUUUUUAUAAAUAAAUUUUAAUAGAUAAUAUGACAUAAUAAUUUAAAUAUAAUUUAUAUUUGAUGUUAUUAAGUUUUACCAAAUGUAUUUUUACAUAAACCCUAUACACUUUUUUUAAAAAAAAUUUUUGAAAAUUUUAAAUAUUUAUUAUUAUUAUUAUUAGUGCGAAUCAAGAAUCAGUUAAAUAAAUUAAGAUUAAUUUUAUUUGUCUCUCUUUAAUUUUUGGUUAAAUAUAUCUAACUCAUAAGUUUGAAACUUUAUCAUACUCCUCUCUUAUUUUGAGUAAGGGGGAGGUAGUUGAAAAUCAUACAUGGAAAAAUAAGAAAGAUAUUUGAUAAAAUUUAAAAAAUAUGGGACUAAAUACAUUAAUACCAAAUUACAAAGAGGUAAAUGAAAUUUAUUCAAUAAAUUAAAAUGGAUGGUAAAAAACAUGGUUUUAAAACCUGGAUUAGACCAGGUCGACGGUCAAAAAACAUGGUUUUAAAAAUUGGACCAGAUCGACAAUCGGUUGAUCACGGUUCCUGUCCAAAUUGGUGAAAUGGAUUGUAAUAUGGUUGAAUUAGAAUCAGAUAUGGUGAAUCGAUGGUUCAACUGUGAGUUAGCCGAUUCAACCAUUUUUUUUUUUUUACAAUGUCAAAACGAUGUGGUUUACCUCUUCUUUCUUCCCAAUUCCUCGCCCACCUAGGGCUGCGCCACCAUCGCCCUCCCUCCCAUUUUCUUUUCUAGUGAUACUUCUUCCCUCUUAUUUUUAUUUUUAUUUACCUUGUUCAUUUUCAUUAUUAUUUAUUUUAUUUUAUAUUUGUUAUUUUUUGAUUUUAUGAUUUUCAAACCUUGUGAUUUUAAUUUAAAUAUAAUUUUUGAUUUUAAAAUAAGUUUUUGAUUUAAAAAUUCUAAUUUUAAAUUAAAAUUCUGAUUUUAGUUUUAAUUUCUAAUUUGAAACUAGUUUUCUCAUUUUCAACUAAUUUUAUGAUUUUCAAAUAAAAUUUUAAAUUUUAAAUUAUAUAUAAAUUAUAUUAUUUUUAUUUUUAUAAUUAUUUUUAAUUUUAAUAAUUUAUAAAUUAUAUAUUUAUGAUAUCACUAAUUUGAUUAGUUAAUCGUGAAACAGUAAUUUUUUGAAAAGAUUGAUAAAAAGUAAAUUUAUUAAAAAGGUUUGAAACAAGUAAACUAUCUUUCAAAAUGUAAAAUUGUAAAAGUAGUUUUUAACGCGGUUGAAGAAGCGGUGUAUUACAAGGGCUAGGGGUGCACGUGGGAUUGGUGGCGCACAACAGGCAUAAUGCGGAGAGGGGCACGUGGCAAGUAGCAACAUCCCCCACACUUUAUUUAUAUUUGUGUUUCCUGGGACAUCCCCGCUAUUUCCGCCUCUGUUUUUUCUUCUUCCAAUCCAAAGAUACUGGGUCCACUCCAUCUCCCCACACCAGGCCAGCCCAGUUUGAAACGUUGAAACUAAAAACAAAUAAAGAAAUCAAUAAUAAAGUUUAUUUUGUGAUGUAACAUCUUAGAAAAGAAAUAAAUCAAAAUCAUAAUAAAAAUAAAAUUUAAAAUUUGAUAUUUAUGCUAAUAAAUUUUAAUUUCCAUUUUUCUUCUAAAAAAUAAUCCAAACAUAUUAAAAAAAUAAAAAUAAAAUUAAUUUCUCAUUCCCAUUUAAAUUUUAAUUUAUAUAUUCAUUCUAAAAAUAUGAUUCAAAUUUCCCGAUUAAAUGGGCUUAUAAUGUAGGUGUAGCCGCCAUGACCAUAGCUUGUGGCAUUUACAAAUGUCAUAAGAAGAAGAAGCCCACACCCAACAAGACUAAUCAAUGUGUUAAUUAUAAUUUUGAUUUUGUUGGUUGGAAAGAGUCAAGUAGAGGAAGGAGUUUGUGUAGAGUAAUUGUAUGGGAGAGAAGAAUUCAAAGAUUAGAAGAGCCUUCGAUUGAAGUGUCAACAAUUAUGAUAAUAAUAAUAAUAAUAAUAGAAGAAAUAUUGAACAAGAAAACAAAGAGAAAAUAAAGUCAAAGCAGAAAGGGUCUUCGUCCAAAUGAUAGUGAGAAACGGUAUAAGGAUUGGGUGGUUGGGGGAGUGUUUGUUUUGGAGCUUCAAGGUGAUUGUCAUCCUUUCAACUCCAUUGAUGAUUGAGAAAGAAGAAGGAAGAGAGGCAGCUGAGGGGUUUUUGAAGGCAGUUUGAAGCAUUGAUUGCGGAGAGAGGACACACCAGCAGGGCCCAGAUUCACGGAAAAUGUCAAUAUGAAAUCACGAUAGUUUAAUAAAUAUAUAAAUAUAUUGAAUCAAUUAUGAGUUUUUGAUAACAAAAUAUAAAUGAAAAAGAUGAAGAUAUUAUAAGGGGACUUGUAUGUGAUGUAAAUGAACCAAAUUUGGUAUAAAAUAAUGAGACUUAAGUUGCGGGUACCAUAUGGAAUUAGUAAUGUGUCUUUUUUUGAGAGGUAUCGAACGAUCAAGGAUGAAAAUAUCGAUAAUUAUAAAUAUAUCGAUACUUUUAUUUAACGGAUAUAUUGACGGAUAUUUUUACAUAAAAUAUCGGUGAACCUAAAAUUGAUAAAAAUUAUAGAAAUAUAAGAAAAAAGACUUAAAAAUAAAAUUAGAAAUAUAAUAGAUAUUUUAAAAUUGUUUUGUUCAAUAAAUUGAUAUAUGUAUAAUAUAAUUUAUCAUAUUUGAUAAUAAUAUUGUAUGUGCUAAUAAAAAAAAUGAAUUUUAUAAGUAUAUAUUUAUUAUUAAAUUAUAUCAAAUAUUAUUCAUAAUAAUAUUGUGAUAUUUGAUUAUAAUAUAUUUAAUUUUAAAAUAUAUUUAAUAUUAAAAUUAUAAUUCAUUUAAUUUAAUUGUAUUAAAUGAUAUAAAAUAAAUGAUGAUAUAUGUAUGAUUUUAAUACUUAAUUAAUAUAUUAAUGAUAUUAGAAACACUAUGAAGAAAAUUAUCACGAGAACUUUUAUGUUUUUGGUAUUCAAAUAUAUGAAAUUUUUUAUUUAAUUAUAAAAUAAAUAUAAUUAAUUUGUUCUUUAAAACAUUUUUUAAAAAUUAUGUUUAUAUGAUAAAUUCGAGUAUAUAUAUGUUUAUAUAUGAAGAGGCAAACUUGUUCUAGUGGUUGGCUCACUGUAGUCCUGCAACGGAAAUUUGAAGCCAUUUUUAAAAGUUUGACCGCAUAGGUUUGUUGAUCGCAUUGAUCCGUGUUUGAUUGCCCAAAAUAUCGCAAUAUAUUGACGAUAAAUUGAUAAAAUGCUAAUAAAUUCCAAGAAAUAGGUGAAAUUCAUGAAACAUUGAUAAAAUAUCGUGGAACUGAUAUUUUCAUUCCAUAUACCGUGUCGGGAUGUUCCGAUACUCGAUAUUUUAAUCACUGUAUAUGACCUCAAUUGUUGAUUGGUAACAACUCAGAGUCAAAGAGGAGAGAUUUAAAGUUUGUUUCAUACUUUUAGAAAAUAUUUUUGUAUAAAAACAUUUUUGAAAAUGAAUAAAGUGUUUAACAAAAUUUAGAAAACACUUUUAAAAAUUAAAAAGUUACUUGUAAUGCCUUCUAAAAAAGUACCUGUUAAUUGAUUCUCUUCAAAAGGUUUUUAGAGAAAAUACCUCAACUAAAAACACUUCAAAUAAAAAUAUUCUUACAUUAAAAUGAGCAAAAAUGAAUUUACGCCUUAUUAGGGUCAAUAUAAGAAGGAAUAGAUUGAGAAAUAACACAUGUUCAAUUUUAGGGGGAAGGUACUCUGUAACUUUGAGGAGGAACCAAGUAGAGCAAUGUCCUCUCUAAAUUUAAAACCAAAUGCUAUAUUAGAAAAUUGUUUUAAGAAGAUUGUUGAGGGCUUGCGUUACCGGGACCACUGCAGAUGCCAGAUGGACGUGCCUUCUCAACUGAAGAUGAUACUUCCUUUAUUUGACCUGCAAAAGAUGUGCGGACAGGGGGUCCGGACACACCCUCCGAUGGUUUUGUUAGCUUUCAUCUCUAACAUUUUAAUAUUCUCACUUGGGCCCUCCUUCUUUGGGAAAGAAUGCUUACCUUCUUUUAUUGUAUGAGGGCCUUUUAUAGUGUCAGGAGCUUUGUCCCCCUUUAAUGGUGGGAAGACUUUUUGGCUUGUCAUGAUGAUGCUAAGAUGGCGGCAGGGCCAUCAUUAUCCUGCAGGCGACUGUUAGAGAUUAUGGGAGGGAUGACUUGUCGUCAUCCUUGUCUUUUUGCUUUGUAGGCGGCGCGGUGCAGGUAGUGACAGGUUGCCUGAAGUGACCCAAGAGAGUCCCAUCGAGCAUGCUUUUACUAGUAUGAAUAAUGAUGGCCCACGAAACGCGGUCAAAACUUUUGUCUAAGACGCUAGCAUUGGGUCCUGACAGGACGUUCGGACAAGGGAGUGUGGAUAGCAUGUCAGUCCCAUGGUCAUCCGGAUGAAGAGUUGAGAGUGCCACGUGCCCUAUGAGGAAAAUCUUGACAGAGGGUUAGACGUGCCACGUGUCCAAUGGAGGAGUGCUCUGUGAGGCUGCCACGUGUGCGCUUAGGGGUGGUCCCUACAAAAAUGAUUAAAAAUCAUGUAUUGGUGAAUGAAAAAUUAAGCUUAAAGGGAUAAGAUAAUUAUUUUCAAAAAAGAUAUAUUCUUUCUAAAAAAAGAUGUGGACUCGGAAAACAUAUUCUUUCCAACAAAUGUGUUUAGUGUUUAAAGACAUAUCAUUUCCAAUAAAUAUGUUUCCAACAAACAUGUUUAGUGUUUUAAAGACACAUCAUUUCCUACAAAUAUGUCUAGUGUUUUAAAGACAUAAUACUUCCAAUAACCAUCACCUAUGAUUGUAAAUAAGAAUCCCUCUCUGACAUUUAAUUCAUCCCAUUGUUUGUCUACCAUUUCUUUCCAAGUUAUUAUCAAGUAUGGUAUUCCAUGUUUUAUUCCAAUUAUUUCCGGGUGUGGAAUUUCAUUCUAAGUGUGCAUUUUCAAUACAUUUAAGUUUUUGAAGAGAGUAUAAAACAUAGUUUGAUUUACUAUUUCCUGUUAUUUGAAGUGAAAUAAUCAAAAAGUGAAAAUCAUAUCUGUAAGUACUUAAGUGAGACAAAUUCAUCUUAAAAACAUAAAGUCAAUUCUAACCCCAAUCAACCUUGUCUAUGAGUUUAAUUUCUAUUUACUUAUUUUAUACACUUAUUAGUUUAUAUAUUUUCAUUAAUUUGCACAAGAUUCAAUAUACAAUUGAUCAAAUAAUUUAAUCCUUGAUCUUGUUGAUAAGUUUAAUCCACUCAUUAUUAAAUUAAAUUAAACAUUUUCCUAGUAUUUUUCUUGAAAUAAAUUUCUUACUCACUCCAUGUUACGAAAUUUUCCUUUUUAGUAUACUUUUCUCAUUUCUCUAUUAUGUUUUUUCAAGCUAAAUACCCACAAGUAUCAUUUGACAUCAUGAGAGAUUACUCAAAGCUGUGAUGUUCAUUUCCAUACUUUCUAAUAGAGAGAAACAAAAUAAGGAAGAUAAAGAAAAAUAAAAAACAUUAAAAAAAAAAAGAAGAUUUAAAUAGUUGGUUUUCUUUACAUGCUUUUGUUAUAAAAUAAAUAUAAAGAUUAAAGAGAAGAAGUAGAAGAGAAUAAAAUGAGAAAAUAACUUUUUUGUCCCUCUUUAUUAACUCAAAAAACUUCAUUUAUAGACUAAAGGUAAUACUAAUAUAGUGAUGGUACAAACACGACAAUAGUGGUGUCAUCUAUAAACUAUCAUAAAUAUUUAUGACACUCUUCUUGGAUGACAACCAUUUUUUGAAUAAGUUUCAUUAAAACCUUAUUAGGAAAACAAACUCUUUGGGAAAAUCUUAUUGAAGGAAAAAUAAUAUAUUAUUUUUUUAAUACUUUUGAACUAUUACAAUUGCCUUGUUAAAAAUAUUGCUAGUAAAAACUAGUGGAAUAAAACUCGGACGAAGGGAAAAAGUGUAUAGUGUAUAGACAUUUUUAUUAAUAUGCUUGCCCUCAUGUAGACAUGAUCAUACUUUCUCUAGUAGCUUAACAUGAAGAUCUUUGAAUCGAUGCAUUCCAAUAGUAUAUAUGAGCUUCUUAAGUGUUGUUGUUGACAAUGCUUUUGUGAAUAGUCUACUAAAUUGUGUUUCAUCAUAUUUACUCAACAUUAAUUUCAUCACUCUUUUAGAGCUCAUGGUGCAAAAAGAACUUAAGUCAUAUAUGUUUAGUUUUAUCACCCUGAAUGUAUCUUUCUUUAUCAUAUGUAAUGCUUGCAACCUUAUCUUUGUGUAACAUAUUUAAAUUGUCUUUGAUUGAAGAUAACUUGCGUGAUUCUCAAAUAUUUUGGAUUAUAAAUCUCAACCACACACAUUUCCAACUUGCUUAAUGAAUUACAAGUAAGUUUUAAUGAUUUGAAUAAGUAGUUACCAUUGUUCGCUUCAAUAACAUCGAUUUAGGAAGGUAACGAGCCAAUAACUAAUACUUACUCUUUUUCCUUGGACUCCAAUAUUUUCAAGUUGGUGCACUAUAUGUUACUUGUAACUUCACAUAAAUGAUAUAUAUGAUCUUAUACAAUUUAUCAAAUGUAUUAAUGCAUUAAUUGUAAUGAGAUAUAGUGCUUUUGGACCAAACAGUUCUUUAUUAUUUUAUUUAAGAUGAAAUGAGUCUUUGUUCACUUCAAGUAAAUGAACAACCAUGGAGAACUUAGUGGAUGUGAUUUGUCUUUAUAAAAAUACUUCAAGACAUUCUUUAUAUAUGUUGAUUGAUAAACCAACACUCCAUUUGGAAAGUACUCAAUUUAUAGUCGAGACAAAAUUUGUUUUUCCAAGAUCUUUUAUUUCAAAUUCCCUUUUUAGAUAUUUGUUUUUGUGAGUUCUUCAGAAGUCCCAAUUGAUUCAAAUUGCCCACAUAUACUAUUAAUUUAGUUGCCAAUUUCUUAAUGAAUAUGCAUGGACAAAUGAGAUUAUAAACAUACCUUUCUCUCAAUAAAUAUUCAUUGAGAUAAUUGUAUCAUAUGCAUUGGGAUUGCUUAAUCCAUACAAAGAUCAUUGUAGCUCAUUGAAUACAUGCCAUGAGGUUUCAAACUAUGUAAUUUAGGCGUCUUACAUCUUUAGGAAUUUGUUUGUUUUAACCUUUUAAAUCCUUUAGGGACUUUGUUGUUUUGUGUAUUUGGAAUCUUUCAAGCAUUUUAGCAUAACUUAACAUUCAUAUAAUUAUAUAAUACAUAUUGAUAGUUAGGAAAUCUUAUGCUAUAAUUUUUGCAUUAUCAAUCUUAAUAGUUAAGAACAUGAUUAAUUAGUCAUUACAAGAGUUGAUAUAAGGUUUAUGUAGGAAACCUUAUGCUAUAAUUUUUGCAUUAUCUUAAAUACACUUUUGUAUGAUAACUCAUUGGUAUCCAACUAUUUUUAUGUCUUCAAUUGUUAGACUUCAAGUCUAUUUAUAUUCAACAAGCUUGAUGUCUAUGCCAGUCAUAAUUGUGUGAUUGAAACUACAUAUAGAGUGCAAAAUUGAUCAACUACUAAAACUUUUUAGAAUUGCACCAUCGCUAGUUCAUUUUGCAUGACCAUGCAAACUUGGCUUCCUCUUUGGGUUUUUUUUUUUUUUUUUGUGUAAUUCACUUCAAUUGCUUAUAUAUUCCUUGUUUUAACUCCAAUUUGUGAACUGUUUGAAGUGUUGAAUUGUUGACUUCUUGAUCUUCAAAGCCAUAUGUGGCUUGCCCUAAAAAGAUCAUGGAAUUGCUCCAAAAUUCACCUCAAAUUUAGUAUAUAUAUAUAUAUAUAUAUAUGUUGUUAUUAGGUUUGAGUUCCAAAUUUUAUUUUGAGUUUAAUUGCAUUUGAUUCAAAUCUUCUUCUUCAUAGUUGCUUGUCUUUUACCUCUCUCCAUAACAUUGAUCUCAUCUUUAAUGCUCAUAACUUUCUUGUUUUGCCAUUGAAUGGACCCUUAUCAUGCUUCACAAGUCCCGAAUAUUUUUUUAGACACAAUUGACCCAUCUCCUUUGAUUAAAAAGGACUUUUGCACUUAGCAUUUUUUUUAAAUCUUUUAAACUUGAAAUUACGCUUAAAAUAGAAGUUAGAUUCAUAAUUAGGGUAUUAACAUUAGAUUAAGUUAAAUUAAGUGAUUCAAGCUUUUUAAAAUGCAUGAAUCUUAAUGUUUAUGUGCCAUUAGAACACAUAUUUUGGUUCUAAUCAUUUAUAUAACAAAAUUAGAAAUUGUCUCUAUAACUCCUGGAUACAGAAUUGUUAAUUAACAAUUUUGCUUUACAAAAUUUUUUGUUAUGCAAUAAAAUUUUAGAAAUUUUGUGCAUAGCUUUUGGUUAUGAGGCAAUUGUCAAUAAAAAUUGUUUUCAUAAUUUCUGAUUAUGAGAUAAUAGAAAUAAAAAUCAGAAUGAUAAAAACAAAUUAUAAUGAAUACUACUUUUCGUAUAUCUUUCUAAAUAAGAGUGUUUAAAGAAAAUAAGAUUACAUAUCACUUCAAAUAUAAUCAAGAAUUUCGGAUAAACAAAAACUAUUGUAAUUGAAUUUAUCUCUCUUCGUCAAUAGUGUCAUGUUGAUAAUGUGUUAUAAAAUAAACAUAAAGGCUAAAAAAGAAGAAGGAGAAGAGAAUAUAUGGAGAAAAUAUCUUAGUUCUUCGAUGUCUUUAUUAUCUCAUAAAGUCUUAUUUAUACAUCAAUAAUAAUACCAAUAUGUUAGGAGUACAAACUUGAUCGAAUAGUGUUAUCAUCCACAAAUUAUCGAAAAUGGUUUUUAUAUCAUUCAUUUUUCAUAUAAUAAUAAAAAUAUUUAAAAACACAUAGAUUUUAAAUAUUCCAAUUAUAUUUUAUUUUCUUCGGCCAAGCUCAUUUUCAAAUUUGAUAUUACUAUCCAUUUCCUGAAAUUGAAAUGGGAGUAAACUUUUACAGCACACUAUUUUAGCGCCAAGUGACCAGACCAAAGCAACAGAAAACAGUAAUUCAAAAUUCGAAACCAAAAUGAAGCCUACGCCUAGGCUUCGCGAGGCCAUCGACGCGCUGUACAGUCGCGGCACUGCGAACUCCGAAUCCUACACUCGUCUUCUGCUCCAAUGUGUUAGAUCAAACGACGUUGUUCAAGCCAAGAGACUCCAGACCCACAUGGAUCUUCAUCUCUACCAACCCACCGACACCUUCCUUCAGAACCGCCUUCUUCACCUCUACGCUAAAUCUGGGAACCUGUCCGAUGCUCGAGACCUGUUCGAUAAAAUGUCUCGCAGAGAUGUUUUCUCCUGGAAUGCUAUGCUUUCUGCUUACUCAAAGUCAGGCAAUGUGGAGGAUUUGCGGGCAGUGUUUGAUCAAAUGAGUGUUCAUGAUGCUGUUUCGUAUAAUACAGUAAGUAUUUUGUAAUGUUUUGGAUUGAGUUAUGGUUUUGAUUUGCCUGUGAUCUUAGUAAUUAAUGGUUAUUGAGAGAGACAUCAAGGCUGAGGGCCAUAAUAUAACACUAUCAUAUAAAAUGAGGAGUUUACCGCCGAUUGUCUGGCAUCCUUGACGGUACAUAAGUUUCUUUUAUGAAUAGAAAUGCUAUGAAUUCAAUGGCCUGUUUGGUGGUGAAAUGAGGACUGUUUUCUGUUUAAAGAAGAAAGAAUGAAAAUGGAAGCCAGAACAUGUUUGAUAACAUGUAUUUGAAAACCUUUUCGGGAAAUUUCAUUGAAAAGUUUCAUCCUUAGGAAAUUUUAUUUCUUUGUGUUUUCAAAAUGCAAGCACCUAAAAAUUUUAGAGUGGUUAAAAAAUGAACAUGUUUACUGUGUGCAUUUUAAAAAACAAAAACAGUUCUAAAAAAAACAUUGCAAUUUUCCAUAUGAACUAAAAUUUGGUGGGAAGUUUAUGAUUUUUUUACUUUACCAAUUUUCUUUUAUUUUAAUGGUUUGCAAUGAAAGGAAGUGAACUGUCUACCUUGCUUCUAAUCAUGUGGUAGCAAACAUACGAGAAAAUCAACUAUUGACCAAAAGGGUUCUGGAUCAGUGAUAGACAAUAUUAAUGAGAGUUUGUGUGAUUAUAGUGCAAAAGUAGGGCUUUUAAUUUGUUGAAGUUAAGCUUUACCAAUUAACUCAGAAAAAUCCAGCCUGUACACUUUGUGUUCAAACUCAUAGCUAGUUCAAAAUUAAAAACUGAUUUGAAUAUUAAUAUAUUAUCCAAUUGGAUAUCCUUCACUGGGCCUUGUGUUCCAUACUCAAACUAAAGACCAGAUUUUCACUUCAUAUCUUACAACGACCGACUUGCUCCACCAAAGACUUGCUUGCUGAAAGCUACUCAAUUUGCCUAUUUUCAGACCAAACUCAGUGUUAUACAUAAGCAAUUUAGAUAUUCAUUUCAAACUCUUUCAUGCUUAUUCAAAUUAGGAUCUAAAAGUUGACUAUCCAAUGUUCUUACAUAGAUAUGAUUUCCAUUUAGAAAUGGCAUGGAUAUAUGACUUCUAUUUAGAAAUAAAGAUGUUUUAGAUAAAGUGUGGUUAGAAGCCAGUAUAUUUUGGGGUUUAAUAUUUUUUUUAUUCAUUUGUAUUGGAUGAAAGGAAAGGGAUUGCAACAGUAUAUUCAUAAGUGCCGUAAGGCAAUACUAUUAACCCUCCUCUUAAAUGUAUUACAUAAUAAAUUUUAAAAUGGUACAAAAUUAGCUAUACGCCAGUUUUAAGGGGAUUUUUGUGAUUAUAGUGCAAAACAUGGGCUUUUACUUACCCAUGUUGAUUUUGUUAUCCUUAUUCCUUAAUCCAGAACCAUUUGUGUAUGAAUUUUGAUUGUAGUUCACCCCCUUCUCUCCAGGUAAUUGCAGGUUUUUCUGGAAAUGGCUGUUCAAGUCAGGCUCUGGAGUUUUUUGUUAGAAUGCAGGAAGAAGGAUUUGAGUCCACAGAUUAUACCCAUGUGAGUGUGCUACAUGCAUGCUCACAGUUAUUGGAUAUUAAGCGGGGAAAACAAAUUCAUGGUAGGAUUGUUGCAACUAGUUUGGGGGAAAGCGUUUUUGUUUGGAAUGCUUUAACCAAUAUGUAUGCCAAGUGUGGUGCACUUGAUCAGGCUAGGUGGUUGUUUGAUCGAAUGGUUAACAAGAAUGUAGUAUCAUGGAAUUCAAUGAUAUCUGGUUAUUUACAAAAUGGGCAACCUGAGACAUGCACCAAGUUGUUUUGUGAAAUGCAGUCAUCGGGUCUGAUGCCUGACCAGGUUACAAUUUCAAAUAUUCUCAGUGCCUACUUUCAAUGUGGCUAUAUAGAUGAAGCAUGUAAGACUUUUAGAGAGAUUAAAGAGAAGGAUAAGGUUUGUUGGACAACAAUGAUGGUGGGUUGUGCGCAGAAUGGAAAAGAAGAAGAUGCUUUGCUGUUAUUUAGAGAGAUGCUAUUGGAAAAUGUCAGACCAGACAAUUUUACCAUAUCAAGUGUGGUUAGUUCCUGUGCAAGACUAGCUUCUUUAUGUCAAGGUCAGGCAGUUCAUGGAAAAGCAGUUAUUUUUGGCGUUGAUCAUGAUUUGCUUGUGUCUAGUGCCCUUGUUGAUAUGUAUUCCAAGUGUGGAGAAACUGCAGAUGCUUGGAUUGUGUUCAAAAGGAUGUUAACUAGGAAUGUGAUUUCUUGGAAUUCCAUGAUUUUGGGUUAUGCACAAAAUGGAAAGGAUCUAGAGGCCUUGGCUCUUUAUGAAGAAAUGUUGCAUGAAAACUUGAAGCCAGAUAAUAUUACUUUUGUGGGUGUUUUGUCUGCUUGUAUGCAUGCUGGUUUAGUUGAACGUGGACAGGGAUACUUUUAUUCUAUCAGCAAAAUUCAUGGGAUGAACCCUACUUUUGAUCAUUAUUCAUGUAUGAUCAAUCUCCUUGGUCGUGCAGGUUACAUGGAUAAAGCAGUAGAUCUGAUUAAAAGUAUGACCUUUGAACCUAAUUGCUUAAUUUGGUCUACCCUUUUAUCUGUUUGUAGAAUUAACUGUGAUGUCAACAAUGGAGAGAUGGCAGCAAGGCAUCUCUUUGAAUUAGACCCACACAAUGCUGGACCGUAUAUUAUGCUUUCUAACAUUUACGCUGCUUGUGGGAGAUGGAAAGAUGUGGCAGCAGUAAGAUCUCUCAUGAAGAACAACAAAAUUAAAAAAUUUGCUGCCUAUAGCUGGAUUGAGAUUGACAACCAGGUCCACAAGUUCGUAGCAGAAGAUCGAACUCAUUCUGAAACAGAACAAAUUUAUGAAGAGCUGAACAGACUAAUAAAAAAGCUGCAGGAAUCUGGAUUUACACCUGAUACUAACUUGGUUCUACAUGAUGUGGUAGAGGAGGAGAAGUUUGAUUCCAUCUGUUACCACAGUGAGAAACUUGCUCUUGCAUUUUGGUUGAUCAAAAAGCCUCAUGGAAGGACACCCAUAAGGAUUAUGAAGAACAUUCGUGUUUGUGGUGACUGCCAUGUGUUUAUGAAGUUUGUAUCUAAGAUUAUUAGGCGGCCGAUAAUCUUGAGAGAUAUAAACAGAUUCCAUCAUUUUAUCGAAGGGAGGUGCUCCUGCAAAGACAGUUGGUAAUGAAGUAUCUGGCAGAGAGGAAAUGUUAGCAUAUCAGAAAAAUCUUCAUGGAAACUGCUGAAAAGAGAGAGAUGGCAAUAUUCAGUCUCCAAUAGGAGAAAGAGGAAUUUCAGGCAUUGCCUUAAGAGGAAUUUCAGGAUGGUGUUAAUAAGUCUUCUGUGGAUGGUUGAGGAGCCCGGAUUUAUAGAGUUGGAAGGAAAAAUGAAAUAAGAGCAGCAAAGAUGUCCUCCUUGAUUGCUGAUGGUUGGAGUUUUCACUAAGACUCAAAUAUCUUAAAGCUCUCAGAUGAGAAACACAGUAGCUGAAUAUGAUAAGGUAUCAAGUGCAAGUGGUUGUAACUGGAUUUUGUUGGCUGUUGGUAACGCAUGAUACUUGAAGGGGGAGGAAACCCAGCGGAGAUGAUAACCAUUAUACUGCUGUCUCAGAGUUUUUUAAGAUGGCCGGUAUAUUCAUUUUUUUUCCUUGGAUUUGGUCUGGUCUGGGGGAUUGUUAAAAUACCGAAAAGGAAAGCAAUCCCAUGAAGCACAAACUUAGUAUUCAAGAUCAGGAAAUCCCAGCAUAUAACAUCUUCCCAAGCUCUUCAGAUGUUCGAUCACUGAGGUUGAGCUUUGUCUCAAUGCUAUUCUCGAACUUGCUAAAUUGUCAGUUGUAGUUCCUUUCCCAUAAGUGUACUGAAUUUAAUCCACCAGUUUUGGUUCAAGAUUUCCUUAAUAGCACUUAUUAAUGUACAUCUGGAUCUGCAUCUCUUUCCUGAUCCUGGAAUAUGUCAAUGAGUAUGCAGAAUAUGGCUAGAAGGGCAUAUUAAUGGCACCAUCUGGUAUGACAACUUCAUACUUGGGGUAUAAUAAUCACUGCAAAAUCAUUUUGAGGCACCAUUGGAUCUUUAACAUAGCUAACAUUUUCUUUAUCACAUGCAGUUCUGUCACUCUCUGAGGGUUUUGUGUGCUUUUGCUGCUUCUUCACUUUAAAUAUCCACUAUGUGUGCUGGUGGUAACAAAUAAUUCUGAGGAGGGGGGAUGUUUGGUGGAUUAAAAUAGGUGUUCCUUGUUGAAGAUACAAGUUUUUCAGCGAUUAAAAUAUCCUUUAAUCAAUAUGCUUUCAAGAUGAAGUCAAUCCCACAAUCAACAUGCAAUGUCCGUGAAAAACCACCUACAAUGUUUUCCAGAAACUUUGCAGAUGUAAAAAUCACAAAUCAACCAAUUGCAGAGCAAAUUUACUGAUUCGAAGAGAACAAGGACGUGAUUUUACCUAGACCGGAUUCUAGCUCUCCCAGGGGUUUUACACAAGUCAACACCUACAUUUGUCUUCGUGUCCACGAUGCUCCUUAGUGGACUCCUCAACGAUUUGAGGGGAUGAAUCAACCACCAUGAUCAAUCUCAAUCAAAGUAGAGGCCUUGAGAGUGUUGGGAAUGCAUAGAAAAUAAUGACAAUGAUAUAUUAUAGGCAGAAGGUGUGUAAAAACUAAAAACACAAUCAACAGGUGUAUUUAUAGCUGAAAAAACCGUAGUGGGUCAGGCCAUGAUAGUUAGGUGGAAAUAAUUAAAAAAAAAAAAAACCUAAUUGCUCAAAAUUUACCACAAGUGUUUGUGUGCUCUCAUAGGGCGCUUGAAUUCUCUUGCAGGUGCUGAAGCGCUCCUCUUAAAAUUUUGUAUUUUUUCUGUUAUACUCAAAACCCACUCAAGGCUAUUACAGUCAUUUUACACCUCAAAACCGAAGGUUUAAAGUGAAAACAAUACAAAUAUUCAUCUUGUAACUGAAAAUGAUCAAUUACUAAAUUUUUGUUCAAAGUAAUAAAAUAAAUGAAUUCUAAAAUAUCCAGAUAUCAACUUUAAAAACUAACAAGUUGAUAAGAGGACCAUAAGGUCAACUAUUAUAACUCAUUGACUAGAGUCAUAUAAUAUCAACUAUUAUAACUCUUUGAUUGGGACAGAUAUGUCAACAAUUAUAACUCGUUGACUAAAACCAUAAAAAUCAGAGUUAAACACUUCAUUUCAUUAAUUCAAACUUACAAAACAAAAUAUCAAUCUUCACAAUUUUCAUUUUUCAUAAACAAAGGAAAUGCCCAAAUAAUUUUUUCAUACAAAACAUAUAUUUGAUCUAUGUAUAGAAAUAAAAAUAAUAUUUUUACACAUUUUAAAAUAUAAUAUAAAAAAAAAAACUUAUUUCCUUUUACAAAAUCUGUAUUAAUUUCCCUUACCUUGAUGAAACACUCAAUAAUCUUGAAAAAUUUACUCCUCACCUAACAUAAUGUCAUACACACGCCAUUUAUUAUUGAUUAGUUAUCUAGAGAUAUAAAUUUGAUAAUCCUAACAAUAUUUUAUAUAGUUCUCAGUAAUUCUAAUUAAUUUCUAUGUUAACAUUAUUACAAAUAAUAUUACUCUCAACUUCUUAAACAAUAAUAAAUUAAUUUAAUAAAUUUCCAAGUUUUUAUAAAAUUCAUGUUUCUCCCUAAUUUUAUCUUAACUAAUUAUUUCUUUAUAUACUUAAAUUAAAUUAAAGCUGGUACAAAAACUAUUAUUAUUAUUAUUAAUCCCAAUAUCCUCACUUACUUGACAAACUACUCUUUAACAAUUCUAAUAACCCCACCAACUCCACUCAUUAUUAUUAUUAUUAUUAUUUUAAUUUAUUCCACUACCACUCUUUCAGCCUUUCACCGUCAGAUUGAUGUUUUAUUUUUUAUUUUAUUUUAUUUUCACUCAACAAUAAACAAUCUCAUAUUCGUUUUCUUCUUUUUUUUUUUUUGUUGAAAUUGUCACCCAACAUUCCACCUCAAAUUCCAAAAUCCAGCAACCCCACAAUUCUUUUUAUUAUUAUUAUUAUUAUUAUUAUUAUUAUUAUUAUUAUUAUUAUUUUCUUUUUCUAAUCUAAAGUCUCCACAAACUAUUUAUUUAUUCAUUUUAUAAAUCUAAAAUUUAUUUUCUUUCACUAAUUUUUUCAUUUAUUUACUUUCUAUUCAAUUAAAAUUUUCCUAUUUUCAUCAAUAAAUUAAUUUGCAUUCAUAAAUUUCCAAUCUUUUGGUCUAAAAAAAUUAAAUAAACAAACUCUAAUUUAAAUUGAGAUUUCUAAAGUAUUCAAAUCUAAUUAAUGAAUAUAAAAUACUAAUAAUUAAAAUCUUACUUGAAAAGUUCAUCUUUAAACCCUAAACGUCCAAACCUUCAACUUUAUACUUUUUUACAUUUAUGAUCUUCGUGUAAAAGAGUUUUUUGAAUAAAGAAAAUAGAAAAAAUUGAAUUUAUACGUAAGGCUUUUAAAAGCAAAAAGACUUUUCCACCCUUAUUAGAUUAAUUAAUUUAAUUAAUAAAAUUUUAAAUUACUAUUUUACCCCUAAAUUGGGUUUGGGUAUUACAUUCUGGAUUCAAAUUCUGGUCUAUUAUACGAUUUAGCUCAUAAUACACCUAAGCAUACCUUUCUUCACAAAACAUACUCAACCACACUUACCUAAAUGGUCCUUUGUAUUUAAUUGGCAUUGAUCUUGUGUCUUUAAGGCCAAUGUAAAAACCCAAGAUGUGCAUAGAGUCAAUCCAAGGAUGUUUGGUACAAAAUUGCCAACCUAGACUAACUAGACUAACUUUAACAAUUUGUACUACAAACUAGGGUGGGUUUACAGUUUUGGAUUUUGGUUUCCAUGGACAAAAUACAAGGUCUAGUGUAGUCUCGGUUGUUGCUAAAAUAGCUUCAUUUUUUCCCUUUAUAUGUUUCUCUUCCUUUUGAGGAAUUUAUGAUAUUUUAACUAAUUAGGAAACAUGCAUGAAUUUGGUAAGAGAAGAUACUUUUUACGAUGAUGCCUAUUCUCCCCUACACACAGCUCAGAUUCUUCCAAUUCCUUCUGAUGUAUGUUACAUAUGUACAAUGUGGAGGACCAUUUCAAAUUAUUGGCCAUUUCCAUUUACACGAAAGCUUGGAAUUUAGUGGUAGCUUUUGAUUGGUAUAGGUACCAGGUUCCAAUAUGGAGGUGUCCUGUGCAUUGUGGUAACAUUGUAGAAUGUUUUGGCUCUAGGGGAGAGCAUCCCAGAAUCCCUGUGAAUGAAUGGGCCUAAUGCAGAGCUAACAGAGUUCUUAGUACAAAUGGAAGCUACAGGCCAAAGAGGACUACCGUUGCUCCCGGUCCAUGGACUUGACAGCCUGUGGGUCUAGCUCAUUAGAUCUCGCAAGGCUUGGUUUCUAGCUUGUUGACCCAGAGGGCCAUUAAGGUGCUCUCCUCCCACUCAAGUAGGUCAUGGCGUAGACAAUGAAAUUAGGCCCUUACUAGAAUCAUAACAUGCUCUGUUUUGCUGUUUUGUCAAAUUUUCUCUUCAAGAAGAACAUGGUAGCACUACUACUUGUUCAAGCCCCAUACCCCUACUGCGCAAUAUUCCAACUUCCUCAAAAUUGUAUUCAAUUAUCUGCUGAUUUAGCCACAAGAAGUUAGAAAACUGACUCUACAAUGAAUUAAUUCGUAACUCACAUGGAGGAUUGGUUCUAAGGUGGGUAAUUGGGGUUUGGUUGAAUAAGAACUUAUUCUCACCAAGCCUACUUCAGGAAUGAGUUGUUGGCCAGAAGAUUUCCAGCUUGAGGAGAAUUUUCUCAAGUUACAGGGUUAGGUGAUGCACCCAUCUUUGAUCCCAACCCACUUAUAUUAGUCAGAACUCUACUCCAACAACAAUGUACUGCCAAGGAGUCCUAUGCACAAAACCCAUUUUCCAAAGCUUUGUGUUCACAGGCUUGUGAGCACCAGAGGGUGCAAUUACCUGAAAACUGGCUAGAAAGUAUAAGUGCAGUAACCACAUGCCACUGUUGGGAGGACAUGAAAUAAACAAUGUCAUGUACAAUGAUGUUGAUGGUUUUAACUAGAUUUCACACUCCUUUGUCAUGGCUCCAGGUCUCCUUGAUAAUUCACAUUGAUAGCCUCAUCCUGUCCUCUUCCAGGUACAGAACAUAGGCUAGAAUGCCCGGCAUUUUUAUAUAAUUCACAGUAUAAUCCAGCACUAAUCCUCCCCUUCAUGUUUUUGUCAGGACUUUUACUCAGAAACUGCCAAAUACACAACUCAUUAGGUUGUGUCUAAUCAUUCUAUAAAUAAUAAUUGCUUUGUAGACUGUCCAAGGUUUGCUUAAGGCUUCUUCAAUGAGAGUGUCUCUUGAUGUCCCUUGAAUCAUUGUGUGCAGCUCACUUGGCCAUGUUACCAUGUGCUUUCCCUGAAUCACCUCCCAAAGUCUUGUCCAAGAAUUUCCACAGUUAAGUUUUAAUUUGGAGAAGGUGCAUGAACAUAUGUAGAAAAGUUGGAGCCUAUCAUCAGUUCAUCACCUACCCACAAUCCUUGCCUUUUCUUACUGAUGCAAUAAUCGACACAUGAUUAAACUUUAGGAGGCAUGAACAGAAGACAACAUAGGUACAAAAGUGGAAUCAUGGGCCACAAGAAUAUGAAAAAAAAUGAAAACACACAUUCACACACAGGAUCUAGAUGGAAAAUCAAAAGGAAAGCCAGAAAAUUCUUCUGUAAGGAUGCAUGUUACAAUUGUAUAAAGACCAGGAAGAACCCCUGAAGACAUUAUUUUCAUGCUUUUUUUUUUCCUUUUUCCUCUUUUUAGCUGAUGAUACCACCGUGUUGUUGCAUGUGUGGUUUCUAUUAUGUCAGCUGCCCAUGAAAAAGGCCCUGCACGUGGAUUUGAUGAGGUACCUCAUGUGGGCUUCAUUGGCAAGUUGAAAAUAAGAUCUGUCUGCAACACUUGUAUCCGCCGCAAAUCUAUGGCCUCCAGACUGUUCUUCACCACAGCCAAAACACCGGUCACCCCCAAAUACCAUUGUCUCGUCGGCCAGAUAAGGAACCACCUUUCAAUAACACCCACCCACAUACGACAGGUCACAACAGAGUUUGACCAUAGAUCAUCAUCAUCAUCAUCAUCAUCAUCUGAGAGAUCAAGCAAAGACACUGAUAUGCAGGUCGGCACCAUCCUGCAACGCAAUUGUGGCCCCAAUGUGUCUUUGCUUGAUGGGUUGCAGUCCCCUUCAUAUCUUCCUGAAUCUUUAUCAACUUUUUGUAAAGAAUAUCUUUGGGGCCACUGGGUCACCAUAGUAGGUGACUCGAUUAAUCAUACUCCAAUCUCACCAGUACCCAUGAAGUUAUCUUUUUUGUAUCGACACCUUAACAUAAUCAUUUUGAUUAUGAUGUUUCCACGCUUUGCUUAAAGUGAAAUCAGGAUUAAGCCCAGUAAAAGUUCUUCCUCUCCUCUCAUCCUGUUUGUCUCCCAAGACUAUGCGGGUGGGUCCAAGCAUUCGUGGAUCCAUCAAAAGAUUAAAGUAUAAGUUCGUUAAUUUUGUAAUUUGGCUUCAUGAUUGACCCAUUUGAUUGUGAAGGGGAUGGAUUAGGAUCAUGGUUAGGGGCAUAAUUGCCUGGAGAAGGCCAGAGGGCAGAGAAUGAGAAACACGUGUGUUUGCUCAGUGAUUCCAUGGGCCUUCUGUUUGUUUCUGUGCAGUUGGGGUGAGGAAUGUGAUGGAACACAUCACUGUUCCAAUUAGAGAGAUUUCACCUUUUUGCUUGACCAUUGUUUAACUUCAUAUAACUUUUAACACAUCACUAUUAUGGUGCCUAGGCCAUGGGCCUAACAAGCGUCUACAUAAAAACAAUUCAUGCAUGCAAAUUGGAACAGUGAUGUGUUAAAAAUAGAAUUUGAGAUUCAUGCUUCCAAAAAGUAGUUCAAACAAUUAACCAAUUAAAAUGAAAUUGAUUUCCCAUUCCAUGCAUGCAUUCAAAAAACGACUUAAAACCUGUUUAGUAAUGAUUUUAGGAAGUGUUUCUAACCUUUAUAAUAUUAGAAAAUUUUUAUCAAUCAAGUAUUAAAAAGAUUAAAAGUGUUUUUUAAAAUUACUAUCAAACACACUUUUAAUGCAUUUUCGAGUUUAUUGAGUUUGUAAAUAAUAGGAAGAAUGAAACUCUUGGAAUUAAUUUAGCAUAUCAAGCCGUGAAAGACUCUGAAUUUAUAGAAAAUGAUUACUUAGAAAAUGGUACAAGAAAAUCACGUGGGUCACGUAUUUGGUGUUUCUAAUCGCAAAUUUCCACAAUCUGUUUCUUUUAGUCUAAUCAUAUCUGCCUAUAAUUGCUAUUUUUGCAUCCUUAAUUUAAGGCUAAUUGCUUUUUCAAAUAUGGAAAUAUCCUUUCACAAUCAGACACAGCCCACUUGAUAAAUUCCUGCUUUUUUUAUUUUAUUUUAAAGAAAGGUUUUUUCUAAAGCAAACUAAACAACAAAUUUGAACAAAUCCGUAUGGGGGGUAUUAAAUUGAUGUAGCGAACAAAUCUGUCAUAUGAAAUGGACCCAGCCCAAAACUAUGACCAUGGAAACAUGAAGACCCUGGAUUUUCUCUUUUCGAGUUUCUUGGCUGCCAAUCAUGGUUCCAACUCCACCCAAAAGGUGCUGUUUGGGAAAAGGGAAAAUUUGCCCUGUUGUUUCAUGCAUAGCCAUGCAAUAAGAGACCCACCCAAAAUGUAUUCCUUGAUCAUUUCUUGAGAAAAUUUUGGUUUGAAAAAAAAAGGAAAAAAAGGUAAGAAGAAGGAGCGAGGUUGGAAUUGGAUUGAUUUGGACAGCAAUGUGGGAUGGAUUGAUGAGAGGGGGGUGUGUGAAUGAAGAUGGAACUUUUUGUGAAUAGAAGCACGUGUUUAAUUUUCUUUAUCUUUUAUAUUACAACCAAAAUCCAAUCAAAAAUCUGAUGUUGGUUGUUUGCUUUUGACAGCCGCAAAUCUUGAAAAAGGGCGAAAAUUGUAAAAGGCGGAGGCGGUUGACUACUGCAGGUGACUGUGGGGGCGGUGGUGGUGGUGGUGGUGGUGGGAGCCAGAAAGAAGGAAAAAAAAAAAAAAAAAAAGGAAAAAGAAAAAAGGAAUCUGAGGAGCAGUGGUCAGUGGUCAGUGGUCAGGGUGACUGUACAAUCCAGUGAACCCAAUGUUGACCCGUGAAGGCACGUGCCUGUGACCGAGUCCAUGCCGACAGUCUCCAUCCAUUGGUCAGUUCUUCUCAAAAAAAGAUAAAAAAAAAGGAAAAAAAUUCAACACUUUUCCCCAUCUGCUUUGCUGGAUUCUGGAGGCUCCCAUCAAGACAUUUUAGCGCUUCCACCGCCGCUGCCACUGCCUCCUUCCACUGCAACACCACCGCCACCUCGUGCCCUUGUUUCUACCCUUUCAAAAUCUACCAAUUUUGUUAAAAAAAAAAAAAAAAAAAAUCCAUGCCUUCUACCAUGUGAAAGAAAUUUUAUUGGUGGUCUGGUUUGGUCUUCCCAUUUGUGUUCAUGGGAUGAUCGAAUUAUUCUAUUUGUCAUGGUUGAAGUAACAGUGCUUACAUUUAUUAGUGUAUUAGAAUAUUUGAAGGUCAGAGAGAGGAGGAAGAUAACAUGAUAUGUUGACAUUGUACAUUUGUGCCAUUGUCAAUGAAAAUCCAUAUUUUUCAUGUUUUUAAGGUGGGCAAUUUGAGAGAUUAGUCAUAGUUUUCCAUUGCUAAAUGCUGGUGUUUCAUCAAGUUACCAAAGGGGUAUGUUUUGGAAAAGCAUAUUUCCAUGCAAACUUAAAAAAAUAAAAAAAAUAAAAAAAGAAAAUAAAAAAGAAAUCUUUAAAAAUAAUUAAAAUUUCAUCCAAUGUUCAAAAAUAGAAUUUAAUUGAGUCAAAAUAAGUAUUUAUAAGAUAUGAUUUUGAUAACAUAAAAUAUAUUUUGAAAUGUAAAAAGGCAACUUAAUUUUAUUUCACAUUAAAAAAAAUUAGAAAAUAUAAAAUUUGAUAACUUAAUAAAUAGUUAGUAUUAUGUUUAAUGAUGGUAAUGAGGUAAGUUUUUCUUGGGAUUCAUCUCGCUCCUAAUGGAGAAUGUUUAGGAUAAAGAUAAACCGAUUUAGGACAAGUAUAAUUUUGUCUUAUUUUAAUUGAUUUUUUAUUUUAUUUAAAAAAUUUUUAAAUAUAAAUAAAAUAUUAUUUUUUUAUAAUAUAUUAUAAAUAUUUAUAAUAUUUUUUUAUUUAUAAAAUAUAUUUAUUUUUAAUAAAAUUUUAAAAAUAAAAAAAUUUUAAAAAUGUUAAAAAUUUAAAUGGGAUAAGGUGGAUAUAAAAAUUUUCAAUCAUCACCCUAUCCCAUUUAUUUAUGUUUUUUUAUUUCAAGGUUGUCAUAUAUAAAAUAGAAACUUUUAUAUAAAAUAAAAAAUUUCUUAUAAAAAAAUUAAAAAUUUAUCAGUAUUUUUAAAAGCCUUUUUCAAAUUUUACAAAUUUAUAGAAGUAAUUUUUUUUUUUACUUCCUUAAAUUUUAAAAAUAUUUUGAAGUGUACUUACCUUUUAUACCAAAAUUCCUACAUCUUAUACAUGACUUUUAUUUUUGAAAAAUAAAAAAUAUAUCCCCACUAAAAUAUUUAUUUAUGUUCAAUUUUUUUUCACAUACAAAUGAAGAAGAGAAUUGAUUUCCAUGAUGCAUUAAUUUUGUCACCAUCAUGAUGAAUAUGAUUCAAUAAUUGCCAGACCGACAGGGGUAGAUGAUGCUUGUCCAACCAUUUUUAGGUAAAAAAUGAGUGGCUAUUAAUUCUUCCAAUCAGCUUUCUUAAAUUGUUACAAUGACAUCACUUUUUUUUUUUUCUUUUUUAUUAUUUAAUGUACUACUUUUACAUCAUACCACAACCCUUUUUGACCAAAAUUUGGAGUCUUGGACAUUGAAAAAUGGAUUGGGUGUCAAGCAAAUCAGCCUUCUCAAGUCUCUAUCCAUGGUGGAACACUAAUUGGAAUGGUGAAAACAGCUGUGAAACCCUAAUCAAAUCACUCCAUUUUUAGCUAUAAUUUUGACCUCGAUAAUCAAUUAUAAUGCCCUACUAAGCAAGUGACUCCAUUUUUCUCAAUAAUUUUUACCUUUGAAUAAGAAUGAUCUUGUUUUACCCUUAGCUUUACAACCAGCCAAAGCACUGACCAGGCACCCACAAUUGGCUAGAGUGAAGUAUGAUUAGAUGCCUAUGGUUGGAUUCUAGCUUUGACAAGUGUUAGUGCUUUAACACAAAAGUGAGACAGCAACUGCCAAUUCAAAACGUGACAGUGCAUACAAAAUAUUAUCAAGAAUAUGCUUGGAAAUUUCACGACAAUGGAGAAAAAACAAAGGACAUGCAACAAGGAUUUGAAAGAAAAGAUAAACCCUACCUUUUCUUCACUAAAAUGACCCACCAACAGAUUUCAAGAUAGAAAGCAUAUCUCCAUAAAGUAAUGCAUGGUAGAUGAUGCUAUGGUAUGGAAGGUUUAAUUAAAGAAACUUUAAGUGGUUAAGAUUUAAGCCUGCAACUGCAUUAAGCUAUGAAUGAAUGUUCUUAAAAGCUUAUUCAAUUAAGAUUUGACCCAUAUCAAACAAAUACUUUUUUCUUUUUCUUUUUUUCAAAAAAUGUUAAUGGUUGUGUCCCAAAAAUAAGGAUAUGUGUACUGAUUAAACUGUUUUUACUUUUUAGCUAAUCAUGAUGGUGCUGAUGCUUUUGGAUUAAAACAAAGUAUCAUGAUUAGAAGCUAAUGAUUUCUUCCUCUAUCUUUAAUUUAAAAGCAUGGAAUGAUGUUCCUUGUUUUUAUCUUGAGGUGGGCCAAAAAGGUAAAUUUUUGUUUGCUUCUGAAUUGAUUAUUUAAGAGACAUCAAAGGUAAAGAAAGUCCCAAGGAGCUAGGCAUGACUUCCAUUACUUUACUUUACACCUUUUACUUUGGUGGAAUUCCAUCCUUCCAAGAAGGGGGAGACUCCUGUAAAUUGAACAAGUAUUAAAUUAGCAGUUGCAGCAAAAGUUAUUAAUGAUAUGUUAAAAAAAAUAAAAAUGGGGGCAGAAUCAUCAAUAAAAAAAGACCCUAGAUUGUGGGGUUUGUCAAUCUUUUAAGAUGUAGUAUAGGUUUUGACUUCAAGAUUUUUUUGGAGACAGCCACUUGCCUUCAUCACCAUUGCUUGUCAUUCUUCUUUAUGCGUUGGCUCUGAAGAAACUUAUAUUUUUAACAGAAAAGUGAAAAAAAAAAAGGCAAAAGAACACUAGUCUCCAAUAUCUAUUGACUGAUUUAAAGAUGUGUGCCCCCCAGGUAAGAUAUAUCAACUUGCUGAUUUUCCCAUUUAAGCCUGGUGGUAGGUGGAAGUGCCAUCACUGUAGAUGGAUAAAGUGGCUUACCAUGCAUACACUUUUGUUUUGUGCUUGCUGACUAGUGAUUCAUGUGGCCAUGGCAAUGGCAAAAUUUGGAAAAAAAAAAAACCCAGUUGAGUAGACAUGGGAAAUAUAGACUCUAUAGCUCCAUUUUCUAGGGAAUCAAACAACACAAAUCUUUCUAUUAUAUAUAUAGUAGAGUCCAGGUAGUUUGCCGUUUCUUGGGCAUGGAAGCAUAUUCCAAAUUUAGGCUCAAGAUCACCUUGGGUUUCAUUUGAUUCAAGGGGAAGCCUAUACUUUCUCCAUCACACUUUUUCCUCAUCGAGCCAAUGCAUCCUUUAUACACAUCUGCUUGAGGUACACUACCUUUGGAUAAUUAUGGCCAUUGUUAGCUGUUUUGAUUCUUAUCAUGACCUUCCAAGAAGGUGCCUUGGCUUACCUUAUCUCAGCACUGAACCCUUUUUUUUUUCUCAAAGAGUUGAACCAGUAAAUCCACUGAAAUUGACUGGUAAUGCUGAUUUUAAUGAGACACGAGCCUUAAAUUUGAAGCCCCUUCAACACUUUAAGGACUGGCCAGUGCUGAAUGUGUCUUGAAGAUCACUUCGAAAUUAUGAGAAUGAGAGGCUUCUUUCCGUAGUUUGGUAAGAAUACUUUCCAUGGCUGAUAAGUGACACAUCAACUAUUGAGGAAUUAAUUAAAGAAGACUGUUGAGGAACACUUAUUACCAUGUCUUGUACACAUUGUAUUAAUUGGAUGGCCUCUAGGCUAGAAGUUGCUGAUAUUGAUGUAUCGAUGUCAAGCGGCUGGUACACCUAACUCAAUAUUGUUAUGGAUACAACAAAUUGAUCAAAUUCUAAAUUCAUGCACAAGUUUGAUUUGCGGGUACUGGGAAAUUAUUUUUAAUCCUUGAUUGUCUGAGAUUAGUUGAUUAAUUAAUCAUAUGUAAAGAACUCGAUCAUGGUUAAUUAUAAAGAAAUUAAUCAACCACCAGAGACAAGAUAUGAAGCUUCUAAAUAUUAUGAAAUGAUUCAAACAGAAUAAGAAAAAGGAGUAUGAAUAUAUUACAAUUAGGGUUUCAGUGGUGGGUGUGGUUUCAUCAUUGUUGGGGCAUGGUCUAGAAUGGCCACAUAACCCAACUGAUCAAUCUAUAUUCUAAUAAAAACCAGGACCCAUUGCUUUAAUCCUAUUGUCUUCUGUAGAAAAAAAGGAGGGCCCUCAUAUGAUCCCUUGCACUCAUUGCGUAUAGAAGCUGCAGACAUGUCCCAAGGGGAGUAGGAAGAAGGGUAAGCCUCAAAAAAAAAAGAAAAAAAAAAAAGAAAAGAAAACACAAAUAUAACCUUUCAAAAAGGCAAGGUGCUAAUGCCCUCUAGGGUUUUUGAAGUACCAUCAAAUCAUACCAACCACCUGGAAAGGUUUUAUAUCAAAACCACAAACCAUGGAAUAAAUACCAUUUAAUUCCUUCCAGACUAUCUCAUUUCCAUGUGUCUUCAUAUGCUUUAGGACAAGUCGUGUAGCAGCUUGAAUUAAUAUUAGUCGACAUCUUUCUCCCUUAAUAGUUCAUACCAUAUGUGAUAUCUCAGAUAACAAAAGAAAGUUAUUAUAUAUAUAUAAACUCCUUUUAAUCUUGUUGACACUUUUUAAAAUUGUGAGAUCUCUUUGGAUUCAAAGUAAACAAUAUCUAUAUGGUUGAAUGCGGAUAAUUAGAAAUUAUAUCAAAACCGAUCUUUAACCCUAUAUGGGGUGUUUAUUCUUAUAUCAAAUAGAGAAAAAAGUUAUUAUAUACAUAUAUAGUUCUUUUAAUCUUGUAAACGCAUUUUAAAUCAUUUAAAGUCUUUUUAGGUUAGAAAUAGUAUACCAUAUCUCACAAGAUAGUUAACAAGUUAAUAUCAAAACUUAUAAUAUCAUUAUCUAUACUAUUAUUUAUACGAAUAUUGCGAUCUUAGGUUAUAAAUGAGUUAGAAAAAUGACUUCUAACAAUGAAAAAAUAUAUAUAUAAAUGAGCUAACCAUGAUGUAUGAAUGGAGAGAGGAUAUAUUCCUUUGCUCGUUUGCCCUUGUUUGGAGUCGAUUCCUUUUGUACUAAUCAAUUUUUAAAACUUCAUAAUUAAAAUAAUCGAACCCCAUUAAUUAAAAUAUUUUUUUCAGCCUGCCAUUUUUAUCAUUAUUUUUCUAACCCUUCACCAUCAUCAACUUGCAAAUGCAACAAACCAGGCUUGGUCAAUAGCAGCGCGUGCAGCAGCUGCAGGGAAGCAUGUGCCAUGGAAUCCCAUUCAUUAAACAAAAAGUGUACCCUAAUGAGAAUUUUAUACUAUAAUCAUAUGUAAGUUAGCAAACAUUAAAAAAUGAUUUGACUUGGAGUCUUGCCAAUUAAAAGGCAAAUCACUUUAAUAUAUGUUGCUGAAACAGUAUAUUCUGUUGGCUAAUCUGCAACUAGGACAAUCAAAGGAGGAUUAUUAUAAUAAUGAUGCGAUUAGCGUCACUAAUUAUGUAUAUUAUGACGCGAGUGAUCGGGAAGUUCGGGAUUAUAAUUCACUCUAACGACGAGAAGAUCGAGCUUUUUUUUCUUUUUAAUUUAGUAUUUUAUGCACAGACUAACAGGUAAAGGACCCUAAUGAUUUCUAUAUAGUUUAAUUAGUACCUUAAGUAUUGUAUCGAUCUUCGAUGUAUUGAAAUCAUAUACCAUAUAAAACUAUACGGAAAAUUCAGGUAUGCGGACUAUGCGAAAUUCUUAAAUUAUGAGUCCUGAUCAAUCCCUUCGCUGAAUAAUAUACAUCGGAAGGUCAACUUUGUAUUAAAAUGCACGUGUAAGCGUAGGAUGGAAAAUCAAAAUUAACUAAGUGUUUCAUAAGAAAAGCAAGUUAUUAUUGGAAUUGAUGAGGCUAAAUACCUCUUACUCAAUCCUUCUGAUUAACUGGCCCCAUGAGUAUAUUAAUCUAGAAGAGUAAUGAAAGAUAGAUAUAAACACCAUUGAUUAAAUUAAUGACAAGAUUAAAAAAAAAAAAUUUAAGGUUGGCUUCUAGAUCAGUACUAAAAAAUUAAUGCCCAAUAAGAAUAAUCUUUGCAGUGAUCGAGCCAACUUACCGAAACUUGUUCCUCGAAGUAUAAGAUGAAUAAUUUUUCUAACAAAUAUUGCUGCAAGAUUUAAGGUUUCCCAAUUUCCAAUCAUGUAAAAUAAUAGCUAUGAUGUUUGUUGCUGUCCUUUAGCUUUGCUGUAUCAUGUGUGUGGUGAAGAACAAGAAGAAGAUCAAGUAAAUGAUAUUAAAUAUAUAUAAAUAAAUGAAGGAGGAAGGAGACAAGAGAGGUAGGGUAAGAAGUGGGGUUCAGUCUAUUGCUUUGCUCACGUCUCACAGCUAUGUGAUGGGGCCAUGAGGGUUUGAACUCCAUUUUUGUUUCUGAAAAAGUUGAUGGAUCGCUGUUCAAUAAUGCAGAGAUGUUUCCAAGUGGGUUCAUUUUUGGGUGUCCUUUUCUUUCUUUUCUUUUUUUCCUUCUUCUUUUUAUUUUAGGUUUGUGUUUGUUCUAGAUGGAAAAAGUUUUUCUUUGUAAUGAAGUCCAUUCCUCAAUAACUUUUGUGUUAAGGAAGUUAGCUAAUCAAUACUAGGAAAGGAAAAUAAUUCACUAUAUAUAAACAAAUAAAAAAUAUCUAAAAAAAUCAAGGGUUCUUCCAAGAAAAUGUAAGAAUUACUGGACAAGAGAUUAUUGGGUUAAAGAUAAAAACCCAAGUUAUGUUUGGUCUAGAAAAAAAAAAAAAAAAAAAAAUUAAAGAAUUUUUUUAUAUUUAAUUAUUCCAUGAAAAACAUAAAUAAAAUAAAAUAUAAUUAAAACUAAUUAAAAAUAUAUAUUUUUUAUUUUUUAUUUUUUAUUUUUUUACAUUUUUCCUUGACCUUAAACUAAACAUACCCUUAAAAAAGAGGCAUUUGGCUAGGGUUUUAUGAAUCCAAAACCGAUUUUAAAUUAUGAUAAUUGAUCAGAGUAAAUAGACUCACUUUCCAUGCAGUGGGAUGCAUGGAAAACUGACCAGAAUAUGGGGUCACAGAGCCUUUUUUUGAUCCUGGGUUCUGCAAUUUCUCAACCUUUUUUUUUAUACACAUUUCAAUAGAUCUCUGACCAGUCCUUCCUCUUUACCCCUAAUCAAGAUGACAUACCAUGGGACCCUUCCCACAUUACCUCACAUUUUUUUUCUUUGGGGGGUUGAAUUUUUGUUCCCAUCCCUCUCAUAUUUUCUUCAAAACCAAACAUGCCCACCUUCAAUUGUAUUUGAAUUUUUCUUUCCUCUUUUGCUGAAUUGAUAAAAGACAAUAAAAAAUUACAAUGUGGUAGGUAGUCUAGACACCUCUUUGGGUUCUCAAUCAUUAUUUUAACAAUAUUAUUAAGUAAAAGAAUAUCACCAUCAAUGUGAUUUAGACUUAAUCUCAUUGUGACAUCUGUCUGAUAGACUUCUCAAAACUUAAUUUCUGAUUUUGCUUUUCCUCCAAGAAAGUUUACCUUUUUCUUGAGAAAGUUUCUUAAUUUUUGACCACAUUGUUCUUGUGAAAAACGAUUUGAAUCCAAACAAAGUUGAGAUGGGAAAAAAAUGACAUGGUACCUCAAUUUUUCAUGUGAAGUGAAAUGUGGGUAUGAACCCUUUAAAUAAGGGAGCAUGGCCUAAAUGGAGGCCCUACAAGGAUUAAUGGAAUCCAAACAACCCCUCAAAACCCUAAUGUUAAUAGAGCCAUGUUCACAUUAAGAAAAUGGACUUUAGCUAAAUUUUAACAGAUACCCUUUUUAUGCUUUAAAUUGCAAAUGCAAAUGCAAUGUUGAGUCUCCAUCCAUAGUUUAUGAUUAAUUUCUUUGCUGAGUGGUAGUUGAAAGGCCACUUUCCAAGGAAUAAGCCCUUCUAACCAACAGUGGAAUAUACACAAAUACACAAAGAUUUAAUCACUUGAAUUACCACAAAAUAGGUAACUACCUCCCUCAUAAAAUUUCAUGAAAAGUAGGAUUCAUAAUUGUUUCCAAUUUGAGCAUUAAAAUAUGAGAAAAUGACAAAUAAAAAAUAAUUUUUGAACUCCAUAUUUGUGACAUGAGUCAUGAACCUAUUGGUUGAAGAUAUCAUUAUUAAUGCAUAGGAAUAAAUUCGGUGGUCCAUAUAUGAACCAACCAUCUUGCAUGAUUGUAUGAAAUUUGUUGCAUAGUGUAAAUACUAAAAACAAUGUGAUUGUUCAAAUAUCUAUAGCAAUUAUGCCCAUAAACCACUUUGGCUUCUUUCGCCCUUUUUCAUGCAUUAGCCAUGCUCGAUUUCUUGUUUCCUACCUCCAAAUUACAAACCCAAUUCUUAUAUCGGGUUUUCUAUUAUUAUUAUUUUAUUUGAAAAUCAAUUGAUAUCCAAAAAAACCGAUAUCACAUCCUUCGAAUAUGUGAUAUGUUUGGAGACUUUUGUCAAAAGCAUAAUAUUCUUCUGUCUUAACAUCAACCACACAAACCUAAACAUUUUUGUGAUAGAAUCCUACCAUCACAUCUCAAUUUAGCAAAACUUAAAAUUGUCUAAGAGAAUUGGAAAUGAACUUCUUAAAUUCAAGCAAGGCUCCAAAAGAAACAUAUGUAUAUAUGAAUAUGAUGCUAAAAAAAAGGAACGACAAUGUGAAAAUAAUGGAGAGUAGAGAGAGAGAGAGAAAAGGACAGAUAUUGGGUUUGACCUCUUCCAUUUUAUGGAGGAGAGAGAGAUGAAAUCUAAAGAUCAGAACUGAGAAGUACCUUUUUAGCUAGUCUUCAUUAUUCAGAAAGUAAAAAUAACAAACAAUGGCAAAAUCUGAGAGAGAGAGAGAAGGAGAGAGGUUUAUCAAAUUUGUGGCUACAAGAACUGGGGUUUAUCAGAGGUUUCAUCCUCCUUCCUCUAUUAUCAAACUGUACAGUUGUGAUCAUUGAGAAGAGGAAUAUUUCAUAGACUGAAAGCAGGUAUUGAGCCCUCCAAAAUGAAAAUUGUAAAGGGGGGCUGACAUUAAAAUGAAAACAUAGAUAAAGAAGAGUUAAAAACCCCAAAAGGGGGAAAAAAGCACACACCAUUAUCUGGCAUUAAUAUUCCCACAACAAAGCUUCGAAGCUGGUUGGAAUCAGAGUAUCUGUUAUUGGCAAGUGUUCGGAAAAGUAGCCACAAUCAUCAGCUGUGUGCAACCACGGGGGAGGAUAGAGCCACCCAUCCACCGAGUCAACGAAAACGAAGUCGUUGCCUGACUCGGGCGUUUCGAAACUCGUUCCUAGACUUGGUAGCUCCACAAUCUCGCCCAGUUCCUCUGGGGUCGACGCGUCUGAGGUCGAUAUCAGGGAGGACAUGGAAGAUGACGAUGUUAUGGCCAUUGAUGAUGAUGAUGAAGAUGGUGAUGGUGAUGGUGAUGGUGAUGGUGAUGGUAAUGAUGAUGAAGAUGAUGAUGAUGAUGAUGAUGAUGAUGAUGGGUUGAGGUGCUCCAUUGAAGCAGCUUUUGCAGCGGCGGCUUGGACGUCUCGUGGGGAGGAGGAGGCGGGGCGAGGCAAGGAGGAGGCGAGUUCUGGGAAGUUAAGAAUGGCGGAGUUGCCUUUGAUGCUCAAGGCGGCAACGUCGUGGGCACGAGCGGCCAUUUCGGGGGUGGAGAAAGUGCCCAGCCAUAUCCGAGAUUUUUUGCGAGGCUCGCGAAUUUCAGACACCCAUUUGCCCCAAGUCCGCAUUCGGACCCCUCUGUACACUGGGUGCUUGCUGCUAUCUCUUCCUCUUUUGGGUCUCUCCUGAUCUGGGUCCGACGUUUUGGACCUUUUAGCUGGUGGGUUCUGUAUUCCGGAUGAGGAUGGUGAAGAUGAAGAGUUACUGCAACACUCCGUUUCUGAGUAUGCUUGCUCUGCCAUUGCUAAUGGCGAUGUCCCCAGAAGCUUGAUUUGCUUUGCUGUUAAACCCGCAGCAAACAGAAACAAAGUUUUGGUUUUUCCUCGAUAAGUCCCUGUGCUUUGUCUCAGUAUAGCACACUGUAGUCUGUAGAGUUGGUCGAUAUCUUGAUUCCUCACACUACAGAGAGAGAGAGAUAAUAAUAAUAAUGAGGAUAAGGAGAGCUACAGAGUAAGCUGCAGAUGUAGCUAGCCUACAAGGCUCAGUGUAUAUAUAUAGAGAGAGAUCAAAGAAGAAGACCGAUGAGUGAUGGUACGCUCAGUAAAUGUAUACGUGUGCUUGCGAGAGAGAGAGAGAGAGAGAGGGGGGUCGCAGAAGGGAGGAGAGAAGCAGAUAGAAAUCAAGGGAAACGUGCCCUUACAAAGGGACCCUCACAACCGACCUGGCCUUUUGGCCAUCAUUUAUUAAUGAAUGAAGCAGCCCAUAACACUCACACACGUAUUGGCCACGAUAGAAAUCCCUAAGAGACGCACUCAGAACCCAAAGGGUCUCACCACGCCCCAUACAAAAUCUCCCCACGGUUCCUCUGCCCACUACCCAACAUCACAGCCGUCUAUGGGGUCUCUCUGUCCUCGGUGCUUUCAAGUUUCAUCUCAUCUCCUCUCUCCUCACUUUCGUACUACUCCUCCUACACUCCUACCACUUCCCCACCCCCCUUAAUUAAAUUUCUUUCUUUGUCCAUUUUCACACCUGUCUAUCCUGCACAGUGUUCAUGCCAUGUAAAUCAUGCUCCAAACCCAAACACUCCCUCACCAACCCCUUCCAGUUUCCUCCAUGUGGGUGCGGCUGCCUCUUGCCUGCUUUCACUCACUAUUCCCAUUUCACAAACCUCUCCUCCUCUUCUUCUUCUAUUAGUUAACUUUCCUCUCCUCAUGGAUUUUAUUAUCCCUCUUCAUGGGUAUGAAGCAUUGAUCCCUAUUCCCCAUUCCCAUUAUUAUGCUCUUAAAUUGAGUCUUCCCUUUUAUCUGCUAAAGGGCAUGCUACAUUUUCAUUAAUAUGUUCAGUGACACUUUUUUUUUUCUUUUUUAAUUUUGUAAGAAAUUAGGAUAUUAAUUGAUUAAGUCUGGUGAAAGAUGAAAGCCUUUUGACCAAAAAAUAGUAUUAGUUAAUUUUGCUUUUCUCUGAAAGUGCAAGACAGAGACAUUCGGGGGUUAUAGCGCGUCACCAUGCUUCAUAACUCGUACCACCAAGUCUUUAUUGUUUUGUCCCAGCACCACAGCUCCCCCAAACUGGACUUCAUCAAUAACCCAUUGUGAAGGAUAAUUUAAUUUAAUUUUAAUUUCACAAAUACAUUAACUACAGUCCAUUUUUGUGGAAAACCCACAUCCCUGAUUUCAAGAAAAAAAACGAAAAAAAAAAGAGAAGAAUUUACAUUUGAGUUUUUCUUACUAAGAGAAGAGGGAGGGGGGCGGGCGGGCGGGGGCAAGGACAUAACAUAAGAAGUCAUGACUACCCUUUACUUGAAUUUGCUUUCAGAGGCACCCUACCUCUAAAUUAAGGACACACAACAUCACUUCAAAUGUCAUCAAGGGGGCCCUUUGCAUGGUUGUAAAACUGGAUUAUGAUCUUCUUUUUCAAGACUAAAUAGUCUGGAGGCUGGAGCCAUGGAAUGGAAAGGUGAAGACAAAUCCAAUUUAGCACUCAAAUUUCCCAAGAAAUGGUGUAAUCAUAAAAUCUGGGUUACAAGAUGUUGUUCCAUAUUCACCUAAAGGGUGUUGAGAAUAAGUUGAAAUGUACCUGUACACUGAGCUGUUGAGAGCGAUAUCUUGGUCCAUAAUAAUUAAAUUCAUUCCGGUCCAUUUUGGAAUAUGUCCGUACUUGGGACCUAGAAUAAUACAACUACAUUCCACGGCCACAGAUUAGUAACCUAUGGUUGACAAAUGGCUACAAUGGUGGGUCACAUUGGGUCCUUAAUCACUGGACUUUAGCAUGAACUCAACCUGAUUAAUCAGACUCUUGGAACCAAGAAGUCUGCUUUUAAUCAUUGUGGGCUUUGGAGACAUGGGGUGGAUCCAAUCCUACAUUUCAUCCUUGCUUUCUUCCCUGUUUAAUUGUCAGGAAACUUCCGAUUUUUUCCUUCUGUAUUCUUGGUCCUUUUGCAGAUAUUUAUUCUAUGAUAUGCAUAUGACAAGAAGAUCAAUAUUCUUGUGUGUGGUUUUUUGUGAAUGAUGAGAAUAUUUUUGGUUGAUUAAUCCCACAAUACUAAAAGGAAGAAAACCCAUUUAUAUAUGUAUUGAUAUGAACUACUCUGCAGAAACUGGGCUUUUGAGGCUUUUGUUUCAUGUUGAGUUUUGAGUAUUUUUCCCCUUUUUGCUGUUUUACAAAACUAAACCACUCUGUCAAACUUCCAAAACUAUGAAAAGGGCCAAAUUCAAGCAAAAAAGGGUCUAGUUAAUGUCAUCUGAAUCCAAUCCACUUCCAUUUGGUCCCCAUUUGUUUUCUUUUGCACUAAGCCAGAAGCACUAGUGGGUCAAAGCAAGUAUUGGGUGAGUACUAUUCCAAUGAAUUCUGGGGAUGCUGAAUGGAUACACAGAAGCCCAAAGCAAAACCCAUGUUUUAAGACCAGAUUCAACUACCAUAAGAGUUGAAGAUGAACCCUCAUCUCCAUCUCCCCCAUCUCAAAUUCUUCACAUUCUUUUGGGAUAAGAAAGAAGAUAAACCCUCUGUUAAAUUCAGAAGUGUCACCUUCACAUUCAAUAGCGAUACUUACAGUUUGUUUUGGUAAGUACUGUUAAAUUAAAUUAGAGGGCAGUACUGCUUUACUACACACCACACCCCCUCUUCACAGAACCUAACAUAUUUGUUGCACUGCAGGGCUGCUUUUGGUUGCUCUUCUCUCUACACAUUUUCCCUCUUCUGGCCUUCCAAUUGUACUGUAAAAACUAGACUUCUUCAAAGAUGGGCUACUAAUUACUAGAGCUAGCUGUAAAAUCAUCCAUUUUGAAAGGGAAGUGUAACUCCCAUACUUAUAUUUCUUCCAUCAGUAUUCUCAGGCUCAAUAGUUACAGAAUCACAAGAUGGCAUCAGAUAUAUACUUGGUAUCUACUGGUUUGGGUUGGGGUGGGGAGGAAGGCCUUGGAAGCAGUUUCAAAAAAAAAAGACUAUCAUUUUGGUUGAAAAAGAGUUAGUCAGGAUUUAGAAUGGAUGAUUGGACAUUAGGGCAUGGGAUAUUCUUUGAGCAUUUUGUUAUUUUCUUGAGAAUGUAAUGAACAAAUGUACAAUGGUUCUUCUCCUUUAUCCAGAUUCAGUAGAUGUACCACCACCCAUACUCAAAAGCUGUCAAGCCCUCACAAAAGGUAUUAAUACAGGCACUGUUCUACUGUGGGUUUAUCUUCAUAGUUUUUCAGAAAAGGACGUAUUGCUACCUAGGUUCUUGAUACCAUAAGAUAAAGAAGAAAAUCAUGGCUCUGGUUUUCAGCAUUUAAUUCACCAGCUAUCUUCUUCAUUCACUCAUUGGCUUGGCUUGCAUUAUUAUUAUUAUAAUUGUACCGGUUUUUGGAAUAUUGAAGACCAUGUAAUGCCAGUCCACAGUCCACACCCACAUCAUAGGUUACCAGACUACACAGUUGUUUCUUUUAUUCCAAAUAGCUUAGUGCUUGUUUGGAUCUUGAAUUUUUUUUUUCUUCCUAUUUUAUUAUGAUGGAGAAUGGGAAGUAAAAGAAUCCAUAGUGGGAACAAAGAGACAACUCACUAUGUUUCAUCUCAAAGGUUUAAAAAAUGGAAAGGCUUUUUCUUAUUCACUUAUGCCUCACUUUCUUGAUUUCCUUCAAUUUGUUAGGUUUCUUUCAAUUUCUUAUUAUCGGCGUUUGACAGUAUUUUGUCUAAAUAAUAGAGGCAAGUACUAAAUGAUAAUAAAAAAAAAAAUUAAAGAUUCGUUGUACAAUUUUUAUCAAAAUAAUGUUGUCAUGAAUUAGAUAUAAAAACAUUGAAGUCAAAAUCGAAUCAUGUUUUUUCUUCGUAUGCUCUGUUUUUCAAUUUUUGAUAACCAAACAUAACUUAAGAAAAUUUAAUAUGUGUUAUAAUGAAGUCGUAUUCAUCGUAAUUCACUCAUGAGAUAGAAACCCGGAUUUUUGGAUUGGGUAUCAUGCUCAACCCUAACCCUAAUUUAAUAUAGCCUAUACCUUGAAAGGCUUGAAGAGGGUGAAUCUUAUUUGCCAUUUUGCCUAGAACAAGGCUAAGUUCAUCUUUAGGCCAUUAUUUAUUGAAUGAUAUUGUAGGGCAGUUGGCUAUUUUUGUGAUAGAGCAUUGAAAUGGAAGCGGCUUAGUUAAUGGGCUGGGGACACUUUGGGCCUACUAGAAUUUAUUGUGCUGACGGGGGGAACAAGGCAUCGGAUGGGCUUUAACAUACAUGAAUGAGCAUAUGGGCCCAUUCAUUUUUCUAUGAUCAUGUGAAAAACACAACCACUCUAGUAUGUCCAAUGAAUUGAUGAUUUGGAAACAUCUUUUCACACUCCCCAUUCAUUAUUCUUGUGAUUUGGGGGGCCUAUAAAACUAAACCAAAUGGAGAAACUUGAUGAUCUGAGCAUUUUAUGAGGCUUGAACAUGAUGGGGCCCUCAUUGAUGGCUUCAGCGUCUGGCCCAUGAACAUAACCAAAACUUCACCCUAUUCUGGUUUUUAAUCAAAAGAGGCUUUAGUGUUUUCCCAGUAUUUUUCACCAGAAGUAUCCCUUCUGUAAUAAUGCACUUCAAAGUUGGGCCUUCUUCAAGGCCCAUCAAGGACCUACAGAGAGAAGCACAAUGCAGAAUAGUAAUCACAAUUUAUGAUUGGAAGUUUCCCUAACAGUUUGCACAACAAUGGCUAGACAAUAAUGGGUAGAUGAGUUUUAAGUCAUUGUGUUUGGUUGAAAAAGGUACUUUAAAAAACAAUUUUCUCACAUUUGGUUUAUAUAAUUAAAAUUAAUAAAAAGCUUAUAUAUUUUAGGAUUAUUUAAUUUUAAUAUAUAUAAAAAGGUUAAAUACGCGAAAUUUUUUUUAAAAUAGUAUAUAAAAUAAUUUGACUUCAAAUUUAUUUUUUGUUAUCCUUCACUAUUUUCUUUCCCUCACAUUUUCCUUCAACCAUUUUAAGAACCAAACAUAACCUUAGGAUUUUAUCGAGUUGUAUAAAAAAUAAAAAAUAAAAACCGACCCAGUUUUGCAUAUGCUUUGAGUUUGGUUCAAUCCUCCUUAGUUCACUAGCUUCUUUUGGGAAGCAAGUUCAAUUCUGAAUUGGACGUUACUGAAAAUACAAGAUCAAAAGAAGCUUUACCAAUGCUAGCUAUAGAAAGUGUAAUAAAAUAUUAUUGUUCUUGGCAAAACUUUGAAGUAAGGACAAUAAAGGGAGCAUUAGAAGCAAGCUUUUUGAAGUUGGCAAGUGCAGGUGCGUCCAAAAAGAUAAAACGGACUUAGAUGACAUUUGUUUUUUUUCAAAAAACAAAUGUCAUCUAACUUUUUAUAUUCAGUUAAAAAUAUUUUGUUGAUAUUAACUAAUAUAAUUAAAGUAAAUUUGUUAUCAAUAAGUUUAGUUUAAUUAUGUUGAUGAAUGUUAAUAAGUUACUUUUAAUUGAAUAGAAAAAACAAAGUAUUUUGACUUUUUCUAUUCAAACCAAAAAGUCUUUUUGAAGUGUGUGAAUUACUACUUCCUCAUUCUCUCCUCUGUUCUUUCUUUGUCUUCCCCAGCUCCACAAGCAGAGUCAAAAGAGCCUCGCUCAUUUCACAAGCAUCAGGCUCACUAAGAUCCUUCUUCCCUGAAAAGUAAACCAUCCAGGCAUGGUCGAGCUUCAGAUCUGGUUUGACAACAACUGAGCCUGGAACUUCAGCAUCACGACAUGUCACUAACCCAUCACUCUUCUCCCCAUACCUGAGUUGAAGGUGAAGUGCACAAAGAGACAGGACAGCGGAUAUAGGAAUUACUACAGGCACCUUGCAUCCUUGAACAUCAGACUCUUUGCUACCAAAUCUGGGAAGGGGGAGCAAGGGAAGUUCUGCAUGAGCUACGUGGGACAUUGUGGCAAGGACGCUUGGAGCCACACUUGCUUCAGAGUGAAAGGAGAUAAGAGGGAUGCAUUCAGGGAGCUUGUGAUUCAUUAUGAACUCCCUCCUCUUCUCGUAUGUGAGGUCCUCCAAUGCCUGAAUGUCACCCUACAAUAAACCACUGAAAUAUUCACAAGGUGGGAAAUAUAAGUGUGCAGUGUGACCCAAAAAAUAUUUGAAGACAUGACACUAGGAAACAAAAAGAAAGCUUUGGGAGGAACCUCGUGACAACAAAUAGUCAUAAUAUAUCCCUCCCUAGCUGGAAUGAAGGUGAUAAAAUUUUUAAGCCGUUGGUUUGAAAAUCUGAGUUGAGAAGGUUGGCAUUUUUUGAUUAACCAACAAAUGUGUCAUCCCAAUAUGGAUACAAGGUGUUAUAAUCCCAAGACAACAGACAUGUAAGCACAACCCUGACCCUUCUUUUCCUCUAAGAUCCGUGUUAAUGAAAUUGAGAUGAAUAAUUUCAACUUAAUCAGUAGCCCAUGAGAAUCUGAGCUAUUUCUGUAAGCAGCACAACUUACUGUUCUUGAUUAGCUCUUCUUAAAUUUUCAGAUAAAAUUAUUUAUCAGUUCUGGAGUCCACACAGUAAGGAUAUAUUAAUUGGCAUUUGAUAUUGAGCAAUUUCCCCGAGUCUAGAUGAGCUGUAAGUUAACCUACAUAGAAGUUUGAGUUUUCCAGGCCUUAAAUACAUGUGUUCUCCCACAAAAACCAAGUCAACCAGUCUUGGGCAAAGAAAAAAGUUACCUUAAUUAACUUGCAUAUCAAAAACUCCAAGAUCCUCCGGGUUUCCCUGUCAGCAAUCUGGCCUUCACGAAGAAUAUCAGAAGCUAAGGGGGUUCCACCGUAUGGGCUCUGCACCAAAGCUAAUCCAGCAACUUUGUCCUUUAAGUCAGACCAGUACAUAGAUAAUGCAGCUGCUGCAUCAACCCCACCCUUGCUGUGCCCAAGCAAGAUCACACACUUUCCAGAUCCCCAGUAAAGUUCUUCAAUGUAUUGCUUCAGUUCCCAAGCAUUAUGCUCUACAGAUGCCUUCAUAAAGUUAUGGCAUUAACUAUUGUAAAGCAAGAGAAUUGCAAAAAAUAAAGUAAAAAAAGCAGAUCGCAAGAGCAAAUCUGCCAUUGUUGGGUAUGAGGAAGUAUAUCAUUCCAUGGUGAAUCUUACUCGAAUAAACUUAUGGAGAAAUUUUUGUUUACCUCACUGUGAAUUUUGGCAAUAUGGCAAGCUAGACCCAUCUUUGAAAAGAACUUCUUAGUGUUCACAAAAUACAAUGGACCAUGAUUGCCAAAAAGGCCUGACAAAUGAGAAUUUAAAAUACAAGCAGUUACAUUCCAAAUGCAAACAUUGGCAUACAAACCAAAAAACAAGUUCAGAAUUCCAGAAUAAAAGUAUCUUUUUUAUACCUGGAAUUAGUAGAUAGACAUAUGAGUUUGGGAGCGUGUGCUUUCCAUUCCUAAAGAGCAAAACAACACAAAGUGCAGGUGAUUAAACUUAUAAACAAAUGGUCAACAAGGUAAAGAACAGAGGAUAAUUUCAAUGGUGAAAAACAGAUCUAGUGACCAUUCAAGCAUACACAUUUAAGUAAGCAAGUUAUCAAUGAAAUAGAAGGAAUUUGAUAUGACAUCAUAAUGAAUUUUCAUAAUAAUAACUAAGAUCCAAUCCAAUCCAACUGUUCUGUUUUAAUCAAGACAUCUAGGAAAGGGCAACACAGACAUAGCCUCCAUGCAAGAGAUUUAAAGUCUGUUUGGGAGUAAUUAUAGUAAAAGCACUUUUGGUCCAUAACACUUUUUUGAGUAGAGCUUCCACUGCAAAAGCUUUUACAAAGAAUUGCAUAGGGCUUGGAUAUAAGAGUGCGUUUGGCAAAGAUUUUCAUAAGUAUUUCUAGCAUUUUUAAUACUUGAAAAAUAAAAAUUUUCAAGUGUUAGAAAUACCAAAAACACUUUCCAAAAUCACUACCAACGCACUCUAAAUUUUCAAAAAUAAGUGUUUUUCAUAGUGCUUUUGGCAAUGUGUUAUAUGAUAAAAAGGUGAGUUUUGGAAGAAGCAUCUGCCAAGUAAUUGUGUCUUUAGCAAUGUGUAAUACGAUUAAAAAGUGAUUCUUGGAAGAAGCAUCUACCAAAUGAUUGUCUAGGAAUCACUUCAAGUGAUUCUCCAGAUUUUUAAAAGUGAUUUUCAAAUGUUUGCCAAACACCUAAUUUCUAUAAGGAAGUGCUUGCAAGCAUCAGAAAGCGCUUCUAGCCCUCUCAAAAUCAAUCCCAAAAGGGCUCGUCAUUGUUUCAAUCAUUAAGUACAACAAAGUCAGAGUAGAAGCUGGUAGAGUGUUGUCUUCUGUUUUUUUCUACCUCAAACCUGUGGUACUCUUCAACUUCACUGACAUACCAGUGUCAACACAAUAUGACAAGAGUGUGGGUGUGGAGAUCCUUUUCAUGUAAUAUUGCCUCAGACAGACAUCCUAGGUUUCUCUUAACAUGAAUUUUUUUGCAGGACCAUGUUAGACAUGCCAUCCAAUAAAAUCAUAGACAAGCUUCUCACAAUCUUAUACAAGGAACCAAAAAAGAAGAAGAAGAAGAAAGAAAGAAAGAAAGAAAAAGGAAAAGACAGAAUUAUUACCUUAUGAUAUCUCAGUAAGAUCCAGCCUAAACUUAUCUCAGAGAUAUACACUUCCAGAAAAAAAAUCCAAGAAUGACCCAAUCUAGGUUCUACUUAAGAGAAGGCUUUAUGAACUUGAUAUGUAGCAAGGGAAUCCUAAAGAUAAAACACUAUCAUCACCAUAACUAACAAAAUAAAAUUCCACGGUUAAAUUUAACAUGGGAAAAUGGAUACCAAAUUAAAUUGGCACCUUAUCUCUCGAAGUAGUUCCAGGAAUCUUGCUGUACCAUCCUCCACAGGAGCCACCCCAGGAGUGCACUGCAACCAUCCAAUAUCAUCAGAAGAACCAUGCAGAGUUGUCUGUACUCGAGAUAUAAUGCUGAAGAUGCCAAAAUGAGAAACAAUUGUUAUAUGAGAACCAAACCACACAAUAAUGAUUUCACAAAUACAAUUAAUAACACUGAUUGAGAAGGAAAGAUAUCAACUCUAACAAUAACCCGAGAGACACCGUUUUACAGUUUGACCCAACCUUUUGCAAAGUUAAAACCUAGUCUCUUUACCUACGAACUCGAAUUUGCAUGCAUCUCACAAAACAGAAAGAAUAUCUCGAAGAGGCCCAUGCCAACCUCCAGGCAAGUCUCAUACCAAAGAAUGGGAGCAGCAACCUACACCCAGAUGAAGAAACUACAAGAUAAAUAAGAAUAAAGAUAAUUUGUGGAACAGGACGAAAUAACAAAAUUCCAACACAAAUCAUGGCCAGUGAAGUGAUCAAGUAGCUGCAAUGCUCAGUUAUGAUACACACCUCCUAAAAACCUGAAUAAUUGAGACUAAGGCACUGGUAGUUGAUAAUUUAACAAGAUAAAAUGAAAUAAGGAAGCAAAAUAGAUUAGUCAAAAACAUCAUUCAUUUAUUUAAUUUAAGAAUACAACUCUAGGCCCACAGUAAGGAUUUUGAACUAAUAACGAGAGCAAAGCUUGAAUUCAAUUUAUACAUGCAUGGCUGAAUCUUUAUAAUACAGUAUUGCUAGAGAGAAUGACAUAUAUUGUGGGGCUCGAAUCCUACAAGCUUAAGCUUUUAGGAAAAUUACAUGUCGAACAUCUCAUUCAAAUUUUACUGUGUCUAUUUACCCCAAUUCAUGCCCUAUGGGUCUAUGUGCCUCUCCACAUGUAGACAUGCAGCCAGACCUGAGGAGAGAGUGUUAGAGAGAAUGAUAUAUAUUGUGGAUUCAAAUCCUACAAGCGUAAGUUUUUAGGAAAAUUGAUUGUCCAACAAGUGUCAUAGAGGAGCUUAACAGGAGGAGGAUUAAUACCCUUGAAAAAGAAAGGAGGUGCUCUGAUAACUGUAAUUGCUUCCUGCAAUUUGGGAUCUUAUAUUUACAUGAGAUUCUUCCUUCAGGUCAAAGGCUCUUCUUUCACAGACUUCAUUGCAGCUAAAACGACUUGAGUGUUGUCCACAAGAAAUCAUCACUGGAUCCUCAGAGUAUUUAUUGACAUCUCUUGUUACAAGAUUUUCUGCAACAAGAACAUCAUUCCUAAUUGCAGCCAUCAUUUUCUAAAAAUAACGAUAAGAAAUGAACUUCAGUGUAUGACAACGAAGUCCAGGUGAAAUAGAUAUAACAUCCUUUGUACUAUGGACAUUCAAAAACAAAAUUAUAGGCAGUGAUGUCAAGAAUCCAUAUCACCAAAGACAUGCACAAAGAUAUACAACGUAAAGAACUUACCAAUGAACCUAAUAAAUCGAUGUCUUAUAUAUGAAGUCAAGGUCAAAAAAUGGGCAAAAAUGUCAUCCAUUGACAAAUAAAAUCUAGGAUGUUCAGCUUGAAGACCUGUGAUCCUCAUGGCAGGACAGGAAGCCUGAUAAGAGGGUCUAUAUUAGACAUGGAAAACCAAGCUUUCAAAUAAGAAUGAAAUGAAACCACAAUAUCAUUGUCAAAAAUGCCAGUAGCAAAAUCCAUCUCACACCAUUCUUUCUAACAGUGAUAAUAAUCUGUGAUAAACUCUCAUGCACUAUCAACCACUGAUACACACCCCUCAUACGGUUCAUCUCUCUAAAUAAAUAAUGCAAAAUUAAUCUUACCACAUCCUUUCUUUGAUAUCUGUGUCUUUCAAAGAGGUAAGAAUUGCUUGAUAUAUGCCCCACCUGAUACGACAUGAAAAAAAGGGAGAGACGUUAACUAAAGAUGCUACAGGAUGAGAACAUAAAAAAUUACCUUAACAUAUAAGAGGUCACGUAUAAUAAUACAGAUGCUACACUCACUGUUGAAGGGAUCUCAAAUAUUUCCCCAUUGAUACAUGAAUUGUCCAUUGCUUCUUCUAGUCCUGGAAGAAUGCAACAAGAAUAUUGUUACAGCACAAAGGACAAGAAUGCAAUUUCAAUCUGCACCAGACCAUACAAAAGGGAACUUUUUUAUAAAGAAACACACAAGAACAGCAUUGCAACAUAUAAAAAGGAAAAAAGAUUUGAAGCAAGAAUGUCCUAAAUAUAAGGAAAUAUCUAUAAUAAAGAAAGGAAAAGAAAACCAAAAAAGCAGGGCCCAUCCUCCUCUAAUGAACAGUAUGACAACAACUUAACCCCAAUUUUUUAUUUACUUCUUAUUUUUUAUUGGAGGGAAGCCUGAAGCAAGGUAAAAUCAUUCAACCUCUGGAAAAAAGAAGAGCUGUAACAAAAAUAGUAAGAAUUUCAAAAAUAAAAAAUCGAUUCAUAACCUCUAACACAACUUAUCUAUACAACUCUACAGCCUUAUUUGGAUUGAUUUUUGAGAAGUCAAAAGUUUUUUCUUAAGUUCAACAAGAGCUUCUAUACACCAUUUGUUAAUUUAGUUCAGAGAGCUUAUGACUUAAAAAAAAAAAGCUUAAUAUGGAAGCCAGGAAAAUUAUGCUUCUUGUAGAACCUUUAUUUUAACUUAUGCAAGAGGUUCUUUUAUGUUUAAUAAAACUUUUACAAUACCAAUAUUACCCUUUAAAAAUUAUGACUUUUGCUUCAGCUUCAACUUUCCACUAAAGCAAAAAGUAGGUAAUUAUCUCAAACGAGACUUACAUGAGUCAGCAGUGAUCAAAUGUCAUAGAGGAAAAGAAUCACAAUAGGCUUGAAAUAGUAAUGUUUCUUCAAAUUAGCAGUUCAAUUUAAAUUUUGGAAUGACAUAAAAACAUUAGCAUUCCCAAAGAAUAGGAGAAAUGGCAAGCAGUAAUGGGACUGAAAUACUUGAUCCUUGAGAAGACUGAAGAAAAGAAAAGGAAGUAGCUAAAGCCACUGCUCAAAGAAAAUAGAAAAUAAGUUACUGUUUUUGUAAUUGUUUUUUAGAACAACUUUUUAUUAUCCAGAAGAAAAAUACGAAAAAUACGUUUGACAACCAAAAACUAUUUUCUGUUUUCUAUUCUUAAGAACAAAAAAUAUAGUAUUUUUAGAAAACAUCUUUCAAUUGUUUUCACUUAUUUUCUGAGAAUUGUUUUAAAAAAUAAUUAUGCAAACACGUAAAAUAAAUAAAAAUAAAACAUUAGAUAUAAAUUUUUAAAAAAAAUCAUAUUUAAAAUAUUAAAAAUAAGUUAAAAACAUUUUAGGUUUUCAAGAGAAUAAUUUGUUAGAAUUGUUUUCGAAAUAGUUACCAACUAGACAUGACACCAACUUUGGCAUAAGCAUGAACUUCCAUAAAAGUAGGAACUAUAAUACCAACUAGACAUAUAAUAUAAGUAGAGCCACUUGCAUCCCCACAUUCAACCAGAAAGACUAGUUUAUGAGGUAAAGGGACUAAAUCAAAAUUAGAAAGUAACAGUAGCACCCAGCUGAGAAUAUCAAAUACAUCUGCAGAAAAGCAUAUCAAAUCAGCACAAUUUCUUCACUAGGCUUUCGAAACACAUAACCAAUGUAUCAAUAGUGAUCACAAAUCCAAAUCACAGAGAGUGACUUACACUAAUAAGAUACACUAGAAGCCCAACAAUCGAGGAGAGACCCAGAUUUACAAAAUCCAGGAACAGAUCAUUCUUCAGAAGCAUAAGAAACCCAUAUUUAAAGAAGGAAAAAGGGGAAGUCUACAUGUGCCCCAUUCCCAGUCUCUGCAAAAAUAAAUAAAUUAAUGAAUCGAUUAAUAAUAAAUUAAGAAGUGAGAAAACAAUAUGGAAUAUUUGAAAUACCGUAUGGGAAAAGAGACGUUGUGGGAAUGGGGCAAUGACUCCGAUUGACUCUGAUCCAGAUGAAGCAAGCUAUCUUUAUCCAAUUGCUCUUAUUCGUUUUGGAAUGGCCCACCUGAGGUCAUUUCAACGCCACCCCAAUAUAUAAAUCCGAAAUCAAACUAGUGGGUUUUAUGAAAUUUGGGAUAUUUUCAAAAAGCCCUCAAAAUAACAAAAUAUUGGGUAAAUCAAAGUCCCAUGAACCUCCGAUUUCACCGACACCAUAGCUGUGAACACCAGAUUCUGAGGCCUAAUGAGAAAGCACCCAAAGGCAAAUACACCAAAUUAACAAAUGGGUUUCAUGAAAUCUAGGGAAUUAAAAAAGAUCCCUUAAGAAAUUGGAUAAAAGCAGUCCCAGACGUCUUGAAUUUAGUGACACUUUACCAUAUUCUGAGCCCUAAAAAUAAUGACAUUGUUGAGUAAAAUUGAGGCCAUCGGGGCUUUAGGAGGACACGUGUCGGCUCCCCGGUACGCGUUCAAAGAGUAAGCCAAAGGUGGAAGACUGGAGCGGAUACCCACUUUUUCGGUCAAAGCGACCGACUUCCAUGGAUAAGCUUAAUUCUUUAAAAUUGUAUGCAGACAAGUGGCAAAAAGAAAUAUCUCUAUGAAAAUGCAGACACCCAAAUUUGAAAGCAUGUUCUUCUGUUGCCGAGAUGGGAGGUUGGGUUGAGAUAGACCAUGUCAAGUCGGUAUCCCAACCAGCUCAAGGUUUCAAUACCCCUGUUUGGCUCGCGGGAAACCCACUUUGUGGUUUUUUUUCCCAGCAGUAAUUAGAUUUUCCUAUGCCAAUGUAGGGAGCUCUGGUCUUGAACUUGUGUUUGUAUAAAAACUCAGGCCAUGUAUUUGAUAUGCCAAAUUCAUAGAACAGCUGUUAAUAACUACCCAAUUUGCCAGAACACCUGUACAAUCUUCAAAUAGAUUUAGCCUGUUCCAUGGAAGCACACUGGAGCAUGAAAGGCUUUCAGGAUGAUGUUUUGUGAUGGUUCAGCAAGGCUCAAAUCAAGCCCUGAAAGACAAGCCUGAAAUGGAAUAUUUAAGGUGAAUACAAAGUAUAAACAUGAGGUUUUUUGAAAUCAAAAUAGGGUUCUUGAUCAAACACUAGAUGGAGAUGUUGAGGAAUUUCUAGAUUUUCUAUUUAUAGAAGUCUACAAUCUUAAAUCUUUCUUACAAGAGGAAAAUGGUACAACAACAUAUAUACAAAAGGGAAGGAGAAAAUUGCCUUAACAUAAUGUUAAUUCUCACAUCCAGACAGAGCCUCUUUGUACACCAUGAAAAGAGGACAAUAAAGAGAGGCAAAUGGUUUAUUCAGCAGUCUUUUUGUUUUUCCUCUGCAGGCUUGCAGUUGUGUCUCUACUCCUCAUGUUUAACUUCAUCUCAUAUGCCCAUCAAAAGAUCUCUUAAAAUCAUCUAGGUUUUACCUGGAAAACUCUGUUGUACCAAAUUGAAUGGAGGGUCAUGUGGAAAAGAUCAUACUUCAAGGGCUUGGCAUGCCACAGAAAAUGCUUCUGAACCUUCCUUACCCCAAGCUGCAUUUGAAGAUACUUAUCAUUUGGUAUCGAGAGGAGAACAUCUUUCAAGUUGGGAAUAUCUUUCUCUGCCAGUAUUAUUGAGAAUGCUCCCCAAUCUAAGACAUCGAAAAAUGGUGGCACGAAAUUGUCAGAUAUGAUCACAGGCACACACUCGUAAAAGAUGGCUUCAACCACCCGUGGGCUGUUGACCUCGUAACCCUUGGGACAGAUGCAAAACUUGCUGCUCUUCAUGUGCUGGAUGUAAUUCAUUUUGCUUGCAACACCAGGAGGCAUUGGGCCAUAGAUCUUCAUAUCAGGGUCUUUGUCCUUCCAGUACUUCAGCAAGAUUGGUCGUAAAUAUCCAUGCAUGUUUCCAGCAUAAAAGGCAAGAAUGUGCCUCUCAGAAGGAGGUUUUCCUCCGAGAUCUCGAAGAGGAUUUCUUGCGGAACGGACAUAUGUUUCUGGAAGAGACACAUCCCUGCCUAUUUUGAAGCCUGCAGUUACAUCAGCAUUGCAGAGGGCUUUGAUGCAUUGUUCCAUAUGAUGUCUUGUUUCGUAUGGAGCCUACAAGGGUCCAACGCAUCAUAUCAGAUUAAGUCCAAACUAAGUGAGACUAGCAUACUUUUGACAAAGACCAUGGCCACACAACAUCACUAAAAAUCAGGUUUUUCUUUUUCAACCAGAAAAAGCAACUGGAUUGUCUAAUUUCCAUUCAUUUUUACUUAAAUGAUUAAAACAUACUUGAUAACGUGAUAUGGUUCUGAUAUGGCAUAAUACGACAGGACUUUUUUGUCAGUAUCAAGGCAUGAAACCUAAACCCACUCUAAAACAUGAUUUGAAUGUCUUUAACAUAAUAAAAUACUCAAAAACCAGUCAAGCUAAAGUGACCAAAAAGAAAGAUGUGCAGAAAGCAUACCCAAUCAUGGCAAGCAACAAGAAAGUGAUCUGCUCCACCAGUUCUAUUCCAGAAACGAUAUUUUGCAGCAAUUUUUUCUGAAUACUGCUUCAAAUAUUGGCGUAGAUUGGUCCGGUUGUGAGAGUUCCGUACAUACAGUUUGUACUCCAGCAUCCGUGAACUAAAAGGCAUAUAAAACAGCUGAGCCUGUCGAGGGUCCUUCACAACAAAAUGCUUGUUUCUCUCCAUCAGUUUCAUAAACCAUCCCUCAGAGGCAUAUAGUCCCUUGAGUAUUGGUUGGUGAAAGAUGGGUUUUUCUCCAUCCUUGUAGACAUAAACUUUCAGGAUGCGCUCCAUGAGUUCAUAGCUUCUGCAAAUGCAACCAAAUGGAAGUUAACAUUGAAACCCUUUGUCAACAGAAAAGUGUUGUUUAGCUGUAUUUUUAUUUUUAUUUUUUUUUUGUGAUAAGUAGUUGUUUAGCUGUAUUUUCAUACAGCUAGAAGGCAGAUCUAUGAAAAUGUUGAAAGAAACAGGACUUAAGUUCUUAGAUGGCAUGAUCUUCUCCAUCCAACUAUUUCGUGUUCUAUUCUUCAAGCGAAGAUUAAGAACAGAAUAAUUUCUAAAUCAAUUUCCACCAUUGGUUGUGUUAAUCAUGGGAGGACCUUCUUCGAGUUUAAUCAGCUCCAAGAUCAUUCGAAUGCAUCCAGCUUAUUUUUUAAUUGUGGCCAGAGAAUAAGGCAUGUCAAUUGGUGAUUGUGAGUCUCAAGGAUACAACUCCUCGAUACCAUAAUAUUUUAUAUCAUAAAGUUAUCAGCAACUACAAACAAUAUGUGUCCCAAUCCCUAAAUUCCAACAUCUUAACAUUUAGGGAUCUAGCAAGUCAAACAUCUAUAUCAUACCUAAUAUGCAAAUUUUUUUCAAGCCCAGAAGUUAGUUACCAAGUGUUGACAGAUAGGAAAACCUAGUUGAUUACUUAUUGGUUUCUAGAAGCAUCUUCUGAAUGUGUCAACACAUGGAUGUUGACUAUGAAAUACAUUUACGUAUCUCUAAUACAAUAAAGCAAGCAUAACACAGACAUCAAAGGAGUAAGCCUCCAUAACAAACAAACUCAUUAGAAAUAAGCGGAAGAAAUGCUCUUUCUUUUUUCUUUUAUGGGUAAAAGAAAUGCUCUUUCUAUUGGACAGAUUAGAGUCGAAUAGGCGAAGCUUCUGCAAGAAAGUUUCACCAAGAACAGAAAAAUCAAUACAUGCAUUAUUCCACUCUUUUCAAGCAGAAUUACCAAGUACUAUUAUCAAUGAGAAUGAUCGAGCACGAUUUUAUGAGCUUUAAAGUGAGUAACUCGUAUAUUUCUUCUACAGUUUCACUUCCUUCCUAUUUUCAUUCUUCUCUACUUUCAAAUUAUAAGUAGCAGCCUGGAAUGAUAUUAAUUUCACAUCAUAAUUGGAAAUCAAGCAAGUAUUAAAACUCAAAGCAAGCCAGUCAAAUAAAAACUUUCUGAGUUCCAGAAUCCCAUGAAUGAAAUGGCAAAAUAAAAGUAUACUUUCACAACAAUGUAGAUUUAUGUAUAUGAUUUUAUCAGGAUUACCUUUUAAACAUGGAAACAUUUCGAAAAAGAGGAGCAUGAAGUUCUGGAUCAUUCUUUACUCUAGGAGCAUUCUGAAUCUGUAACUUUGCAGCCAGCAUUUCCUGGUCACGUGGGGAGGCCCAACGAGGUCUCUGAAUUCCAAUGAUAAAGUUAAAAUUCCCAAUAAAACUACAGCAUUGAAGGUAAAAUUUAAUUAUAAAAAUGAAAAACUUGUACCAUUGCACGUGAGGAAGCACGGUGCCGAACUAAUCUUCUGUUCAUAUCAUAUAUUGAUGUUACUGAUUUUGGAGGCAUCUCACUCUGCAUCUUUUUCCUCCCAGGAUUACUUGUCAUUGCAGAAUUAUUGUUUAAAUCAGCAAGAUCACUCUGCAGCACCAGAAGAUUUUCAUCCUUAGAAAGGAUUUCUUUUUCUGGCUUUCCAACAGAAGAUAUGUCAGUGGCGGUCAAAUGGUUUGAGGCGUUUCCAUUUGAUGCCAUUUUUUCGAUGUAGGUGGUGUUAAAUAAUGAAUCUACUCCAGGAGAUGCAAGCAAAUGGGAUUUGAAAGUAGUACCUAGACUUCCAGGGGUACUUGGUGUUAGACUUGCAUCUGCUUUUACAAUAUUGUCUGUUGAAAUUCCCUCAUUUGGUGGUUUCACAAUAUGCACUGCAGAGCCGAUGUGUCUCAUUUCACUGUCCUUUUUCAGAUCUGAACUAUUUUCUUGAUUGUUGACAUAUUCCAAUGCAGAGAUCCCAUCCAUAUCUACAACUUUCUUAAAUGGCAAACCUUUACUUAUGUUGUUAUCCUUAGUAAAUUCAACAACGUGAUCCAUGCCUUUGCUCUCUGAGGCAAAAUUCUCUGUGUCUCCACCCUUUUCCUUUGGUCCAUUAUCAUCCUCAUUGAAUUCAACAAUGUUUUCCAGGUCUUCUCUCUCUAAUGCAAGACCAUCUUCUAUGUCUUCAUCUGUUCCCUCUGUUCCAUUAUCAUCCCCAAAUUCUACCGUAACAUUUGAUUUCUCCACAUCUUCUACCACCUCAACAAACAGUGAAGUGUCAGUCAAGUCUGAAGCAUUGGAAAGAAGGGACUUGUUAACCAUAAAAGACCUGACAGAAGAUUGUCUAGUUGGGGAGCUGAAAUUGUCAUAUAUUGGAACAUCCCGAUCAGGCAGUAGAGACAGAAGAGCAUUUCCAUAUGGAAGCAACAGGGAUUGACACAACAAAUAAGUAAUUGCCACUAACCCCACCAUGAAAAUCCAUCUCCUGGUUUCUACCAGACAGAACUUUUGAAAUUUAAGAGUGCACUCCAUCUGCAAACAUUACCCGUCAUGUAAAUUCAUUCAAUCAUCUUCUAAAGAGAAACAUUUCUCGGCAGUCCUGCAUAAAUACCCAGAUUUCUAAAUUUAAUUACAACACAAUUCCAUUUAAAAAAUGUAAAUGUUGUUCACAAGAAAGAUAAAGCACCAUUGACAUUGUUGGCAACCCAAAAAGAAAUUCCAGACAGCUAAAUAUAAGAUUUAAAGCACUCAUAUGAAGUGCAAUGAAAUGCAAGAACCACUGAUUGGAACAAUAUAAAACUAAAAAUAGAAAGAAGAAAGAAGAAGUUGGUGCAAAUGAAGCAGACAAGAGCAGCAUAAGUUCAAAGACACAACCUUACAACCCACAAAGUUAAACAUUUGAAGAAAAAUGAUAAUAACAAUUGGAUUGUUGAAAAUCAGAUCAUACAUUUUCAUCCACCUAACUUCUAGACUAAAGCAUUUCCAGCAAAUAUCACUAACCCUGAAUAAGCAAUAUCAAUCUUCAACCUAGGGUUGAAUAAUCCAAAAGCUCAAAAUAUGUGAUAUUAUAUAAUUAAAUCUAGUAAUUGUAGACAAGCAUAGACCCUAGGACUUUGUUUGGUUGCUGAAAGAACGGAGGAAAGUAGAACUAGAAACAACACUGAGAUCUUGUAUUUUGAGCUGUUCACUUUUCUUUUUUAUGAUAGGCAUUGAGCUGUUCACUUCCUAGUUAAAGAAACACUUAACUAAUCCAAAUAGUUGCACAACAUCAACUUGAGUUAAUUUUUCUGGUUGCUUUGUCGGUCAGAGAAACCAAAAAAGUAGGUUUUUUAAAAUUUUCCUUCUAUUUUCUGCUCUUUCCUCCACUUUUUCAGCUGCCAAACAGAGCGCUUCUGUUCUAAAGUUUCAUAUACAAAAUAAAAAAGUAAAAAAUAAACAGAGCGUGACAAGCGGAUACUCGAUGAGCUUUGGACAUGCAUCAAAACCUUAACUAGCUUUACAACACAUCAGCAUACAAUCUGAGUGAUUCUCCCAGUGAUUUCAUCAGACAAAGCAACAGAAUUUUCAAACAGAAACUGAGCUCUGUGCGGAUGCUGAGAAAGGAAAAGAGAGGGAAACUCAAACCUUGUCCGGUCAGUUUGGUAGACAUCAAAGCAGCAGAAAAUGUGACCCUCCUUUCGUCUUCCUCCACUUUCUAGGCAGCCAAACUGAGACCAAGGAGCAUCGGUUACUGGAAUUGAAAGGGAUCUGAACACUGAAGAAAUAUUGUCGUUUUCAAUAAAGAAAGAAAAAAAUUAAAAUUGUUUUUUAAAGAAAAAAUAAUUAAAUAAAUAAAGGAUUCUCAUCAUACCCAUUACUUUCUUAAUUAAUUUUAUUAAUAAUAAAAUAAUAAUAUUUAAAUAAAGAUAAAAAAAAAAAAGGGUGAUGUUUGCCUUUUUCAAUUUUUCUCUUCAUUUAUUUUUUCUCUUUGGAAGAGUUGUUUGAAACUCCACUGGUCGUGUUCUAUAUACUUCUAUUGCUGGUUAAUGCUAGUGUCUUUGAGUUUGGGUAACAAAACGAUGUCGUAUUGAACUAGCCUGGAAAAUACCCUUCUUAUUUACCUUUUUACAUGAAUGCCACCCAAAAAAAAUUUCUAGGAAUUUAUUAUUUCCAUAAUUAAGAAUAUUUAAUUUCAAAUAUUGGAAUCGUAUCUUUGAUAGAUACAAAUUCGAUAACAUACGAUUUUCCUUAUAUAUAGCAUAAUAUUAAUAUGGCGGAUCAUUUAUUAAUACCGAAUCGAUAUUCAUAUAUUAAAAAAAUAUCACCAAUCAAAUUAUGUCUCAUAUAUAUGCGCAUUAUUAUUUAUGUCGAACCAAUAUAAUUUUUACCAUAUACCUUCGACUACCCAAAUUACAUGUUCGAUAAGUUCUAGAAUUUUCCCCGUAUAAAGUCAGGGGUGAAUUUAAGUUGAUGCAUGGGAACAAAUGAAAAGGAGGAGGACAAAAACUGAUAGAUGUAGGUGAGGAAAUUAAGAUAAGAUUGUUUAAUAUAUGAGUGAACAUUUGAGCUGAAAAAAGUAAUGUCACGUUGGAGGACCCCACCAGCAUGUAUUAAAGUUAUAACACUGACUUCAUUUCUUUUGGCACCUCCACCUAUCCUAUGGAGGAGCCUGCAUCACAAGCUUAUUGCCUUUUGAAUAUCAGACUUGGCUCAAAACACAAUAAAUACCAAGCUUGAGAAAGGUCAAAGUAAGCUCCAGCUAACCUCACUAACAGUAGUAGAUGUGGAGGAGGCAUAUGGAUUGUUUUGUAAUUUUGAAAAUUAGUUUUUUAUAAUAUUUUUUAAAAUUGUUAUUUAAUAUCUUAUAGGACAAAAGUUGUUUGAAAAUUUAAAAUAUUUUUGAUAUCUUUAAAUAUGUUUUAAAAAUAAUUUUGAUGUUUAAUAUUUUAUUUUUAAUUAUUUAUAUGUUUAUAAAAUUAUUUUUUUAAAUAGCUCUUAAAAAAUAAUUAAAAACAACUAAAUAAUGUUUAUCUUGUUUUCUAUUUUUAAGAACAUUAAAUAAAAAAUAAUUUUUUAUUAUUAAACAUAUUUUCUUAGUUUUUUGUUUUAAAGAAUAAAACGUUUUUUCAAAAAUAGUUGUCCAACAUGUCCAUAAUAACUUUUUUUUUUCUUCAUCUUCUACAACAAUUUCACUGACAUAUGAUUCCACAAAAAAAAAAAUAUAUAUAUAUAGAAAAUAUAAAAAUAAAUAAAAAAUAAAUUUAAAGUUCAUAUAUUCCUUUAAACUCAUUUAACUUAUUUUAACUCUUAGAAUAAAUAAUUUUAAAAACACAUCCGUCUCUACAUAAUUUUAAUUUUAUAUAUAUAUAUAUUUUUCAUAAUAUAAUCAAAUAUAAAAAAAUAAUUUUUUUAAUAUUUCUUUAUUUAAUGCUUUUUGGGAUCUAACUUAAAAAGAAAAGAAAAAAUAAAAGAAAAUAAAAAUUGAUUUAAAGUGAAUAAAUUAUUUUUAUAUGUUAUUUUAAAUCUAUUUAAUUUAUUUUAACUCUUCCGUACGAAGAUAAAAUAAUUUGAAAAUAUAUAAGUUUCUAAUUAAUUUUAAUUAUAUUUGAUUUUCUUCCAUAUUUUUUUGUAGUACAACUAAACACAAGAAAACCAUUUUCCUUACCAUUAUUUUUUUCUUUCUAACCAAACACAACCAAAAGAAGGUCAGCAUCUAGCUUUAGAAUUAUUGAAGCAUUAGUCUGGAUUUAAGUUCACUAAACCUGUUUGUCAUCUACAUUGAUUGAACUUCAGAGCAAGGCAGUAACAAUCAAGCAAGAAAGAUGGAGGCAUAAAUUUGACAGUAAGGAGGGUUCUCUGCAGGGAUUCAUUUGCAUAUCACACAUAUACAGAAUGCUUUCUUUAUUUUUCAUAUAGCAUUUGAACAAACAAGCCCAUCACCAGAAUCUGGUGAAUCAAGCAGCUAUACACACACUACUCCACCCUCAUUCAACUUACAUUGGCAGGAUGACAGAUGAUGUUUCAGCAAAAUUCUGGGUUGCUUGCUCCUCCCAUCUCCCGGUUGAUUGUUUGCAGUUGAUGGAUAACACCAUUCCUUUGUGACAUUUGAUCAGCUUUCUUCUAUCUCUUAUUUGGGCUUUACCUGAAAAACUCGGUUGUACCAAACUGAGUGAAGUAUCAUGUGAAAUAAGUCAUACUUUACCGGCUUUUUGUGCCAAAGAAAAUGCUGUUGCACCAUCUUUACUCUCAUCUGCAUUUGGAGGUACUUCUCUUCUGGGAUGGAGAGAAGUAUGUUCCUCAAAUUUGGUACAUCUUUCUCUAGAAUGAAUACUGCAAAUGCUUCCCAGUUCAAUAUCUCAAAGAAAGGAGGCACAUAAUUGUCAGAUAUGAUCACUGGCACACACUCAUAGAAAAUGGCCUCAACAACUCGAGGUGUAUGAACUUCAUAGCCCCUGGCACAAAUGCAAUACUUACUGCUCUUCAUGUGAUCCCGAUAUCUACUUUUGCCUCCAUCAUCGCGAGACAUUGGACCAAAUAUUUUGAUGUCUUGUUCUUUAUUCUCCCAGUACUGUAGCAGGAUUGGACGGAGAUAGCCAUGCAUGCUUCCAGCAAAGAAGGCCAGAAUAGGUCUCUGUGAAGGAGGUUUUCCUCCAAGAUAUUUUAGAGGGUCCUCAGAUUUACGGAUAUAUGUCACUGGAAGAGUAGUAUCCUUGCCUAUUUUGAAGCCACUGGCAAUAUUUGAAUUGCAAAGAGCUCUGAUGCUAUUCCAGCUGCAUUGCCUUGUGAUCCGGGGUGCCUGAGAAUUGAAGCCUUUGUUAGAAAAUGUUCCACUUACCAAGUCAUAAGUUGAUUCACCUCCUGCAGAGCAUUAUGCAUUUGGCUUAGAUUUAGCCCAUGGAUGGCAGCUUUGAGUGUUCCUCUUCUCUUCUCUCUUGGAAAACACAUGCAAGCAUGCCAGGGGCAUUUGCAAGAAAAGUUUGAUUCUUUAAACAUCACUGAGUAAAUCAUAACCCACAAAGAUGAAGGGUGGCAUAGUUAUGGCCUGAGACUUUAUCCGAAUGGUAUUGGUGCUUAUGGUUCUAUAGAUAGGGUUCUGUCCAUACCAAGCCUAAAGGAGCUCAAAAAUAAUAAACUAAAAGGCCUGAUAUAGAAGUUUUGACUAAAAAAGACAAAAAAUAAAGAUGAAUGAUGCAUGAGAACCAUACCCAGUCAUGACAAGCAACGAUUAAAUGAUCUGCUCCUCCAGUUCUGUUCCAGAAACGAUAUUUUCCUGCAAUCAAGCCUACAUAAUUCUUGAAAUAUUUCUCUAGGUCCCUUGGAGUGGAGGAAUUUUGUUCAUAAAACACAGUCCUCAGCAUUUUUGAACUGAAGGGUACGUAGAACAAGUGAGCUUUUCUGGGGUCCCUGACCACAAACCGUUUGUUCCCCUCUAUCAGUUUCAUGAACCAUCCUUCAGAGGCAUAAAUUCCUCUCAGUCGUGGCUGAUGGAAUAUAGGCUUUUCUCCUUCUCUAUAAAUAUAAAUUUUGAGCACCCGUUCCAUCAGUUCAUAACUCCUGCAAAUGUGAUAAGAUGGAAGCUUUAAUUGAAAGUCUAUGUGUACAUAGCCUUAGCUCGGUACUGGGACAAGGGUUAUUUUCUGAAAGACCAGGGAUUUGACUCCUGAAGAAAACACAUGCAGAUGCACAGCGUGUCUUCCUUCCUAUGGGUGGGAUAGUGAAGGAGCAGGACAGAGUCAGAAGUGUCCAGGGCCUAUCUCAUAAUCAAUUAACUAAAAGAACUCCAAAUACCAAAGCAAUACUUAUGAGUUAAAUCUUCAUAUCCGCAUAUAUAUUAGCAAGUUAAACUAUGAAUAAAGAGUAUCAUUACAACCAAAUUACGACUUGUAUAGUAAAAGAUCUUUAUUAGUUAGCAAGUGAUGAUAAUACCACAGUUUCCAAUAAGAAGUACCAAAUAUUUAAACAUAUAAACAUUCAACUAGGCUCUCCUUUAAACAUGAAAACAUUUUGGAAAAGGGAAGCUUAGGUCCUGGAUUGUCUCUUACAAUGGAAGCACCAGGUGACCAUGACAACACUGAUUUUAACAUUAAGCGUUCAACAUUCAACACAUAAAGCUUUGAAUAGGCUCACCUUUUAAACAUGGAAACAUUUCGGUAGACAGAAGCAUAAAGUCCCGGAGUGUUCCUUAUGACUGGAGCAUUCUGGAUUUCUGAUCUUGCAGAUAGAAGCUCCCGAUCACGUGGAGAAGACCACCGUGGCCUCUGUAACGGAUAAAAGAAUAACUUAAAUCUGAUUAUUGGUUGUUCAGAUUGAAACCUUUAAGUUCAAAUCCAUACCAUUGAAUAAGAAGAAACAGCACUCUGAAGCAAUAACAAAUUCAUCUUGGAUAUGGUUGUUGGCUUCAUCCCCCUCCUUCUAGUAAUAGAGAUGUCUGCAAUUGUAUAAUUAUUGUCCAAAGGAACUGAAACAGUUUGCAAUAGAUUGGUAUUUUUGUCCUUUUCGGCUUCCAUGACAUGUUUAACAUUGCUCACUGUGGAUAAAUCAGAAGUUCUAGAAUCUGCAUCCAGGUUUCUCGUACCCUUUGAAGAAAUUCCUGGUGACACAAGUGGCAGGGACACAAGACCAUCCCGAUUGCUACCUUCCCCUAUUGUUAAACUGGUGCUCGCCUUUCGGUCAUCAUCUAUCUUGAAAUUGUUGUCUGAUAUUUUCAAAUGCUCUAGAGGACCAUGCCUGAAUUCUAUUGCCUUUUCUUUAGGACUAUUAUCUGUAUGUCUGACAUUUCUCACUGUCAUGCUCUUAUCAAGUCCUACACCCUUCUCAAGAAUAAACUCAUUGUCUGAGUUUUUCUCUUUGUGCAUUUCAACAGAAUAAUCAAGGUCUCCGUCAUCAUCUGAUGCAAGAUGAUAGUCCAUGUCUGCUUCAUCCUCCAAAUCAGAAGCAUCACUAUUAUUCACCACUGUGCGAAUUACAUAAGAAUUAGCCGAUAUUGAGUUCUUCAAAAUGGUGGCAUCGCCAACCAUCAUAGAUACUGAACCCUUUACAGUAGGUGAUAGAGUCAAGGUAUUCAUACUGGGAAGUUCAAAAACCUGAAACACAAUUACAGAAGCAACCACUAGGCCCACAAUGAAGAGAAGUCUUCUGGACUCAACAUGACAUAACUUCAUGAAUAGAGCUGUCAUAUCCAUAUCAUAAAAUGGCAACAAAUAACCAAUUACAUCAGGUACAAUCUGGUCAUCACUCUAAUCGUGUUAGCCUGCAUCUGGAAAGGCAAUCUUAAAUAAAGUUACAUCUUUGUCUGAGAAAAGAGAAAUGAAUUAUCACACUGGAAAUGCUAGACUCAGAUGAAAUUUCUGCAUUUACAGAGACAAGCACCCGUGGGUAGUAUUUCAGUAGUUUCUUGCUUUCUAAAGCAAGAAAAUUGCGGAAUGUCAACUUCAGAAGGUAAGAAAAAACUUCCAAAAUUCUAAACAAACAGGAUCUAAAUUAACUGUUGACCAAACCUUUUCCCACAAAUAUACAAGGGCAUCUCAUUAUCAAUUUAAAAAAAGAAAAAAGAAAAAAAAAUGAUUUUUAUGAAGUAUAAUAUCCAGCAUCAAGAAUUAACAAGUAAGGAAAUCAAAUCAUUUAAUUUUGAAAAUCAUAAGGUUCCAUUUGGUUGCUGAGAAAGUGCAGGGAAAAGAGAAGAAAAUUUGGAAUCUUGUCACUGCUACACCAAUCCCAGAACCUGCAAUGGGCUUCCAAAAUUUCCACUCUUGCCCAGCCAUUUUUUCUCGAGAAUCAAACGGAUGAUACAAGAAGAUGGAAGAAAACUGGUACGAGUAGUACCUGUUCACGCUCUCCGUAGAUCAUUCUGAAGCAUUUUGGGGUCGGUCAGUGCUUGGAAGUUGGAACACUAGCUCCAGCUUCAGUGCAGUGAAUAAGAUUGCCCUUCAAUCAUAAGGAAAUAACGGAAAUACCCGCCCCAUCAAUAAUACGACGCCGUUUUGGAGACCCUAAAAUUAAUAUAAAGAGGCUGCCCGAUUUACGACGUCGUUUUAAUUGUCUGAAACUACUCUUAUUUCCUUCUCCUAGGUCCUCCAAUCUCUUCUCGUUUUCGCAUGGAUGAAUAGAGUUCUCCCAAAACCUUCUUGAAAAAUGGCGCUCAAAACCCUAAUUCCAUUUCCAAUUUUGGCCCCAUCGAACCCAUCUCACCGGCCAGCUUCCGAGGUUCGGUUUUCCCGGUGGAACAAUGCCAACGCCGAGAGGUUCACCCUCCGAGAACGCGCUCAGAAAGAAAUUGAAGACAAUAUUCGCCGGGAACGGCGUUUUGAUUCCGCCACUAGAAUCGCCGAUAUUGAUGAUGCCGGUACUUCCAAAGAAGCCGCCGCCGCCGGAACCUUCAAGUCCACGGGAACUCCGUCUUCUCCCUCAAAACCUUCGAUUCCCGGAAAAUCCUCCAAGUACUCCAAAAAUUCUAAAACAUCGCACCCCGCCUUUCGUCAAAUUUCAAGAAGAACGAAGCUUCCAGGCCCUAAUAUCUCCCCCGAAGCGAAACGCGGCAUUUCUAUAGGGGAGGAUGGAGUUUCGUACAUGGUUCCUGGUGUUCCAUUUGAACUGAGAUACAGUUACACUGAAACCCCAAAGGUAAAGCCGAUAGCUUUGCGCGAGCCGCCUUUUUUGCCCUUCGGUCCUGACACAAUGCCGCGGCCCUGGACCGGCCGAGCGCCUCUUCCGCCGAGCAAGAAGAAAUUGAAAGAAUUUGAUUCUUUUCAGCUGCCACCGCCCGGUAAAAAAAGGGUUAAGCCAGUGCAGGCGCCAGGGCCCUUCUUGCCUGGAUCCGGUCCAAGAUAUGUGAGGUCAAGGGAGGAGAUAUUGGGGGAACCAUUGACAGAGGAGGAGAUCAAAGAGUUGGUCCAGGGGUGUGUGAAAUCAAAGAGGCAAUUGAAUAUGGGUAUGCUUGAAUUUUCGUUGGUUUUGGUUGUAUCUUUUCUAUUUUGGUUUUUUUUGGUCGAAUAGGCACAUUAGGGAAUUGAAUGUGGCAAUGCUUGAAUUCACUCAUUCUGUUCGUAGCUUUUUGAAUUUUGAUGACUAGAGUAAGUUGACUGUGGCUGUCUUUGAAUUCAUUGAUUUGUGAAUAACUUUGAAUUAUGUAAUGAUUACUUCUACAUUUUUUGCAUUUUAGUUUCUCUUUUUCUUAUAAUUUAACCCUCUGUUUGGUUGCUGAAAAUUGAGAGGAAAAGGAAAGAAAAUGAUGAAACUCAAUUCUUAUAGUUGUGGUUCCCACAAAAAUUGAGAGGUCUGAUUAUGUUAUUUACUAGUUUGUUGAACCAUGGGCUAACUAGGACCUUGUUUUAGAAAUUCUGGACUUCUUUCUUUAUUACACUUCAAGGCUCUGUGGGGUUCUCAAGAAUACUUUAGGGCUCCAUUUGGUUCUCAGAAAGAAUGAGAAAAUAGAAGAAAACACAUUAGGGUUCUGCAUUAUGGAUGAUUGAGGAUGAUACUUGAUACUCAUGGUAAUUUUAAUUAUUUAUGGUUGAAUAUUUUCUUUUUAGGUAGAGAUGGCUUGACACAUAAUAUGUUGGACAACAUCCAUGCUCACUGGAAACGGCGGAGGGUAUGCAAGAUAAAAUGCAAAGGUGUGUGUACAGUUGACAUGGAUAACGUGCGCCAACAGCUGGAGGUUGGUCUACCCCAUAUUCUUUUUCUGAGGUUUUGGCUAUCCUGUUUUAUUAUGUGCUCUCAUGUUUUUACAACUUCAUUUUGGUUAACAUUUUGUUUAUCUAGUAGGUAAUAUUUGUUAUUGUAUGUGGGGAGUUGUGAAAUAAUACCAUUUACAUCAUUCAAAUCCUUGCUCCUAAUUCUUUCAGGACUUUUGGAGAAUCAGGGCGCCUUUCAUUAUCUUGGGGCAAGAAAAUUCUUAUGGAACUAGGGAAUUCUUAACUUGUAUCAGUUUUUUUUAGGAUGAGAAUGUUCACUAAAAGCAAAUGCUAAAUGUGUUAUCAUUGACUAUGUUGUUGAUCUGUGUAGAAUUACAUACUUUGGUGUGGUAGAUGUGGCAUGUGUGGCUGAAAUGAUAGCCAAAUAAAAUUCUUGAUCAAUCAUUUAAAAUGACUGAGUUGGGAGAAUAUUAGUUUGUCCUUUUACCAUUCUGAGGCAUUGUAAUAUGUUCCUUUAAAAUGUUUGUCUCAGUUAUGAACUAAUGAUGAGAUGUAGAAUAAUUGUUCACUGAAACAUAUGCAGGAUAUAUUUUAUCUUUGAGCUGUGUUGAAUAUUGCAUCUUGUGUGAUAAUUAGUGUGUGUGGUAACUCGUGUGGAGAUUCUGCUAUUAGGGAUUGUUUUUCGGAUCUUUUCUACAUGUCAGUUAACAAAGAUUCCAUGGUGGCAGAUUAUUAGUAUGUGGAAGGUGACUUGAGGCUAUUGGAAUCCAAGGUCUAUCUAAGCAUUUCAUGAUUGCGAAUUGGGAAUAGGGGAAUUCUUUUUGUCUUGUUUCAGAAUGUGAUUGUGCAUGUAGAUAAGGAGGAUAAAAUAGUAUGGAAAUAUGCCAUAGGGCCCUGCUUUUGGCCCAUAGCAUCUGUUUCACGGAUAGAAGGGUUUGGGGUCACUUGUUCUUUCCAAAGUUGAUUUCUUGGUUUCAAAAGUAGUUUGGGAAAAGAUUCUUACUUUGGAUGAACUUAUGGAAGAAAGUAGGAUAUUAGCCAAUUAGUGUUGUUUGUAUGAACAGAAAGAAGUAUCAUUCAACCAUUUAUUAAUUUGUGUGGCUUCGAUCGGUCAAAUUGUAGUUGAAAAAAAUUUUAUGAAUUUUUUGUUAGAAUGAUCCAAUGGAUUCAUAGGAAAUGGAAGUCUUUCUUUGGUAGAUUUCCUUCAUGUUCGGGUGGUACUUAGGGUGUAACGAGCCCCCUUUUUGGGGCUCAUUUUGUACCAUCCUAAUUAUUUGGAAAGAAAAAAAAAGAGGAAAAUAUAAACAUUAUUAUUUGUACUACACUUCAUUGAGAGAAGACUUCAUAUCCCUAAUUAUUUGUAAAUUGACAGGAGAAAACAGGAGGGAAGGUCAUUUAUGGUAAAGGUGGGGUACUAUUCCUUUUCCGUGGCAGAAAUUACAACUAUAGAAAUCGCCCGCGAUUUCCUCUAAUGUUGUGGAAACCUGUUACUCCUGUAUAUCCAAGGUUGGUUCAAAGGGCUCCAGAGGGUCUAACACUUGAAGAAGCUGGUGCAAUGCGCAAGAAAGGACGGAAACUUAUCCCUAUAUGCAAGCUUGGUAACCCAUUUACAGCUAUGUGCUUCAGUUGAUUUAUAUUAUAGAAAACGAAAAAGUGUUUCAUUUUUUGUUGGCAAGAAAAAUUAUAAUCCAACCUUUCCUGUGUCAUGCAGCAAAAAAUGGUGUAUACACAGACUUGGUAAAUAAUGUGAGAGAGGCAUUUGAAGAAUGUGAGUUGGUCCGAAUAAAUUGUCAAGGAUUGAAUGCAAGUGACUACAGAAAAAUAGGUGCCAAACUCAAGGUCCGGUAAAUUUAUUUUUAUGAGGUUCAUUCUUGUAUCAUCACAUUUAUACUAAAAUUAUAUUCUAAAAACAAUUCCUUCAAUUCUUUAAUUGCAGGACCUUGUCCCAUGUGUGCUAAUCUCAUUUGAGCAUGAGCAUAUACUUAUGUGGAGAGGAAGCGAUUGGAAGUUCUUGCAUCCAAAACCAGAAGAUGGUUGCAAGGAAGCUAAGGAGUCUGACAAUAAUAGUGAAGCUUCCAUUCCACCACCUUUUGAAGGUCAAGAAUUAUCAGCAUCAUGUUCUUCAAAGAUCUCAGUUAAGGAUACAAGUCUCGACAUGCUUGACACAAUCGCAUCCCCUGUGAUUAAUGAAGAUGUUGCUAUGGACAAAACAGAGGAUUUGUCCUCAAAAGGAAAUGAUAUCCUCUCCUUUGAAGGAAAUGAUAAGCCAUUUGCAGCUACUCAACUGGUGAAAACUGCAUACAAUUGGGACACCGUUUCAGAUGACACUGGUGGUACCAAUGAAUCAGAGAUUAUAUUGACCAAAUUGGAUAAUGCACAUCAUGCUGAUGAUGAAUCAGCAGCGAUGCCAGUGGAACUUGACACUAUGCUGGAAAAUGGAAGCAUUAAAAACGAGUUGAUGGAUGCUGUAACUCAUGACAUGGACAAACUGCAAGACAUUCCCAAAGCCUCACAGGAUUGUGGUAAGAUGACAGGAUCGAGUGCGCCCUGUACUGGGGGGCUUCUUUUACUCUUGAAGCAAGCUGUUGAUAGUGGGAGCGCGGUUGUUUUAGAUGGUGAUAGUUGUGAUGCUGACAUUGUUUAUGGAAAGACAGUUGCCUUUUCUAAGGAUGCUCCACCAGGGCCUGUUUUUAGGAGGCCUAGGAAAGCAGCAGUUCAGAAGUGUGAGAAAGAAGAACCCAGAGACCUAGUGGUGGGCAAAAUUGUAACAGCUCCAGAGAAGGGUAGAAGCCAGAGCAAAAGUUCUAGAAAUCAAAUAGCCAAAGAUUUCAAAGAAGGUUAUCUAGAUGUAGAUUAUCCAGGUGUAGGAACACGGGGAACCCUUGGAGUGGAUGAACUUGCAAAACUAUUGGCUUAAUGGUCACUGGAACUCUGAGAUGAAUGCAUCAUUUUUCUUAUAUAAUAGGGCUGUCUUAUGUGGUGUUAAUCGCUCCAACCCAGCCUUUUUGUACAUUCUUGACAUUUGUGUUUCCAAUGUAUUUUUGCAUAAUGUAUUGGAUUCCAUUGAAACUGAAAGUAGUGCAUGUCAUACUGAUUACAAUUAUUGGAAAUUCUUUGUUUAUACUGCUGCAGAAAGUGAAACAUUUCCUAAAACUAUUGAACAAAAAAUGUGUUCAUAAACCCAAUAAUAAUCUAUAGAAGGGCUCUCCCCAGUCUCCACUUGAGGAUUUCAAUAGAGUAGUCCUUAAUUCUCAGCUGACUUGCCUUCGGUCCGUGGCUCAUCCCCUACUAUUUUCUUCCAGAUUGGGUGCUUGGACCAGAGGUAACAUACCUCUUCAAUUGGAACCUGCUUUGUUUCUGGCAGGAGGAAGUAAAUGAAGCAGCUCAUUAUGAUAAUUAAGCCAGCAAAGACCAAGAAAAUCCCAUAUCGGAGGUGACAUAGAGACACCAGGAAACACUGAGCAAUGAGAGCUGUGAAGAAGAGAUUGACACAGACCACCAUACUCUGCCCAGCUGACCUGGUCUCCAAGGGGAAGAGCUCGCUAGGGACCAGCCACCCCAGAGGGCCCCAAGACCUUCCAUAAGCCAACACAAAGAGAGAGAUUAUGAUCACUAAGAAGUAGCUAGUUCCUUUGGGAAGCGUUUUUCCUUGUCCAAACUCCAGGGCCAGAGUAAUGGCCACAGCCACCUGCGGAUCAGACACCCAAGUAAAUAAUGCAACCGUACAGUUUGUUAGAAGAGAAUCAGGGGAGGAAAACUAGAAUUCCACUUACCAUAUAGCAUAUCAUUUCACAACCUGCCUCCAAAAAGAACUUUCUUCUACCCCACCUAUCUACAAAUGCCAUUGAUAUUAAUGAAGCAAGAACCAGUGCUCCACUGGUUAUUAGAGAUGAAUACAGAGAUGCAUUAGAACCGAAACCCAAGCUCUGAAAUAUCACAGGAGCAUAGAAGAGAAUGGAGUUCAUGCCAGUGAGCUGCUGAAAAGCUGGGAUUCCCAAAGCCCCUAUUAUCAACUGGGGACGAUUUCUUCGCUUCAGGAGGUUCCUGAACGGAUGCUUUAUGGCUUGUGCUGCUUUGCUCGCAUCAACAAGAUCAGCAAACUCGGCUUCAAUUUUCGAUGUUCCUCUGACUUUCUCCAAUACCUUUCUUGCUUCUUCAAAUUUGCCUUGCUCUACAAGACUGUUUGGGGUCUCAGGAAGAGCAAGACCCCCAAGAAACAUUACAGUUGCAGGGACUGUGGCUAAACCAAGAGAUAAUCUCCAACCCCAUGGAUGCAAUUUAUCAGUUUCAUAAUUUAUAAAAUUGGCUACUAAGAUCCCUAAGCAGGUUGAUAGUUGGAAAAGCUGGUUCACUGCUCCUCGGAUUUUAGCAGGUGACAUUUCUGAAAGAUACAGAGGAACCGCCUGUGGCAUAAGAACAAGAGCACAGAAGCCAAUGAGAAAGCUUCUAUUAGCUUGCUUCCAAAGAAGGAUUUAAAAAAGAUUUUAGUCUGGGGGCGUUGAGCUUACCUGGUUACCAAAUCCAAUGCCUACCCCAAGGAGAAUUCUUCCAAUGAUCAGCAUAGCAAUGUUCACUGCAGCAGCAUUGAGGACUGCUCCUAAAAAGAAGCUAAUGGACCCAACAAGUAUUGAGGCUUUCCUGCCUUUUUUUCUGGUCACAUGGGAAGCAGCAAAGGUGGAAACAAGGCCAGCAAAGUAUAAAGAAGAUGUGAAGAGUGUAAGGAUCUGGCUCUCAUAUUUACAGUAAUCUGUCUCUUUGAGAUGUUCUUGCUUCCUCCUGUACACUUUUGGAAAGAAGCGCUUCAAGAAAUCAUCCAUGGAAGUCACCCCACCUGGAACCAGGGUAGAAAGUCUGAUCAGUUUUUGUUCUUAAACAAACCCCUUUAUAAGUAUUUGGUACUAGAUAAUGUGGGUCAAAGUCCUAAUCUCCAUUGAUAUGCAAAGAAAGAACAAAUUCAACUGACAAAAGGAUCCUGGUCACAUCCAAUAAUACAGUGAGAGGAGGCAAGAAAAGUUAGGAAAUUUAUCUAUAGAAACUGAAAGAGGAGUUUCUGAGAAGAUCUCUGUUGUCUAUUCAGAACAUGAAAGUCAUCUUUUCAUGACUUUAUUCUCAGAAAGAAGGGAGAGAAAAAAGAAUCUUAUUGUUCACUUCCCACCAAACAAUAUGAAUAAAUCUCAGAAAAUGCUUCUGUUUCUUCUCCUUUUUCACUUUCAUUUACUUUGAUACUUUCUGUUCUGCUUUUCAUUUCUACCACUAUUAUCGGAUCAGGUUACAAAAAUUGAGGUAAAUCUCAUUCCUAACACAACACAUACCUAAAAAAAACCCAGAUCAAACAGGAGGCCAAACUCCACAAUUGAAGCAAUAAAAAGGAAUAAACAAAAAAAAACUCACCAGAAACACCAAGAUCAUAUCCAAAAAGAGCUCCCCCAGAAGCUGCAACAAUGCAAGAAAAGAUGAAAUAGCCUGUAAUCUUAUACUCAUAGAGAUGGGCCCUUUUUGCAGCCUCUGUAUCCUCAAAUGCACCGCCUGCCAUUGCUCCUCAACUCUCUCCUCUCCUCCUUUCUCUUUCUUCUUCCCCUCUGAAGUCAAGAAAAACAAAAAAAUCUGACUAAACUUCUGAACAUUCACUUCCCUUUAUACUGCAGCCUCAAAAGAAAAAACAACCCAAGCGGGCCAAGCCUUUGCAGGGAUGGGCAUGGAAAAUUGGAAAUUGCAAAAAAUAGGCCAAAGGUCAACUACCCAAUAAUGCCGCACUCAAACAAACGACCCUCAACGCAAAUUGGUCUUAAAGUAAUUGUAUCACACACCUCUCUAUGUACUAAAUAAUUCCUAAAUGAAAAUACCAGAUUGAGACUUGAUUGGAGUCUUGGACUUUUUGUCUUUCUAUUGAUUUUUUUCCCGAGUCACCCAAUCCCUUUAUUGAAAUCCUGAGAUGCAUACAUCAAGCUUUCCUCUUCUGGUCAAAGAAUUCUUAAAUAAGAAAACGGAUAUUUAGGCUUUAGGCUUUUGGCUUUUGGCUUUUGGCUUGGCUAUUGGCCUUUACCCCUCUAUAGCCUAUCUGAUUCUAAUCCCUUAGUUUUCCAAAACUCUUGGUACCUUCUUUCCCAUCAUACCUUUCCUUUCCAUGGUAAUUUGCUAGAAAUUGAAUUUAUAUCAGAUGGGUUUUUCUUCACUAGAAAUAUUUGAUUUGGGUUUUUAUUUUUUUACUUUUUUGAUCCAACUAAAUCGAGGGUAUAUAGAAAGAGAAUUCCCCCCAUUAUUCUACAGAUAUAAGACGAUUGAGAUUGAAUUUCCAACUCAUCUGAUUGAGUGAAUUCAACCAUUCACACGGCAUUUCUUGGAUAUGGAUAAGAAGCAUUGACCGACUUUUCAUAUAUAAUAGGAAUUUAAUUUAAUAUACAUUAAUCCUUAUCCGUUUAAAUCCAUAAAAUUAUCCUCUAUCGAAUAAAUUAAGGAGAGAAAUCUAAAUUUAGAGUAGGUUAUCAUAACUAUUUUAGAAAAUAUUUUUAAUAUUUAAAGUAUAAAAAGUUAAACAUUAAAAAUACCUCUUAAAAUUAUUGACUAUAUUUAUUCCCUUCUUAUCUUGAAUAAUUUCCAAAAAAAAAAUCAUCUUAUCUAAUUUACAUUGAUUAGAAGUUUUUUUAUCAUAUUUGAUAUUUGAAUCGAUAUCACUAUUUUAAAUUUUUUUUCACUUAUUUAAUUCUUCUACUUAUAAUAUGAGAGAAUAAAUCAUUUUUCUUAACAAUUUUUUUUCCCGACUUCCUGACAACUAAAUAUAACUUAAUAAUUUUGAGAUUUGCUUGUUGAUUUGAGUUGUAAUAUCUAAACGUCCCUUUUGUAACCAUUAAGAUUUAGCCAUACAACCCAACUACCACUUCCCAAAAAAGGCAAUUUCUUCUAUGGGUUGACUUGCAUUGGUACAACGUCCCCUUUCUCCAACCAAUAAAAAUGGAAGCCAAAAAUAUUUGACAGACUAGGCCAUUCAUACCAUGCAAACAUCUAUCCAUACAAAGUGGGGUGCAAUUUUAUUUUUUUUAUUUUUUUUGGGAAAAGAUUAUUUUAAAAGGUUUCCAAUCUUAUGCUAUAGCCAAAGAUUUUUAGUUGGGAUGUACUUUUUCAAUUUGAUUUUAUAUGGUUUUGUAUUUUUUUAACUUUUAAAUAUCAUAUAAUAAAUAAAUAAAUCCUUAGUUUUUAAUAAAAUAAAUAAAUUUAUAAAUAAAAUCUAAUUAAGUGGUAGGUGGGGCCAGUGAUAAUUGAUGGCGGCGGAUAACCUCAACCCAACUUUCAUUCAUUAUUUUCAUUUCAAAUGAUUGAUUGUCUACCUCGAUUCCGUUAUUAUUAAUAAUUUCAACUUUUUUUUUAUUGUUUUAAAAAACCUAUAUAAAUUCAUAUGUAGUUGUAUUGUAAUAAAAAAUAAAAAAUAAAAAGGAAAUACAAUCUCAAAAAAUGCCUAAUUUUGAAUAUUUUAAUUUUAAGUUUUGAAAGUUAUAUACCUUCUAAGAAAAAUAAUAUUAGUAAUUUACUUUUCUUAAUGAGUAUUUUUAUCCAAUGAUUUCAAAAUAUGGAUAUUUACCCUACAUUUAAUGGGGUAAUAUUGGUAUUUUUAAAGGUCACGAUAUAAGAGUUGAAUAAAAUAAUCAAAUCAAAAUUUGAAAAUAUUAGAAAAAAUCAAAUUUUGGAGAUAGUAGGAAAAAUCAAAAUAAUCAAAGAUUGAGAAAGUUAUAUAUACAAAAUUUUAAAUGAAAAAUCCUUAUAUUAGCUGUAAAGAUAAUAGAGAUCGAUAAAUCUACAAUGUACUGUAAUGGGAUUUAAGAUUAUACAUAAAUUUACUUGUCCACUUUACCCUAAAAACUUAUUGUAUAGCAUCUAAUUUUUUUUUUUAAAUUUCUUAAUCUUAAAUCCUCAAUUUAAAAUUAAUUUCCAAAUUAUCUUUAUUAUUUAGAUUUUUUUCUAAAUUCUCAAUUUAAUUUUUUUUUAAAUUAAUUAUAACAUUUUGGCUCAAUUAAAACUUUCAAUUCAACUCUACCUUACCCAGAAAAACUAACUUGUGUUUAUUCAACACUUUUUAAAUUUCUUCUUCGUUGGUUAAAUAUAUAGGUAUUUUAUCAAAUACUUUUUUUAUUUUGAGAGAUACGACAGGUAAGUGAAAAUAACAAAUAAAAAUAAAAUAAAAGGUAUUUGAUGAAAUUUUGAAUCAAUAAGAGUCAAGUGUAUAUAAUAAAAACUUAAAGGAAAGAAAGUGAAAUUAAAAGAGCGUAAAUGAAAUAAGCCCUUAAAUACACUAUUUUAAUAAUAUAUAUUUGUCAAAAUUAUAUAAAUAAUAAACUUUAAAUUAUAUUCAUGUAGAAUAAAUGUAAUAAUAUUAGUGUAUAGAUUAAAAAUAAAUGUAUAAAACAUACUAAAAUUAAUUUAAAAUCUAGGUGUUNNNNNNNNNNNNNNNNNNNNNNNNNNNNNNNNNNNNNNNNNNNNNNNNNNNNNNNNNNNNNNNNNNNNNNNNNNNNNNNNNNNNNNNNNNNNNNNNNNNNNNNNNNNNNNNNNNNNNNNNNNNNNNNNNNNNNNNNNNNNNNNNNNNNNNNNNNNNNNNNNNNNNNNNNNNNNNNNNNNNNNNNNNNNNNNNNNNNNNNNNNNUUAAAAACUACUUUAAGUAAUAAAAUAAACACAAUUAACUUAUUCGUCUAAAUAUUUAUUUUACUUUUUAUCUUAUUUGUCACAAUUACCUUCAGAAUCUCUUUUAUUAUUAUACAACAUCUACUAUUAAAGCCCGUUUGAUAAUGAUUUUAAAAAAUGUUUUCAAACUUUUUAACACUUUAAAAUUUGUAUCAUUUAAGUGUUAAAAAUGUUAAAAAUAUUUUAUAAAAUCAUUACUAAACGCACUCUUAUUCAACCUCUUUUACCCUAAUUAUAAUUUAUAAUAAUAAAUAUAUCAAUUUAAUGAUUUAAAAUUAGUUUUAAGUAAAUUUUCUUAAACAAUCUUAAUACUUAAAAUAAAAUAUAAGUAAAUAAGUUUUAAAUCAAUAAUUUAAAUAUAAUUUAAUUUAAAUGAACUUAAGCCAUUAAAUAAUAAAUAUUAAAUUUUAUACAAAACACCCUCUAACUCAUUUUGUUGGCAAAGAAUUAAAGCACCGGGUGAAAAAAAAUAAUAGAAUUUAUGUUUCAAGAUGAAUGUAUAAAUAAAUAAAUAUGUUAAAAUAUUUAAUGAGUGCAUAUAUAAUUUAUAAUUAAAUAAACUACUUACAUUGUGUUAUGAUAAGAUAAUAUUUAUAAAAAAAAAUUAUAUUUAGUAACUUAAAAUGUUGUAAUAGAUGUAAUUUCAAAUAUUUAUUAAAAAUUAUUUUUAUCUUUAAUCAUUCUCUUUUAUAAUUAUUUAAAAAAUAAAAACAACUAAAAAUAAUUAAAAUAUAUUAUAAAAAAAUAUCUUAUUCUAAGAAAAAUGAUUAAAAGCAGUGUUCUAAAAAUAAUUGAUAAUCAUAGACAUGUUUUUAUAUAUAUUUUUUUAAAAUGAGAAAAAUAAGUCGGCAAAUAGAAAAAAAAAUUCCAAUGUUAAUUAAAAUUUUAAAAAAUAUUAAAAUUAUUCUUAUUUUUUGAUAAUUUUAUUAUUAGUAGCAUUUGUGAUGUUACAUAUGUUAGAUUAAUUUUUGUAAUUAAUCUAUAAUUUGGGCCACACAUGUAAAUAAUUAAAAUGUGUGUGCUAUCAUUUAAUUAAGCCUAAAUAUAGUGAUCUAAUUAAUAAUUGAUUAAUUGGCUUAAGGGUAUAAUUGUCAUGAGAUUAUUGUGUAGAUACCAUUAGACAAUUAUUAUUUCUAUGAGGGGCAGAAAUAUAAUUGUGAUAAAAUUAAAACUGCCCUAGCAGUUUAUAAAUAGGGUUAUGGUCCCCAUUCUACGACUACGCAAUUCCAAUUUCUGAAAAUCCUCUCAAAGAGAAAUUGACACAGAAUCUAGUGGCUAGAAUUGGAAGACCAUCUCAAAGGGUUUUUUUUUCUAUAAGGUUUCUCCUUCAAUGGAUUCAGGUAUGCUUCCGCUAUUAUUUUUCUACUCAUUGUUUUUUAAUCAGGAGAUUCCAAUGUAUAUAUAAAUUAAGGUAUUCACCUUGUUAAAUAUUUCAGUACAUAUGUAGUUAGGGUAUUCACCCUGUUAAAUAUUCCAGUACAUAUGUAGUUAGAGUAUUCACCCAGUUAACUAUUCCAGUAUAUAUGAAAUCAGGGUAUUCAUCUUGGUUGAAUACAUUACAAGUGGUAUCAGAGCCUACUCCUUGAUUAAUUCUUUGAGUUAUUAUUUUAAUAUAUAUAUGUCAAUGGAUUAAGAUUUAUGAAAUAUUGAGUUGAUAAAUUUUUUAUUAUUAUUAUUACGAUUAUUAUUAUUAUUAUUAUUAUUAUUAUUAUUAUUGUUAUUUAAUAGCAUUUUAUGAUAUUAAUAUUUAAGUUAUUGAUCUAGCAUUUUUAAAUAGGCUAAUUAAAGCGGAAAAUCACCAAAGUGACAUCUUCCGUGUAGAUUAGUCUGUUCGGGGUGUUAGAUAUUUGUGUGUAUGUGAUUCAUGCGGGUAUUGACUGGCCCAAAGGAAAGUUAAUAUUUGGUCAAAUUGCAUACAUACUUGUGGUGAUAAAUAUGUGAUGAUUAUAAAGGUAACUUAAUGUGAAUAAUAAAUCAAUCCAAAGAUGGAUUUAUUAUUUGACAUAACUUAUCAUCAAUGUUUGAUCACUACAACAAGAGUACCACUUACAGUUAAUAUUACUGUCCAAAGACUUGAUAUUAAUGUUGUGCUAGGUAUCUUGAAAUGUCAUAAUUUGCUUUUAAAUUUAAAGAUUAUGUGUUUAAUUGCUUAUUUUAUGUGAGCAUGAUGGUUUAUUUGAUUCAUUUUAUUUUGUUCUCGAUUCAGCUUUUAUAUCAACCACUUCUAUAUCUGCCAACAUCAAUAAUGUCCCUAUGUUAAAUGGGACUAAUUUUAAGGACUGGAAAGAGAAUAUGAUGAUUCUCUUAGGCUGCAUGGAUAUAGACUUAGCCUUGAGAAUGCCCAAACCCGAUGAACUCAAUGAGCAAAGUACUCAAGAGGAUGAUGUUUAUUGGGGUAAGUGGGAACGUUCAAAUAGGCUAAGUCUUAUGAUCAUGAAGCGCGGCAUUCCAGAAGCUUUCAGGGGUGCGGUAACCGAUGAGGUUACUAAUGCCAGUGACUUCCUUGCGGAAAUUCAGAAGCGUUUUGCCAAAAACGAUAAGGCUGAAACGAGCACGCUUUUAGCAAGCUUGAUUUCAAUGAAGUAUAAAGGCAAGGGUAAUGUUCGGGAGUACAUCAUGGAGAUGUCUCAUCUUGCUUCAAAACUUAAGGCUUUGAAACUCGAGUUAUCUGAUGAUUUACUCGUGCAUUUGGUUCUCAUCUCUCUUCCUGCACAAUUUAAUCAAUUCAAGGUCAGUUAUAACUGUCAAAAGGAUAAAUGGACUCUUAAUGAGCUUAUUUCAUUCUGUGUGCAAGAGGAAGAGAGAUUGAAGCAAGACAAGACCGAAAGUGCUCAUCUGGCUAGCACUUCGAAGGAUAAGGGCAAACGAAAGAAUAAGGAUAAUAAGGUUGCUGCUUCUAAUGGUCCAGAACAAAAGAAACAGAAAGUUGAGGUAACAUGUUUCUUCUAUAAUAAGCCUGGACAUACUAAGAAGGAAUGUACCAAGUAUGCUGCUUGGCGUGUUAAGAAAGGUAUGUUUCUUACUUUGGUCUGUUCUGAAGUUAAUUUAGCUUCAGUAUCUAGAAACACAUGGUGGUUAGAUUCUGGUGCUACUACUCACAUUUGUGUUUCUAUGCAGGGUUGCCUGAGUUACCGAAAACCAAGUGAUGCUGAAAGAUGCAUCUAUGUCGGAGACGGUCAGUCGGUAGAAGUAGAGGCAAUAGGGCACUUUAGAUUAUUAUUGAAAUCUGGUUAUUUUUUGGAUUUAAUAGAUACUUUUAUUGUACCGUCUUUUAGACGGAAUUUAAUUUCAGUUUCUGUUUUGGACAAAUCAGGUUAUUGUUGUUCAUUUGGAAACAAUAAAUUUACAUUAUCUAUUAAUUCAAAUGCUGUAGGAACCGGUUUACUUAAUGUUUAUGAUAAUCUAUAUUUGUUGGAAACUGUUCCGUCCUAUAAUGAAACCUUGCAUGUGGAAUCACGAGGUACAAAACGUAAAUUGAAUAAAGAUAAUUCGGCCUCAUUGUGGCACAAACGCCUAGGUCAUAUCUCUAAAUCUAGAGUUGAGCGACUUGUGUCCGAUGGGAUUUUGGAUUCACUUGACUUUUCAGAUUUUGAUAUUUGUGUUGAGUGUAUUAAAGGAAAACAGACCAAAACAAAGAAAUUAGGUGCCAAUAGAGCUACAGACGUCUUAGAAUUAAUUCAUACAGAUAUCUGUGGACCAUACCCUACGGCAUCUUGGAAUGGUCAACAGUACUUUAUAACAUUCAUAGACGACUACUCAAGAUAUGGCUACUUAUUUCUUAUACAUGAGAAAUCACAAUCAUUGGAUGUGUUCAAAACAUUUAAAGUAGAAGUUGAGUUACAACUCAACAAAAGAAUAAAGAGCGUCAGAUCUGAUCGUGGUGGUGAAUACUAUGGUAGAUAUGACGGAUCAAGUGAACAACAUCCAGGACCAUUUGCUAAAUACCUAGAGGAAUGUGGGAUCGUCCCUCAAUACACCAUGCCAGGAUCACCUAGCAUGAAUGGUGUAGCAGAAAGACGAAACCGAACCCUUAAGGACAUGGUAGGGAGUAUGAUUAGUCAUUCUACUUUACCCGAAAAACUCUGGGGUGAAGCACUCAAAACGGCAGCUUAUAUCCUAAAUCGGGUGCCAACUAAAGCAGCUGCUAAAACGCCUUAUGAGCUUUGGACGGGUCGAAAGCCCAGUUUAAAGCAUUUUCAUAUUUGGGGAUGUCCAGCUGAAGCGAGACCUUAUAAGCCUCAUGAAAAGAAAUUGGACUCUAAAACAGUUAGCAGCUACUUUAUUGGCUAUGCAGAGCGAUCAAGGGGUUUUAAAUUUUAUGAUCCUGCUAUUAGGUCAAUUUUUGAGACGGGAACUGCAACAUUUUUUGAGGAUGUUGAGUUUGGGGGGAGAAAUCAGCCUAGGAAUAUUGUCUUUGAGGAGGAAGAGGGAUCUACUAUUGCUAUUGAUAAUGUACAGGUUUCACUACCUAUCAUUGAUCAAGAAGUAAAUUUGGAUCCUCAACCAACAUACAAUAUUGUUCAACCCUUAAUUGCAAAUGAGGACAUUACUUCUGAAGAACAAACUCAACAACCUCAAGAAAAUAUGCCAUUAAGGAGAUCCACUAGAGAGAGGAGAAAUGCAAUUUCGGACGAUUAUAUCGUAUAUCUCCAGGAACGUGAGGUAGAAAGUGGAAUGAUGGAAGAUGAUCCAAUCAACUUCCAGCAAGCCAUGAAAAGUUCCAACUCUCAGAAAUGGAUUGAAGCCAUGAAUGAAGAGUACAAAUCUAUGCAAGACAAUAAAGUUUGGGAACUUGUCCCAUUACCAGUUGGUACGAAACCCAUUGGUUGUAAAUGGAUAUUUAAAACCAAGCGGGAUUCAAAUGGUAAUGUAGAAAGAUAUAAAGCACGUCUUGUAGCUAAAGGCUUUACUCAAAAAGAAGGAAUUGACUUCAAAGAGACCUUCUCUCCAGUUUCUACGAAGGACUCUUUCAGGAUAAUCAUGGCACUAGUUGCACAUUAUGAUCUCGAGUUACAUCAAAUGGAUGUUAAAACAGCGUUUCUCAAUGGUGACAUUGAUGAAACAAUUUAUAUGGUACAACCAGAAAAUUUUGUGUCCGAAGACUCAAAGAAUAUGGUUUGUAAAUUAACUAAAUCCAUUUAUGGGCUCAAGCAAACUUCUCGUCAGUGGUACUUCAAGUUUCAUCAAAUUAUUGUCUCAUAUGGUUUUGAGGCAAAUCUUAUGGAUGAAUGUGUGUAUCACAAAUUCAGUGGGAGUAAGUAUAUUUUCCUGGUUUUAUAUGUCGAUGACAUAUUGCUAGCCACAAAUGAUAUUGGCAUAUUGCACGACACCAAGAGAUUUUUAUCAAAACAUUUUGAGAUGAAAGAUCUUGGUGAUGCCUCUUUUGUCUUAGGAAUCCAGAUACACCGAGAUCGUUCUAGGGGUAUUUUAGGAUUGUCACAAAGGACCUAUAUUGAUAAAGUCCUCCAAAGGUAUGGCAUGCAAAAUAGCAAACCAGGUGAUACCCCUGUCGCUAAAGGAGACAAAUUCAGUCUUAAUCAAUGCCCUAAAAAUAGUUUAGAAAGUCAAGAAAUGCAGAAGAUUCCUUACGCUUCGGCUGUGGGGAGUCUAAUGUAUGCUCAAGUAUGUACACGUCCGGAUAUUGCGUACAUUGUUGGCAUGUUAGGCAGAUAUCUAAGUAACCCUGGAAUGGAUCAUUGGAGAGCAGCCAAGAGGGUUAUGAGAUAUUUACAGAGAACAAAAGAGUACAUGCUUACAUAUAGGAGAUUGGAUCAGUUAGAGUUGAUUGGGUAUUCCGACUCCGACUUUGCUGGAUGCCAAGACAGUAGAAGAUCCACAUCAGGCUAUAUUUAUCUGUUGGCUGGUGGAGCAAUUUCAUGGAGGUCUGCCAAACAGACACUCGUAACUUCAUCCACCAUGGAAGCAGAGUUUGUAGCAUGUUAUGAGGCAUCCAAUCAAGGAAUAUGGCUACGAAAUUUUGUCACUGGGCUGCGUGUUCUGGAUGGUAUUGAAAGACCACUGAAGAUAUUUUGUGACAAUAAAUCAGCAGUUUUAUAUUCCAAUAACAACAGGAGUUCUACAAAAUCAAAAUACAUUGAUAUCAAGUUCCUAAUUGUAAAAGAAAAAGUACAGAGUGGACAGAUAUCCAUAGAGCAUAUUGGAACAAACUCCAUGAUAGCGGAUCCGCUUACAAAGGGAUUACCACCCAAGGUCUUUCAUGAGCACACUGCUCAUAUGGGUGUUGUCUCAUUUGAGGAUAUCCAAAUUUAGUGGGAGUUUGUAUUAUUUAUUGUAUAUUGCUCUAUGUUAUGUUUAGACUUUAUCUAUACAUUUGGAUUGUGUUCUGCAGAAAUAAAGUAUUCAUUUUAUUGCACUCUGUUAAAUUAUGCUAAAGAUUUGAUCUCAGUAAAGUUAAGUUGGACCAGUUGGAAAUAGGCAUGAAUAGAUCACAUUGCAUGUAAUUUCCAUGCUAUGCACUCAUGAUUGAUCUAUGUCAUUUAGCUGUGCAGAUAUAUGUGACCAUUGAUUGGUCUAGUAACAAUUGAUGUAACAAAGGCCACCUUGAUCCUAUGUCAGUAUAGUUAAUGGACGAGAUUGUUCGGAUAUACCCUAAGGACAUGAUAGCAAAUUUUGAGCUCAUAAGGUUAAACACAUUUAUUUGAUUACAUAUGCAUGUGGCCCAUUGGGAGAUUGUUAGAUUAAUUUUUGUAAUUAAUCUAUAAUUUGGGCCACACAUGUAAAUAAUUAAAAUGUGUGUGCUAUCAUUUAAUUAAGCCUAAAUAUAGUGAUCUAAUUAAUAAUUGAUUAAUUGGCUUAAGGGUAUAAUUGUCAUGAGAUUAUUGUGUAGAUACCAUUAGACAAUUAUUAUUUCUAUGAGGGGCAGAAAUAUAAUUGUGAUAAAAUUAAAACUGCCCUAGCAGUUUAUAAAUAGGGUUAUGGUCCCCAUUCUACGACUACGCAAUUCCAAUUUCUGAAAAUCCUCUCAGAGAGAAAUUGACACAGAAUCUAGUGGCUAGAAUUGGAAGACCAUCUCAAAGGGUUUUUUUUUCUAUAAGGUUUCUCCUUCAAUGGAUUCAGGUAUGCUUCCGCUAUUAUUUUUCUACUCAUUGUUUUUUAAUCAGGAGAUUCCAGUGUAUAUAUAAAUUAAGGUAUUCACCUUGUUAAAUAUUUCAGUACAUAUGUAGUUAGGGUAUUCACCCUGUUAAAUAUUCCAGUACAUAUGUAGUUAGGGUAUUCACCCUAUUAAAUAUUCCAGUACAUAUGUAGUUAGGGUAUUCACCCAGUUAACUAUUCCAGUAUAUAUGAAAUCAGGGUAUUCAUCUUGGUUGAAUACUAAACAACAUAUCGAAUAAGGGAGAAAACUUCUUUAACAGUGUUGAUAUAAUUUAAAGUAGUGAAUGUCCCUUUUGGACAUGGAGCGGACGAGAUCAGAUGCCUUAUUUUUUAUUUUUUUCUAAAAAUAAAGGGUUUGGAUUUGGAUGGGAGGGAAGGGCAAAAAUGGCAAGAAAGAAUAUACAUGACAAUCACAUGCUCCAGCAAAAAUAGAAAGAGAGAAAAAAAAAAGAAGCAAAACUGGAGCUAGGUUUUUAAACAAUUGUUGGAGUCUCCCGCUAGUGAAACCCAAAAUCCAUUGAUUUUCUUCAUCUAGGGUUUCAAGUUUGAUGUGCUCCGUUGAUUCAGGUCUGUUUCUUUUGAGUUUCUUGAAUUUGGGUUUGGUACAUGUUCUGUUUGUACUUUUUUUCUUUUUCUUUUUUUUCUUCCUCUUAAUUAAAUUCUGGGAGUUUUUUUGGUUCCAUCAGUCUUUGAGCUUGCAUGUGGGGAUGGGCAGAUCUGUGGGUUGCUUUUAAUUGGUGGGCUUUGUGUGAAUUUGAUCGGCCCUCGUUUGGUUACUGAGAAACCGGAGGAAAAAAAUGAAAAACAAACGAAAAUGUUGGCUCUUGCUCUUCUCUUGUGAUUUUUUUUUUUUUUUUGCCUCGGGGAAUUGAAAAUUUUAGCUCACCCGAUAAAUAAUUCUACUGAGAUGGGGUUUCUUCUUGUUGGGUUCUAAUUGAUGGAAAUUUGAAGAUUUAAUAUUUCUGAGCUAUCAAAUGAGAUUUUUCUUUGGUUUUCAGAUCUAAUAAAUUAUGCAGGUGAUUCUGAAUGAUCGAUUUCUAGUUUGGUUAUCUAGAACUAUGUAAUAAAUCUGGGUUUGUAUCUUAGGCAUGAACCAUUGUUGAAAUCUGAUGAAAAUGUUUAGAGCUUUGAAUAUUUACUAAAAAUUCUUUCAAUUUUUGAAGCUGUUUGAGGGCACGGUACUUCAGUGGGGGUAGAUUUUUUAUUUUUUUAUUUUUUUAUUUGUGAUGAUCAUCGGUAACUCCAGCCAAUUAGAAAGCUUUAGCCAAGACCUCUAUAAUGUUUGUGCUUUUGUGUUUUUCUUGAUGCAUUUGCUUUGUUAGAGACACUAUGCACAUCAUACUGAAGACCAUUUGUAAUGGUGUCAAUUAAGGAAGGAACCACCUGAGAACGGUGAGGUACCUAGGUUUUGAUUGUGAUUCCCUGCAUUAAUGUUAUUUUCAAAUGGAUGUGUGAUUAUCAUAAUUGUUAUCCUUUCCUUCAUUUUUGUUUCAUUGAUUUUUUAGAAUUGUCUGGCAUGAUGGCAAGUUAGUUUGGAACAAAACUUCCUUCUAUUGUUUUCUGAAAAGAGAUCAACUGCUGUGCAGGUGUCUAUAUUUGGGAUACCAUCUUAGGAUCACUGUUGUGAGGAUUUGCACAAGAAAAGAUGUUAUGAGUGAAACUCAUUGACAAAUUUUGGUUCAGUAAAAUGGAAGAUGAGAAUGGACUUGAGCUUAGCCUGGGUCUAUCUUGUGGUGGAUCCUCUAUCAAAUCAAAAGGUAAAAAUGGUGUCCCAUCGGAUACCAGGGCAGAGGAAGUUGAUAGGGGAAACACAUUAACGGAUGAUUUCAAAAAUUUCCUUAAUCCUGGCACCCAGAAACAGGACUCAAGCACUGGUUCCCAGAGAAGUGAUCCAGUGAAACCUCAGGAGAACUUCUUUAGCAACUUUCCAAAGGCUGCUGUUGAAGCAGAUGCUUCCAUGAACUUGAAUGGGAGAGGACUUUGGGCUGCAAACAAUAAUAGGUCUCCUGAAGUUGAGGAAGAAAAAAGGCCAGAGUUAGGUAAUAAACGUAAAAUGUUAUUUGAUGAGGUAAACCAUCAAAAGAAGCAUGACAGAGAGGUGCACCAUGCUGAUUUACACGAGAAGACAAAAACGUCACACAUUUCCAUAACAACUGAAGACGGUUCAACUGCUGAAAAUGAAGAUGUUGCGGAGUCUGAGGUUGAUGUUUCAACCUCAAGGCUGGCUUCACACCCUGAUGAUGGCUCCAAACGAUUCGUUGGAGCUGGUGGCUCUUCUGAGGUCGCAAAGGAGGUUCAUGGGGUUACUGAUUCUAGUGCUGUAGACUUGCAAGGGCAAAAGAGGUUUAACUUUUCAUCAGAAAAUGAGUUCAAGCGGAACCUGGCCUAUUGUGUUCCUUUCCCAGUCCAAUCAGUAAAUAUCAAUGUGCCUUAUUCGUUACAUGCAAAGGAGUCCAACCCUGUAGGUGCACCCGGCACAUCAGGCUAUUCAUUACCAGGUAUGAUGCAGGUAAUGCCUCCUGCAAAUAAUGAGCGAGCAGGGAUCCAGCCUGUGAACACUGGAAACCUUCCACUGAUGUUUGGCUAUUCACCUGUCCAGCUUCCAAUGUUGGAUAAGAACAAUUCGUGGGGGGUGGCUUCUCAUUCUCAACAGUUCCACCCUCCCUAUGCUGGCAAGGGUCCACCAAACUCUGAUAAACAUAAUGAUGGAUUGAAGAUAUCUCAAGGUAAUACUUUUCACCCUCCUAAAAUUCUUUUUUGGGUAUUACAAAAAUAUGGGUAAAAUGCCAAAAUUGCGGAGAUAUGUUGGCUAAAUAUGCCAUGCAAUUCCAACCUUUUCUAUUCACCACCACAUGGAAAGCCCUUACCUAUCCUCUACAUUAACUGCAAAAAAUGCUGAUGCUAACUGAUUCACUCUUUUCCUAUUGGAAUUUUGUCCUCUGAACAAGGAAACUGUGAUGUGUUUCCGGUUUUGACCUGGAUUUGAUAUUUGCAAGUUUCAACUAGCUGUGGAAUAUCAUCAUUACACAAUAUGGUUGCAUGUGACUCACAUUUACAGUUUGUAUUGAUUUUCUGUAUUGAAAUAUUAGAAAACACUAGUUAUCUUAUAGGCUAUACAACUCUUAGAAGCUGUACAGAUUUCCUGACUACUGAUCUAAGUUGUUAGCUUUUUCUAUAUGGCCUAUGCAUUUUUUUUCCUUUUUCUUUUGUUCAGCAUUUUAGUUGAGCCUUGUUGCAAAUUAAGGUUUGUUAGUUAAUUGUUCUCAAAAACAGUUUUCUCUUUGAGAAUAAAAAACCAAAAAAUAUGUUUGACAACUAGAAAAUAAAAAAUAGUUUUCUAUUUUUAGAAAUAGAAAACAUGGUGUUUCUUAGAACAUAUUUUAGUUGUUUUUACUAAUUUUUAGAAGACUAUUUUUAAAAGUAUUUGAAAACUUAGAAAACAAGUUGAAAACAUUUCAAGUUUCCAAAUAGAAUCUUGUUCUAAAAAACAUCAAAGAACUUUUUUUGAAAAUUAUUCUUAAAAAUUGUUUUUUAAAAUGUUCCCAAACAUAUUCUAUGUUUCCUUUCUUAUCCUUUACCUCUUGUAUGGAUGUAGCUGCAGUGCAAGCAAUUCCACAUAAUUCACCUGAAGCUUCACAUUAUGAUGGGAGGGCAUUAGAACUGACCAAAGGUGAUGGGAAACAGCAUCCCACAGAAGAGGGCUCCUCUUGUCAAACAGAAGAUGAUGUGAAGGGAAACAAUGUGAUCUUUAGGUCAAAGGAUGGCACUGAUCAAGCAAUAACAGAAGUUUUCUCCUAUGAAAGUUCAGCUAUAAGACCUGGCAUUGCUGCAGAUAUGAAAUUCGGGGGAUCUGGUUCCCACCCAAAUCUACCAUGGGUUUCCACAACAGGUUCAAAUGGUAAGACAAUUUCUGGUGUUACCUAUAGAUAUAGCAGAGACCAAAUCAGGAUUGUCUGUGCUUGUCAUGGGUCUCACAUGUCCCCCGAAGAGUUUGUUCAGCAUGCUAGUGAAGAGCAUGCCAAUCCAGAGACUGGCACUGGUUUAGCACCAUUUCCCAGUAGCAAUCCUGCCACUUCAGCUCAAAGUUGAUUCCCUUGCAGCUAUGUUCAAUGAGACCAAUAAAUGUUGACCUAUCAUGCAAGGAAGAAAACCUGGUUAUCAGGCUAUGUUAUUUACACCAAUCGUGAGAUUUCUCGUCCCUUAUCUCAUUGGAGAUGCUAGGAUGUUAUCUUUGUAUCAGUUGUCUUAGCGGCACUUUCUGCAAUGAAUAUUGCAGGAGUACUUAGCAAUGUAUAAGCAUCCUAGCUUAAUAGUAAUGUUAAGUGCUUCACUGCUACCAAGCCAGAUGUAGAGGGCAAUGCAUGUUCUCUGUACAACUGAUAUAAUUUAAAGUUCUUUUCCAAAGUUCUAUCUUAGUUUUGCAGUGGAUUGUAACUUAUGCGGUGCAGGGGUAGGAUCAGUAUUGGGAUUUCAUGAAAUGAUUCCACUUUUAUUUUGCACUCAUUUUGUCUAUAACCCCUUGCCAUAUGUUGAAUUUACACCUUUAGAUGCUUGUAGAACACAAUGGAGCCAUUCAAUCCAAAUUCUUCUGCUUCAGCUGGGUGUCAGGAGGAGAUAAUAGCAUUGCUUCCAUUCAAGGCUUUACUCUGGUAAACAUUAUCCAUGUGUAAGACCGGACUGAGCUAAAACUAUUUUCUUUUGCUGUGCCAUUAGGACCUCUAGCCUAGUGAGGCUUUCUUUUAAAAAGGAAAUCAGAGAGAGAGAGCGAGGCAAUCUUAUAAUAUGGUAACAAUCUGUUUUAGAGAUUAGAUGUUCUGUUAAUACAAAACAACACAUUGAGGUGAAUUGUGCCCCUUCACCACUGUGACUGUUUUUUCAUUCACGGCCCAGCCAAUUAAGAUACAUUUCCACAUAAGUUUUAUGUGCUUGAUACUAAGAGAAUUUCUUUAACCUCAUGCCACUUCCAAUCCACCCAUUUCUUGGGUUCAUCUCAGAUUUCAACCAGAACACCUCUCUAAGUGACCAGAAUUGGACAAUCACACCAUUUUCCCUGGAUUAAUGUCACAUACCUCUACUGUACGGCAGUAUCAUUGGCAGGCCUAAACCUAAUUUUUUAGUUUCUCAUCGUUCAUUGCUUUUGUUUUUAGGCCUUUGUUUUAUUUGACCACAGGCACCUCUUGCUCCACUGUUCUAAAUAAAAUUUCCUUACUUUUUCAUUGAGAAAAGGGUCAAUGUUGGCUAGCUCUGAAACAAUAAAACAUGUUUAAGGCAGACAAAAAUGCCUUGAUCUUUGGUACUUCUUGGUCAAGCUAGCAUGCAUUAUCUGUCAUGCUUGUGUCACUUCGAUUGACUAUGUGGGCUCCUCCAUACCCACGGUAUCCUGCAUGUGAAUCCCGGAGAAACGCCCCGAAGAUUGUGUGUAUGUGUUUAUUCCUUACAACUUGGUUCUCCUCAGAUACAUCGGCAAAGCAUGGAUCAUAUUCUACUCUUUCUAAUAAUAGCAGAAUCUUCCCAUCAAGGAAAUUGCAUGGCAACCUCCCUACCACAUACAGCCUCAUGGUUCUUCGAUGUCUUCUGACUUUUUCCCUUUCAGUUUAAUAUGAAAAUGAAAAUCAAGCUUGCAGUGUUUGACAAGUUUUCAGGGUUUACCCGGUCGACUUCGUAUUAACAACUCAUUAAUUCUAUCCAAUAGAAAAAUGCAAAUAACUUCAGAGAACUUUGACUUGGGUAAUUUCUAGCUCAGAUGAGCUGAAUUUGAGUUUGGGCCAUACCCAGAUUGUGAACCAACCCCAUGACUUCUGGGUUUUCUAAGAAACUCGUGGUGCUGCUAAAUUUGACUUUCCAUUUAUUAUUUUUAUUCACAAAUACUACUGAAUUUCAAAGAUAAACAUGGCCAGGUGAAUCAUUAACAACCAGGAACAAAGAAAAGCAAAGUCAUACAAGAAAGGAAGAAAAGACAGGAUUGAAUAACAGACAACUUCUGAAUGGAUGGAGGUAUAAACUGUGUGAAGUUUCACCACAAUAAAUAGGGUUUUAAAUGGGUCAGUUUAGGUAGUUUGUCUCACUGUGGGUGGCGUCACCGCUGGACAGAACCCUUUAAUUUAGUAGUAUAGAUGAUAUCAUGUGCUUUUUCUUUAUAAUGUGGGAUUUGCUACCCUGUUAAAUGUCUUCCAAGCCAAGUCAAAUAUGUACACAGUUAUAAGCAUCUCCACCUUUCCAUCACUACUGAAUUCCACAUUUUUAAAGCCUACCCUACAAAAUAAAAAUGAUUUUCUCUAGUUUGGACACACAAGAACAGCCUAAGAAGAAACCGAUAAAAGCGGCAAACCAGACAGGAGUAGUCUCUGGGGAGUGGGCAUAUAUAUUAAAAGGUCCAUGCAUAGCAGAACCAUAUCAAACUGCUAUGCCCUUUUGACAAGUUUUACAUGUCUUGGUGGAAUGCUUGUCGGGUAAGCGUGGAAUUCUGGGCAAGUCUCGAGCUUCUGUCUUGGCGAUGAAUCGGUGGAGUUCGAUUAUCUGGUUUCUGCUUUCUGGGUUAUUGUUCAAUGUUGAAUCACAGGCUGCCCCAGGACAGGAGAACUUCUCUUCACAAGAUGCUGUUACUGCUUUUAAACCAAGCCUUGCUGUGGUGAUUGGAAUCCUGGCUGUGAUGUUUUUGUUAACAUUUAUUCUUCUUGUGUAUGCAAAACUCUGUCACAGGGCGUCGAACAGUGAUCGGGAAAAUCAGCAGGGGCUUACCAGAUCAGAGUCUCGGUUUUCUGGAAUCGACAAAACUGUAAUUGAGUCACUUCCUUUCUUCAGAUUCUGUUCGCUUAAAGGGUCAAAGGAAGGGCUUGAAUGUGCAGUCUGCCUAUCAAAAUUUGAAGACAUAGAAAUUCUCAGGCUGUUGCCUAAGUGCAAACAUGCCUUCCACAUUGACUGUGUUGAUCAGUGGCUUGAGAAGCAUUCAAGCUGCCCUCUUUGUAGGCACAAGGUCAGCGCCGAGGACCUUGCAAUCUUAACGUAUUCGAAUAGUUUGAGGUUCUUAUGGAACCAGUCUGAGCUAAGAGAGAACUCAAAUUUGGAGCUCUUUGUUCAAAGAGAGGAAGAUCAUCAUGGGUCUUCCAGGUUCAGCAUUGGAAGCAGCUUUAGGAAGGUUGAAAAGGGUGUGAAGGAAGAAGAAUCAGUACUAAUCCAAGAAGAAGAAGAUGAUAAUGAUGAUGAAAAAAUCUUGCACAAAAUCAAUCACAAGAUUAUUGUAUCCGAUGUUGUCCUCAAGAACAGAUGGAGCAGUGUGAGCUCUUCAGACUUGAUGUAUCUGAAUUCAGAACUGGUUCAUGCCAUGUCAAGCGAUAGAUUUGCUUCUUUGGAUUCAAACAACUCCGCAAUGGGAAGACCAAUUGAGGACUGGGAAGUCAUGAAGAUCAAGGAGGAAAUAGAGAGGAAGAGAAUUUUCGAAAGCAGGGUCAGUAGAAUCAACCAUAGCAACCCAGUUUCAUCUUCAGGCCUUCCUUCUACUUCAAAAACUGAAGCAAACUCAGGUCAUGCUUCACGCUUCUUGCAUCCCACCGAAAAGAGAUCAAUGUCAGAGAUCACAGCUUGUUCAAGAUACGCAGAUUUCAGUACAAAGAAUAGAAUUAGGGAGUCUUCUUUAGCUCAAAAUAACAUAAAGGAGGAGAGAAUGAGGCGGCUUUGGUUGCCAAUUGCAAGAAGAACAGUUGAAUGGUUUGCCAAUAGAGAAGGGUCUCAACAGUCUCAAAACACAAAACAGGCACCAGAUGUAUGAAUCCAACCCAGAAAUAGCUCUCAGAAGUUUCUCAUUUCCUGCCAUUUUUGCAUAUUUUGCAGUUUCUGAACAUUGUUACCCGAAAAUUGGAUAGGAAUCCAUGGAAACACUCAUGUAGGUAUAUUACUUGUUAUAUACCAAAAAGAGCAGACAUACAUUUUCAUUUUGUUAUUUUCAUGAUUCCACAUAAACUCCAUGACAUGUUUGCCAUUGAUGAUGCAUCCAUUUUGUCAUAACCAGAUUUACAAGAAAUAUAAGAACUACUCAAUUCUUCAUUGCAGAUUUGUAUUCUACCAGAUUACCAAAAGAAAAUGUUAUCCUGUUGAUUGUUUUAUUCAGAUAUCUCCUGCAUAUGCUCAAUAAAUAAAUGCAUGAUUACAUUAUUAACAAAGGAGAUUGAACAACAAGGAACUACUUGCCACCCUGGUUCUAUGAAUCAAGCAAUUAACCCUUUUCUUUUUGAGGAUUCUCUGAGUGGGAGACCCAAUGAAUCAAGUUGUGAGAAUCUCUACUUGCCAUCCACAAACCUCUGACAGAUAUUAAAAAAAUAGUAUGAUAAAAAAAUAUGAUAAGAGAUCCUUAAGGCUCCUGACUACUUCAAGAAACAUUACUUUCAUAAAGCAUGCCCCCAUUUGAAAGAGGACAAAAAUUUCCAGCCAACCCCAUCUGGGUAUCACUGGAUGGGUAUGUUCAUACCCAUCCAAUCUCUAGAAUUUCUCUAGUAUGUGCCCCUUAAAGUCUUUCAUGGGCCACACCUGAGGUUCAUGAGAUUGUCAUAUUAUUAUUCACAUAUCUUGGAAUCACAAGAUGGGUGUUUCUAGUUAAAUUUUUAAUUUAUUUUUGAUAAACUACCAUUCAUUUUAAAACUUUUUAACCUAUGAAGAAUAAGUCAUUAUCAAAAUAUGUUAUUUAAGCUUAAUUUCCUUGCCUUUUAAGUCUUCAGCUAACAGAUUGAAGUUAUUUAACAAAUCUAAAGAUUUCUUUUUCCUCUUGAUUUGAUUUUAAACAUCACUUUGAAUGCCUAGAGAACUCCAAAAAGGCACAAACAACAAAUAUGUCAUUUUGUUACAAAGUCAAUGAUCACAAAUCAAUCCAAGCAUGCCCUCUGGACUAGGGUUUUAUUUUUAGGGGGGGUGUCAGGAUCAGUAGGGCAAGUGUUCAAAUAUACAAAUAUUAGCCAUGUCAACUACGUAAGAGAUGAGGCAUCACCCUUUUGUCUUGGCUUAAGGAAUCCAACAAAUCAUCUUUUGUAAGAUUAAGAUCAUAUGACAUCUCAUUUCUCAUUAUUAAGGUUAAUUACUCCCUACUUUCCAACUUUCCCUCUCUCACUCUCAUAUUUUAUCUUGAGAAAAUGUGGCCGGUUUGAUCCAUAAGCUUUGUUUAAGUCUUAAUGAUUAGUUCUUUGCCCUCCUUUAAUUUUUAUAACAGAGAAAUAGAUUGGAGGAGUUGGUGGGGAAAAUGUAACCUUGCUGGAGUUAUUAUUAUUAAUACUUUUAUUUAAUUGAAAUGAAAAUAUAAAAGGGAAAAGAAAUGAAAACAAAGAGGAAGAGAGCAGUAGGUCCGGAGAAUUAUGUUUUCACCACAGUUGGGCUGGAUAAUUGAGUUAAGGUCCUCCUAUUACCCGUAAUUGAUAACAAGGAUAUGAGAUGGUAAUAGACACAAAUACCCCUUAGACUCGUUUUUAUUUUUAUUCUAUCAUUCUUUACAUGCCACUAUUAACACAUUAUCUCUUAUUUAACUAUUUUUAGAUUUUUCAUUGGUUUUUUUUAAAACUCUUUUAUAAAUAAUUGAAAAUCAACAUUAUUUUAUAUUUUUAAAUUAUAAAUAAAAAAAAUUAUAUUGAUGAUUUAAAAACUAUUCUGGAAAAUACUUUCUAAAAAAUGUUAAUUUAAAUAAAUAAAAAUUAUCUUUUAUAUUUUAGAAGUAAAUAAUUUAAUGAUUAAAACACUAUUUAAAAUAAAUAUAUUCACUAUUUUAUUUUCUUUUAUACUAAAAAGUAUUUUAAAGUUUUCUUUAUCCUAUUAUAAAAUAAAAGGUUCAAUUUUUUUUAAAAAAAAUUCUUCCUUUCUUAUUUUAAUAACUUUUUGCACAUGACUUUUAGUAAUAAGUUAUAUGAAAUGUUGUAAAUUUGUUUAAUAAGGAUUUUUUUAAUGAUUUGAAUUAAUUGAAAAUUUAUCAACAUAAGAAAAAAAAAAAAGUAAAAGAAAGAAAUAGGAUAGAUGAAGAGUUUUUAUUUUAAAUAUACAAUUAAAAUGUUUUCGUAUGACUUAAUUUUAGAAGUGAAUUAUAUUCAUAUAUAGUAGAUAUUGAAUUUUUCUUAAAUAAAAGGGUUACAAUGUAUAUUUACUCAUUUUAGAUGAAAACAAGAAGUUUAAAAGUAUAUAGAUUGUGUUUGAGUCAAGGAUGAAAAUAUCGGUAAUUACGGAUAUAUCGGUACUUCGAUUUUACGGAUAUAUCGGAGAUAUAUCGGUGGAUAUUUUGGAAAAAAAUAUCGAUAAGCUUAAAAUUGUUAAAAACUCAUAAAAAUGUAAGGAAAACCUCAUAAUAAUAUAAUUAGAAGUAUAAUAGACAUUUUAAAGGUAUUUUAUUGAAAAUUUUGAUAUAUGUAUAACAUGAUUUAUCAUAUUUGAUAAUAAUAUCGUAUGCAUCGAUAAAAAUAUGAAUUUUAUAAGUAUACAUUUAUUAUUAAAUUACACCUAAUAUUAUGAUAUUUGAUUAUAAUAUGUCUAAUUUUAAAUAUAUAUUAAUAUUAAAAUAUGAUCUAUUUAAUUCAGUUGUAUUAAACAAUAUAAAAUAAAUUAUGAUAUAUAUAUAAUUUUUUAAUAUUUAAUUAAUUAUUAAUGAUAUUAAAAACAUUAUGAAGAAAAUUAUAUAAUUUUUAUAUUUUUGGUAAUUAAUUAAAAGAUUUUGCAUUUAAUUAUAAAAUAAUUAUAAUUAAUUUGUUUUUUAAAAUAUUCUUUUAAUAUUUUCUUUAUAUACUGAGUUUAAGUAUAUACAUAUUUUUUGCACAUUAUAUAUCAAGGGGCUAGUUAGCCCAGAUGGUAAGUGGCUGACUGCACUGUAGCGCAUUUGACUUUCAUUGACCCGCGUUGACCAUGCAAUAUAUUGGGAAAAAUCGUCGAUUUGUCGCCAAAAUCGCCUAUAUAUCGCGAUUUAUUACGAAAUAUCGUCGGGCCAAUAUUUCUCCAUGAAAUAUCGUGUCGAUACCCUUCGAUACACGAUAUUUUCUUCCUUGGUUUGAGUUUGGUUUAAAAAUAUUUUUCUAGUUUUUAUUUUUUAUUUUUUAUUUCUAAAAAUAAAUUUUAUUUUCUAUAUGGUCUCUUUUUGAAAAUAAGUUUAAUUAAAAAAUAAAAACUAUUUUUAAAAAUGAAAAUUGAAAACCUUGUUUAGUACUAUUUUUUCAUAUGAAAAUAAUAAAAAGACUCAAAAGAGUUUGGCUCUAAGUCAUACUAUUUAUUUAACUCCCACAUGAAAAUUUCAAUACCUAUAGUAACGAUGUUUGGAGAAAAAAAUUUGACCUUAACUCAUGCACCAUUUUCUCAACCAAACCAUUGGAAACACAAUAAACACACUUACGUGAACACAUAACUUAAAGGGAUAUGAAAUUUGUGUUAUUAUACAAGGGUAUUACACUAAUUGUACAAUGAAAAUAUACUAAGUAUACAAGAGUGUAUAAAAUUACCCUUUGUGAAAUAUUUCUCAAUUAUGAACCACUUCAUUUUGUUUUCCUUGUUACCCACAUAUUGUAUACUCAUGUUAUACACUUUAUUUAACUCUCACAUAAAGAUUUCAAUACUUUCCCUAGUAAUGAUGUUUAGGGAAAAAAAAAUUGACCCUAAGUCAUCCAAUAUUUUCUCAACCAAACAAUUAGAAAUAUGGUUAACACACCUACAUGUACACAUAAUUUAGGAGGGAUAUGAAAUUUGUACCACUAUAUAAAGGUAUUACAUUAACUGUAUAAGGAAAAUAUAUUAAGUGCACAAGAGUGUACAAGACUACCAUUUAUGAAAAAAUUCAAUUGAUUUUGAAUCAUUUCUUUAUUUUCCUUGUCACCCAAGGAUUGUAUACCCAUGACAUACACUUUAUUUAACUCCCAUAUGAAAAUUCCAAUGCUUUCCCUAAUAAUGAUGUUUGGGGAAAAAGUUUGGAUCAUAAGUAAUCCACCAUUUUUCCAACCAAAUGAUUAAAAACAUGUUUAACAUCUACAUGGACACAUAACUUAGGAGAGAUAUAAAAUUUACACUACUAUACAAUAUUAUACCAAUUGUACAAGGAAAAUAUGUCAAGUAUACAAGACUCUUAAUAGGUUUUGUACGAUUUUUAAACAAUUUGAGUUUGACAUUAAAACGAUUAUCGAUAGUUUAUUAUUAUUAUUAUUAUUAUUAUUAUUAUUAUUAUUAUUAUUAUUAUUAUUAUUACCAAACUAUGCCAUUAAGAUCAAUGAAAAAUAAUGGACAACAUAUUUAUUAUUUUGUAAGUUAGAAACAAAAAAAUAUUUGCUAAGGUAUUUAAAAAAUAUUUAUUAUAUAUUCUAUAAGUUUGAAAAAAAAAAUUUAAUGAUGUGUAAUUUGCAAAUUAGAACAAAUAAAAAAUAGUAAUAUUUUAUAAGGUGUUUAAAAAUUGUUUAAUAUAUAUGAGAAAUAAUGUAAGUUUGAAAUAAAAAAUAAUAUUUAUUAUAUAUUAUGAAAGUUUGAAAAAAAAAAUAUUUGAUAAGGUAUUUAAAAAUUAUUUACUUCAAAAAUACAUUUAACAAUAAUAAUUUUUAACAAUUUAACUUUCAUGUUCAAUUUGUUGGAGAAAAAUGAUUGAUAAAUCAUUCAAGUUAGUCUCACUAAUAAAUAGGUAAGAGAAGGGUGAAAAAAUCAAAAAGAGAAUGAGAAAGGUAGAGUAACCGUUAGUUCUUUUAUUUAAUAAUUAAGGGUAUUUUAGUAAUUUUUUUAAGGCAAUAUCCUUCCUUUCAAUUUCUACUCUUUCAUUGGGUUUUGAGUUUAAUUAUGGAUGAUCGGAGACCUUACUUCAAUGAUUCAAAACACACUUUUCCCUAACCCUUUCCCUUUGCUUCUUCCCCCCCUCCCCUCCAUGGGCUCCUCCUUUCUUCCUCUUCUUUCUUGUUAUUCAGAUCUUUCCUUUCAUAAAUUGAAACCAAAAAUAGGGGAGGGGCUGCUGCUAUGACUGACUAUCAAGACAGUGGCAAUGCCUCAUCAUGAGUAACAGUUCACGAGUGUGCAGCCAAGCGCUGCUGCCGGUCAUGGUGGUUUGCCACGGCCCCAUCUCAUAGAAAAGGAAAGAAGUGAAGGAACGGGGUUAGACUGAGGAUUAGGGUUGGGGUGGGAUGCGUGCGAGGAAGAUGAGCUUUCAUAUUUAGUUGUGGAUUUUAAAAAGACAAAAAGAUGGGUGGAAAAACAUAUUAGGUGGGUGCGAGUAACAUCACUCAAUAAAUCAUUCUAUAUAUGUACCCGAAUCAAUAAAAUUACCUACAAGAUGAGGGAAAUGGAACAAAUAAAAACUUACACAAUCACUCCCAAUUUCUAAAACAACCUAUUGCCCUCAUCAACCUUCCUCCUUUACAGUAGUAUCUGUGGGUUGAUGAGGGUUAAGCAGAAUUUCAGAUACAACUACUGAAUAUGAAAAUUAAACAAGGCAACAGACAACAUAAGAGAAAAAUGGGUGGAAAAAGAAUGGUAAUUUUGAUAUUCUGACAGCAAGGAAAGUUCCCUAUAUUGACCUGAUUGCAAUUAUUGAAGUAAUACACAGCUCAAUUCGACAGUUCCUGAAAAAGUAAGUACAUGCCAAUCUCUUCGUCUAUGAUUGAUAAUACAAACAAAACAAAAAAAAAAUGAAAAGUGGUUUGGCAAAGGAAAUAUGGUUAUUUAAAGCCACCACUGCCAAUGUUUUUGGAGAACCAGAAUUUCAUUUUUGGAAAAAAUAAAAGUGGACCAUUAAAUCAUUUACAUAUUUAUGCAUUUACAAAAGCAGAAAAAAGACAUUAAAAUCUUAAAAAUUUAUUAACUGACCUCCCCCAUUGAGCUGCUUAAAUGGCCAGUUGGGCUAAAAGAGAAUUUCCAAUGCUGUUCUGUACAUCAUGCGAAGGAGAAUCAUGGGGUUGAGAGAGAAUUCUGUUCUGCAACUCACUCACUUUCUCCAUCUUGUGUUGUAAGUUCAGGGUGCAUAUUAAUUCAAAAAUUCUCGCAUGGGAGAAAAGAAAUGCAGUUGAAAAAUGUUUAUAACUGGUUGAAACCCCAUUCCAAGAAUUCUUCUACCACUCUUCAAGCCAUUCUGGAGUAUUAAGUUCUUCUGGGUCUCGAGAUGGGGAAAGUGAAUGAAUGGUAUAGUCCUCUGUGUGAUUUUCCAGAUGUUGAGCUAUUCGAGAUGUGAUCUCAUGUGGAACAGGAAAGCUAGAAUCUGUCAGUCUCUUCCAAUCAAUCCCAUCAAACCACUUAUGGCUUUUGACAGAAUCUGGAUUUUGGCUUCCAAGUCUUGUGCUUUCAUCAACUUCAAGUAACUAAAUCAAUUCAUUUAUAAAAAUAAGCAAAGCUUUCAAAAAUAUCCUGAGAUUCCCCCCAGGCACAGUAAAAAACACAGGAAAUAACUAAAAGUUCAAAUAAGACCUUUGUUAUGAGAUCAACAGCUUCAGGACUGAAGGUGCACGGAAGGUUUAGCUGUCCCCUAGCAAUCUUUGCAAAUGUAUCAAGCUCACUUUCUCUCCAUGAUCCAAAUGGCAUUUCACCUUGUAGCAUAAAAUAGAUCAAGACUCCCAGUGCCCACCUGCACAUAUUUAAAACUCAGAAGAAAAUUUCCAGGACACCAGCAAUUUAAAAGGAAAGAUAUAGAGCAAACACCACAAAUUGUUCACAUAUAGUGAUUCUAAUCACUAAAGCAAACAAGUUUGCCAUAUCCAGAAAUUUCUUAGUGACUCCAAUUGCUUUCCCCAGAAGCAAUAUAAGAUAAAGAAAAACAAUUAAUCAAUAUAUAUAGCGCAAACGAUUUCCACAGAUGUAUUAUUCCAGAUGAUGAGUGCAGUCACUGUUACCCAAAAACAAAUAAGAAAAAGAACCAUUGGGCUCUCCUAAGCACUCUGCUUCUGUUUAGAUAUAUUUUUUUUUUUUUUUUUUGUCUUUCAGAAUGAAAACAAAAUUUAAAAUUACCACUUUUAUUUCUUGUGAUUCACACUUGGAUUUUUUAUUUUUUUUUUCUAAUUUGAGACAGCAUUCAAUGGUCCAAGAUACUGUGCAAGGUGAGGACAAAUCCCGAAGUUAUACAAGUUUAAUAUUUACCAGUCAGCAGGAAAGCCAUGUCCUUUUCCUUGGACUAUCUCUGGUGCUAAAGAGUCUGCCAUCCCACAUAUUGUAAAUGUUCUUUCAUCAGCCAACUUCUUCCCAAAUCUGAAGUCUACAAGCUACAAUACAGCAAGGGAAAAGAAAAUAAUGAAGAAUGUUAUUUUUCAAGUUGCUCUUCUUCAUAAGAACAGAGAAAAGGGAAAUGUAAUAAUACAUCUAUUAAUCAAUAUAAUGCAGCAUAAAUACCAUAAUAAAACCAACCUGCAAAUGUCCUGUGUGAUCAAACAUUAGAACAUCAGGAGACACACCUCUGUAGAGAAUACCAUUCUGAAAUUCAAAUAAGAAAAUAAAACCCCCAAAAAAAGUUGAAAUCAUGGUAUAUGCAAAGCACAGUUAGCAGUUGAGGAAGAAAAAAGGUAGAAAAAGAACUCUAGACAUCAAACCUUGUGUAAAUUUUCCAAGGCAAUAACAACAGAGGCAGCACAGAACCGUGCAGAUGGUUCAUCUAGUGGAGUGUGAAGUAUCGAAGCAAAUGGGCAGGCAAGACAUGUAUUCAGCAGGAUACUGGCAUGGUUCUGGUCAGCAAUAGUGCAUAGAACCUGUGGCACACAAGCUGAAGGAGCCAUACUCAUCAUUAGAUUCUUCUCCUUUAAGACCUGUGCUUCCUUCCCAAGCCUUUUGAUCUUCUGCUUUGAAAACCUUUUCAAGCUUAGCAAAUUUUCUGAUAGCCAGUCAGACCCAAAAAGAAGCAUUUCAUCAGUCAGUUUACCGUUCACAUAAAUGUAGAAAUAAUAUCUUAAAAAAAGUAACCAAAACAAAAAGUGACACAAUGAAAACUGGUGCAAUGGAGGAAAUAAACUAAGAUAAUAUAAAAUAAACCAACCUGAAUCUCUCAACAAUACAAGCCCAAUCUCACUGCAGUCAGUGGAAUAUAAACAGGUUCUCCACUCCUAAACAAAAUUAGAUAAUUUCAGAUGUCUAUCUAUUUCAAAACCAAGGUCUUUGCAACAUGGACGUUAGCAAGACCCAUUAAUUAUUCCUUACCAAGUCAGAAGGCUGAACUUUCGUAAGAGUUGAAGGAUCAAUAUUUUUGACAGAUUCCUUAGGGAGGCUUGAAGAAUAGUCUCUUGAAUGGUCUCUUGACCUAAACAACAUUAGUAUUUUCAGGGUAAGAUGUACUUCUAAUGUAUUAAACACUUAAGAACAAGAAAGGACCAAGUACUUGUCAAUCAUAAAGCUCCAAACUACCUUGCAUUGAAAAUACCAAUUUCAUUCAAUAAGGUGGCAUUUGGUAAACUUAAAACUUAAUACUAUUAAAUAUUAGGUUUUACCAAACACCCACUAGCACCUUAAGAUAACUUAAUCUGAAUUUUACUUAGUUGAAUUUAAAACUCAUUACUCAGUGUCCAUUUAGAUACACUUCCUCUUUUUAUUUUUAAAAUUAGAAACUUCUAUAUAAAGUAGAACAUCUUGUACAAAAAUUAUAGACUUAUGUUAUGUCUUUAAAAUCACUUUCAAAAAUUAUAAAAUUCAAGAUAGUAAAAAAAUUUUAAUAUCUCAAUUUAUUUUAACAGUUUUUAAAACCAUUACUUCUUCAAUGUAAGCCUCAAAGAGUUCUUGUAUCUUAGAUAAAAGUCACUACAGUUAUCUGAUUUUAAAAACAGAACAGGAAGUGUAUCUAAAUGGACACUGAGUAAUAAGUUUUAAAUUCACAUAUUUACCCUUUUUAAUAUUAAGUAAUGAGCUUAUGAGAGAGAUAAAAGAGAGAAAAUCUAACAAGUGUGUUAAAGAGUUGAUAAGAAGCCAAGAGUUUUGGAAGGCACAAAACUAUUUUGGAUUCAGAAAAAGUGAUUUCUCUGAACUUAUUGUUUUAAGUUAUUGUACCAAAUAGACUAAAUUUGCUUAAUGAACUAUAAAUUAUACUAACUCAUUAAGUUGGUUUAGCAAAUAUCCCCUAAGAUAUAAACAGUAACAUUCCCUACAGGAAAUUAGAUCGUACUUUUCAUCACCCUGUGACAGCUUUGCCAAUGGACCAACAACAGCAUCAAACUUUUCCUUUGUUAAAACAGCACACACCACAUCACCCAUAGCAACUGCACUAAAAGAGCCAAUAUUUUCACCAAGAAGUGCCCAUUCACCAAAAUAGCUUCCCUCAGUCUUCACUACAAACUCUGUACUGCUUUCUGUAUCAUCAUCCUGCUUUUGAUUGUCAGAUACAAGGCUCCCGAAGCUUGGACUCCUUAUUGAGUCUGGAUCAAAAGUGAUUCUCACUUGUCCCUUUUGGAUGAUAUACAAAGCAACAGGACCCUCAUUCUGCAAGCACAAGCUGGAAAAAGUUAACGAAAAAAAAUAAUAACACAUAUUAAAUGGAAUAUGUUUUUGGAUAGAGUAAGUUUACUUUGUCAACUAUAGUUUGCCCAUCAGAGAAGGACACUUCAGAAAGAGAAUCUGCAAUGUGGCUCAACUGUAAGAUUGUCAACCUUGAAAGAAGAUCUACUGACCGAAGCAACUUCAAGGAUGACAAAUUUGAAAAUUCAGACAUCAAAAUUCCUCGAAAAUCUUCUCUUUUCAAAGCCCAAAGAGUUCCAUUUGUCACAGCACGAACAGAUGCCUGUAGCGGUUUGUUAUACCUGAAAUACCACAUAUCCCCAAAAAAGGACAUGCACAGACAGAGAGGAAAGGAGGACAAAAAGAAGUAGUAAGAAUAAAUAGGACCACACUGAUUACCAAGAAAAGUUUAACUGGACAGUUUUUACAUAUGUCAUGGAACUGCACCAACUUUCCAGGAAAUUAUACCCCUAACAAGAUUGUGCAACCCACAAAUGCACAAAUGUAACAACAUCAGAAAUAUUGUACUCAAAAAGCUUGUGCAAUCAUUAAUAAAAUCUAGCAGUUUUUGACAAUGUGUUCACAAUUGUGUUAUUUUGAUUAUUUCUGAACCUAUUCAAAAAGUGCUUGCAAAGUCUACAACUUUUUACAAGUUUCAUUGAAUUGAAAUUGGCUCAAUAAUUAUAAUUAUUUGUUCACUAAUCCAGUUUAUAGUUAUUUAAUUUUUAAUGAACUAAAAUACCAACUUGUUGAAAAUUGAUGAGCCAAUCCAUUUUUAACAAAAAUGAAAUUGUCAUUUAAACCCAGCAUGAAGGAGUGAAAUGAUAACUCACAUGAGUGCCAGCUCGCCAAAGGAUGAUAACUUUUCAGCUGUAUACUGUUGCAGAACCCUAGUCACCUCGCCAUUUUUUUCUUCCUGUUAUCCAUAAUAUCUUGUUAACACCAAUAUCAAAAAACAAAAAUAAUAAUAAUAAUAAUCUAACCUCCAAAAUGUACAACUGGAAAACUAGAAGAUAAUUGAAUUGAUCAAGGAUGAUUAUCAAGGUAGCCUUUAUAUUAGUUCUGAAAUGGUUUGAACAACAAUAAGAAGAAACUGAUGGCGUUACACAAAUUAGUAAAUCUGAAGUUGCAUCAAAUAACAAAAGUUAGAACCUGGGUUGCCAAGACCUCAAAUUCUCCACUGCCAACAACAUAAAAGCAGUCACCUUCACCACCCUGCAAAAGACAAAAUCAAUUACAUUUCUGCAGCUAUGAAUACGACUGUAGUUAAAAAUUGCAUUUACAUAAACAGUCCUUAAUUUCUGGCAUGCGAAGCCUGCAGACCUGAGGUUCAGCAUACUAAAAAUAAACCUCUAAGUCAAGCAGCAUUAGCCUACCCAUGUGCAUGAGAAUAUAAACUAGAAAAGUGGUGGCGAAUAUGUAUUUGCAGCUUUGAUAAAGGUUCUCAUCACCAAUUAUGUCCACCACAUACUCAGAACUUGAAUGGAAAUCUGUUUAUGGUUACAAUUUAUAAAUCUCCUAUCAGAGACACAAAUAAAAUAUAUUCAGGUUAAUUAUUUAAUUCCUUCUGCUUAAAAUUCUUGUUUCUUAAUGCUUUUAGUAGUUUAAAGAUAGAAAUAGUAUGUCUGUAAAUUGUAAUUGUUACUUCUUUUCUAGAGAUUAUGCUCAACUUGGAUGAACUUUGAUCCAUAUCUGCCACUGAUACACAUACACACAAUAUCCAGGUUAUGCACAACAGUUGAAGAACUCUACUCAAUUAUAAAUUUAAAAAGAUUAAAGAGAAGAAGGGAAGGGGGAAAGACAGACAGACAGAGAGACAGAGAGCUAGCCUGUUUCACUACAACAUCCCCUGAUUGAACUUCAACUCGUUGCAUGCAAUCCAACAAGACAUGGCACUGAGAGUCAGUAAGCUUCCUGAAUAGGAAAUGGUCAUGCAAUGCCCGCUCAAUGUGUGCCUGUGACAUAUGUGAAUAAAAUUGCUAACCACAAAUGUAUGGGAUAAGGACUCAUUGUAAGAUAAACUUGUUCCAGUCUUCUCUUCAUAUAAAAUUGUGUCAAAAGCAAUAUUUAUAAUAGAAAAAGGUUUACCUCUUCUUCCCAUGUCUUCCUGUGAGCUGGAGAUGGAGGAACCCAAAUUUGACCAUUCUCCAGAGAACUUUCAAUGGCACGAAGACGUGCCCGUGAUAAAUCAUGCCUUACCCGAUGAUUCCUAGAAUUCCAGCUCAAGGUUGAAGGAGAUUCAGAUCCUGUUACUUCCACGACUUGUGGAACAGGAGGUCUUGAAAUAGCACCAGGAUUUGCUGAUUGUCCAACAUCAGGCUGAUGAAAGAAGACAAAAUCAGUUGACUGAACUCACAAAAAAUAUAUAAAUAAUAAACAAAUGAUCAUGUGAAGCACAAUAUAAAUCAGAUAAAAGACAAUAGACAGAGCAAAACAAGCCCUCACAUCAGUUAGCCCAUUAAUAUGCACAACUAUCACAGUAAUGUCAUCUGUGCGAGUUUCAUACUGUAGCCAAAGCCGAUAAGAUUCAGCAACAAUUGCAGCACAAGCAUCACGGGGAUCCUUAAACUUUGUAACCUGGAAAUUCAGUAACAAAAUCAGGAACACAAUUAUAAACAUGAGAAGAGGCACUAUAUCUGCCAAUGCAAUUUCUAUUCAGAGAUGGAAAUAUAAGGGAGUGAGAAUUAACACAAGUUGAACUGCAGUUAUUUUUCUCUCUUCAGAGAUGGAAUUUAAAAGCAAUGGAUUCUCUGCAAAAGGAAGCAAGGGCUAAUCAAUUUACUAAGUUGAAACUGGAUAGCUGCUGAACAGCUAGGAAAAUCAUUGGGUCUAAAAGAACUAGAGCAUCUAAGCUGUCACUGUUAUGAUACUGAGGAGACAAGAAAUAAGUUCACAAUGCCAGUCAUAACUCUCUGAAUAGCUUGCUGGCAAAAGCCAAGGCUCUUACCAUGCACACAUGUAGGUGCAUGCCACAAACAGCAAAGCAUCAUACUCCCCCUAUAAUAAGCACUUAGCAUGGAAGAGCCUAUUUGACUCCAUCAUAGGCUUCACCCUCAAAAUGUGGCAAAGCAUGUCACAAUGAUCAGAUCCUUAGCUCUUGCUACUGCCAUGUUUCAUGUUCUAAAGUUUGAUCAUCUCUAUCAUGUCCUUUCCUCAGUAAUAUAACAUGAUUUUUUAAACUUAAGCUAUAGUUUUGUAGGCCCUUUGUUUUCUGGUCUGUAAUUACUUGGUUUGAACGUAAUGACCUUGUUAGUCGCUAUUUUCCACUUUCAUUUUAGAAUCAGAAAUAAUCAUUCCAUUGCACUUAAUUAGUGAGUACAAACAAGGAUAAGAAAUCCUUCCAAGAACACAAUCUGCUGUACAAUAUCAAAAAAAGCUAACUGCACAGUUGAAGAUUGUCAUAAAAACAAUCCAAAAUAUUAUUCAAUAUAACUAACUAAAGGUAAAAGAAAAUCCAGUAAAAAAGAAACCAAAAUACAUUAAAAAAGAAACCAAAUAUUGUCCCAAUGAUUUGCUAAAAGAUUCACCAUAUAACUGGUCAAGCUAGGACCCUAACAAAAGGAACAACCCAACUCUAAAGUAAUAUAGAAAAUUUGACAAAGCCAACCAUCAAACUUCCGUCGCCAUCCUUUUUCCUUAGGCAACUAAGAUAUGACUAUGGCAAAUCCCCCUCCACCAAUAGAUUGGAAAGAUCAAAAUUUAGCCUAGAAAGGCCCUCCGAUACGGAUAAAAUCUCAGCCCUGAUAGAGCAACCCUCUUCAGUAGGUGUAGAAAAAAGCUCUCACCAUUGUACCAAAAUGACCCCUAAGCAAUCCUCCAAUUUCUAGUUGUCCUCAGUGACUCAAAGAACACCAACCAAAAUUUAACUUGGCAAAACUCACUAGUGGUGAUGAUAAUACAAGAAGUGUCUUCUCCACUAACCUCAACUUGCACAUUAGAUUCUAAUCUAGCAAUAUAAGGGCCACAUAAGGGUCUGCAAAGGCUUCAUUAAUAAAAUCAGAAUGAUGAGAAAAAAAAAAAACUAAGUUUCAAACUGCCUCCAAAUUCCUUCAUAUAUCAUAAGAAUCCUGUAUUCAAUCAAUUAAUUCAAAUCAAUUUGAAGCUAGCAAUACACUAAAGAGUCAUGCCUCCAUGAAGUCUUUUAAAACCCUUGAACGAAAUUAUCACCAUCCCCACCAUGCUUAUGGAUGGAACCCUUUCAAUCUAAGCAAGUCAAACAACUAAUGUCAUAAUGACAAUGCUAUCAAGCUAUGUAAGAGACAAUCAACUCAUUCUCCAGUCCCCUUCCACAUGAUACACCACUUUAACUAGAGUGUUUUGCAUGGCCUCUUUAACCAGAGCAAAUCAUUGACAUUAACCUACUCAUUUUCCAAAAUCCACACCAAAGGCCUCUCUACUUUUGAUUGGGCUCUAGAUUUCUAAACCAAUUUUAUGAGGAUAAUGGGAAUCGAGUUGUGUAGAAGUAACGAAAGCCUUAAAGAAUGAACUAACUAAGAAAAAAUCUGAGGAAUCUAUCAAAAGAAAAAAAAACCUAAGAAUAAAUGUGAGGAAACCAAAAACUAAAAUCUCACAUUAGGAACAAUGAACGAUAAAUAAACAACUAAAGCAAACACAAAAAUAACAAUUUCCUCAAUCUUUUGAUUUAAAAGGUUGAAGAGAAAAUUGAAAUUUCAAAACCAAGGAAGAGAAAUCACAGCCCUAAAGAGAUUUGGGUAUUGGAUAAGAAAAUGUUGAUUGAUUACCUUCCAAACAUCGUUAUGAAAACGAAUUUUUGCACCAUCCGCACAAAAUAACAAGUAGGACAAAAAGACAGAAAAUUUAUUUAAUAGCCUUCCAAGGGCAACAACAUGACCACCUAACAACCAUGUUAGUAUAACAUCUAGUAGAAUGUGGCCAAUAGGUACUCAAGAUGACCUUGUGCCCUAUAUAUAUAUAUGCACCACUUUCCCAAAAGAGCUUUAUUUCUCAAGGAUACCCUCAACACUAUAAACCCAUUCCCUCUCAGGCUAACAAACUGGUCCAAACCCAUGAGAUGAUCACUCUUUCCUUUUACAAUCCCGAACAAAGAAAAACCUUUUGCAACCUCUCUAUCCUAGGAGCCACUUUGACCAAAGUCCUAAACAUAGAUAGGAAAUUAAGGUAAAAUGGAACAAAUAUUACUAAACAAGAAUUAUUCUACCACCUACUGACAAGUAGGCUUUCUUCCAACUAUCAAAACAUCAAGAAAUCCUAUCCAAAAUUGAAUCCCAGCAAGAAACAGCUCUAGGGUCCCCUUCAAAGGAAGACCCAAAUAACAAGGAGCCAAUAAAAGACACUACAUUCUAAAAGGAUAGACAAUUAAAGAACUUAGCCCUAACUAACAUUGAUACCUAAUAGGAUGCUCUUAUCUAGAUUUUUCUUAAGCCCUGAAAAAUGUCAAAUCACCAAUAAAAUUGGUUCAAGACAUUGUGUGAAAUCUGAUCUAUUUCUUGAAGAAAAAAAUGAUAUCAAUAGUAGACCAUAAAUGAGUCACCCAUAUUCUACUUGCACCCACCAUAAAGCCCUCUAAGAUACCACAUUCUCCCACUCUCAUCAUUAAGAUACCACAAUGGCAAUAACGAUAAAAAGAAAGAAUGAAAAUGGAUUGCCCUAUCUUAAACCCCUAUUAGAUGUCUUAACCCAUUUUUAAAGCAUCCACUUACUAGCAUAAAAACUCAUUGAUGACAAGCAUCCACAAAUCCAUGAUCUCCAUCUCUACCUAAAACCUUUAUUUCUAAUGAAUGAUUGAAAACUCUCAAUCCACAUAACCAUAACCUUAAUCAAAAUCAAUAUUAAAAACAAUCCCUCCUCCUAAACAUCUUUUAUCAUCCAACACUUCAUUCAAAUUUAUCUAAUAUUGGUAAAGGCUUCUUGAGAAAGAUGAAUGAUCUCAUACAAAUCCUCAUGUAAACACUAAAACAUCAACUUAGCCAUGAUUUGGCUCCUUUCGCGCACUAAAGCAGUGAAAAUGGUAUUAAUGCUCUUAUUAACUACUCCACUAUCAUAGGAUUCAACAAACCUCCUCGAUUGUGUUAAAGCAAUCAUAUACAAUGCUAAAGUAAAAACCAUUUGGGUUUGGUGCCUUUUCCUUCUCCACAUGAAAGAUCACUUCUCCUAUUUCCUAUUUCUAAGAGAGGUCACUCCAAACUACUAAAUGGGAGAUAGUCUAUACAUUCUAAACAUCACAAAUCCUCAUUGAUUAAUUGUAAAGUUUACCAGGAAAAAUCAAAAUCUCUUUUGAGAUACUAUGUUGGUCAUCCAACAUCACACCUUCCUUAAUCACUAAAUUUGAUCAACUUUCCCUUCUUCCAUUAGCCAUCAUGUCGGAGCACUUGGAAUUGAAGUCCUCCUCCUUGGCAUAUUUUACUCUAGUUUGCUAGCUCCAAUGCAACACUUCCCAAAAAACAAUUGUUCCAACUCCACUUUCUCAAGGGAUCUUAUAGGUUGCUAAUUCAUUACUCCAAGGCUCUCCUCCUUGAAGGAAUUUACCAUGGCAAUUUCCCUAAUGAAAGCUAUCUUUCUUUUCCUAAUAUUCUCAAGAGCUAUCUUAUUUUACCAUUUCAAUUUUGCUUUAAUGUCUUAUUGUCUCUUCAUAAACCUAUGACCUUCCCAAUCCACACCUUGAAACUCUCUCCAUCAAGUACCCAUACAAUCUUUGAAAUCAAGGUAAAGCAACCACAUGUUUUCCAACCUAACUAGAGUUAGCCCUCACUUCAAAAGAUUGAUAUCUAAUCCCAUUUAGGAAAAAAGUAAUUUUUUAUCAAACAAAGAACUUUUGCAAAUUGACCAAGUGAAAGUGGCAUUUCUACGAAGGGAAUCAACUAACUCGCACUCCCUAAUUUCUAGUAAAACAAGAUCACCCCUGAUGCACUCUCCCAAGGUGAUCCAAUAACUCAUUCCCACAACUCCUUUAUAAGCAUGAGAGCAUUUGAGACAAAAACCUUUAGACAAGUGACCCGGCUGCCAAAAAUAAAAAAUUGAAAAUUAAAAUUUCUUUUACUAUUUGAAGAAAGUAUGACUAAAACUAAAGAGGACCCUAAAACCAUCUUGAUGCACAAAAAUAUCCUAAAAUAUAGUGACCUUGUUCCACUUGUAGAGAAUCUAAUGCAUCUUAAUUUUUAAUUCAGUGAGGAGGGAAGACUUUUUUAGGGGCUUAGAUAGGAAGGAAUUGGAUAAAUCUAUAUCAUCAAUAUGUUCCCAAUAAAUUAUCAUGUCCGGAGGUUGAAUAUUUGAGAUUAACUAAAUUACCUGUACGACUUGAUAUCACUUCAGUUGUGAAACAUGCAACAACUAUUUUGAAGCCUUGGUUAAUCAUUCCCCUGUCAAAAUAGAGAUGAUGACUUCAAAGAGGCCAUACCACUACUUAGUGUGACUGAGAACCUCACAUUUUAGUUAUUCAUUGAGCUGGAUGACUAUCAAAUGCUACAAAAUCGUGAAUAAAACUUGGAUGUUGAUGUAUCAUGUUUCUUAUCGAUGGAUACUUUUACUAUAAAGUUUUACUUGUAGAAAAUAAUUUAGUUUGAGUUUUCAAGUGUAUAAGUAUAAGAACAACCUUUACAUAAAUUCCAUGUUUCAUAAAAUUUUCUUGUAACUACAAAUUAUUACAUGAAACCAAGAAAAGAAAAGAAAAAAGAAAGAAGGGCCUCCCAUUUACUCUUCCUGACAAGAUUCCAACUUCAUCCUAUAAGAAGAACCCACAAGUAUCCAAAGAGCUAAAAUUAGUAUGCUAGGCAACCAAGGCAAAUCAAAAGGAAUCUGCAUGCCUCAAGGGCUCUCAAGUAAAAGAAACCUGGCCACACAUACCAAAAAUACCUCAAACAUUCUAAUGUAUUAUGUUUUUUAUAGGCAAUCAGAAACAUUAAUCAAGAGCACCUAACAAAAAUAGGCAGUGCAACCCCAGCAAAAGUAGGGGCGCAACCCUAGUACACCAAGAAUAUACAAAGAGCACGAAAACAAACAAAUAAUGAAAUAUAUAUAAAGUUAAUAAUGCUUGAGUGAGACCCACUGGCUGGUUAGGUUGUAUUUUACAAAAGAAAAUCUUUUUUCUAGGUGGAUUGUCAAAUAAAAGAAAAAAUCAAUAAAUAAAAAACAUUUAAUAGAAGUUAUUAUGAAAUAAUUUAUAUUUUGUACUCAUAUAAAUUAUGUAACAAAUAUAAAAUGUUACUAAUUAUGUUAUCUCAAUGCACCAAAUCCUUUCCAGCCAAGUCAUAGUAUUCUUAAAUUUGACAGUUGCAUGGAUUGAAUGCCUAGACCCACACCAGCACCAAACCCAUAUGAUAUAGCACAUUAUGUAUUUUGAAAUCAGGAACUCAAAAAGAGUGUCAAACAAAAUUUGUAUCAACCCUACACAAGGAAUAUGUUUCCCAAUAUCAUACUCUUUUGAUUUAUAAAUGUGAGCCCAGUGAGAUCAAACGGUAUUAUCUAUCAGGAAGUAAUAAUCGCGCAAUCAAACAGGAUUUGUUCCUAUGGGGGAAGAAAUUCACACUCCAAAACAUCUCAAAGCCACCGACAUGCUAGACCAAGAACAACAAAUGAUUUGUAUACCUGAAUUAUUCCAGUUAUGGAUUUAGGCCAUCAUUUAUGCAAUUCAUCACAAGAUUCUAAAUUGAUCACCAGGGUUCAGAAAGAAAACUAAAUAUCAUAUUCAGCAAAAACAUACAAAUAAAAGACAACCUACAAUCAUAAGCAUGGAACAAAUGUAACUCUGAGAACUUUAGGCUUCAGUAACACUCAAAUCAAAUAAGCUAAAAAUCACAUUUUCACAUAGAUUAUUGUAAUAAGAUAGAAGGAUACCUUACCAUGUCAACAACAGUUUGGCUGGAAAGGAACUCAAACACCCCAUCGCUAGCUAGCACAAAGAAAGGAUGAUCUGGUGUGAGCUCCAGAACAACAAUUUCAGGGUUAGCAACCACCCCAAUUGACUCAGCAAUUGAAUCGCCAAUACUUCGGGUAAAAGCCGUGCCAGGAUACAUCCCAUUGGGUACCCAUAGUCUAGGAGGAUCGCCAUCAUCCCCCUCUUCAGUGCCCCAACACUGCACAUCUGGGUUCUUCAGCCCUUCUAUCUGAUCCAAAGUGAGGACCCUCGCUCCACAAAGCUUAACUCUUUCAAGUUCAUCAGCCCGAAAUGGUGUUUGAUCAAUUGAUAAAUCAACAGCCACAAUUUCUUUCCCUUUUCUUUCUGCUAUAACAGCUCUGGAAUCCCCUGAGUUAGCAACAUAUAUAGUCCGACCACGAACCAAUACUGUUAUUGCAGUUGUGCCGCUCAUGCUAUCAUCCAAACUAUCAGCAUGUAACUGUGAAUUUGUCGUCAAGAAUGCGGCAUGGCAUGCCUCAAUUGCAUCCAUAUGGAACCUACUAUUCCUAAGCAAAUUUUCACAUAAUUUUUGCUUCACAAACUGUGAGCACUGAGCACCGAAUUCUCCAUGCCCAUCAAAAACCCCAAAAAAAUGAUCGUCAGGGUUUGUCCCUAAAGGGGUGUGGAUACAAAAACUGUCUUGGUUAGCUUUAUCAAGAGCAUCAGGAUAAUAUCCUCUCUGUGACAGAAACGAAAAUCGUAAUUCAUAGUUUCCCGAUGGAAUUUUAACAGUUCGUGACCCAUCAUGGGGUAGAAACUGAGAAGAAACCCUAGAAAGCCUAGUGAUGCCUACUUCAGAAUCCCUAGUUAAACUCAACUGAUUCAACUGAUCUCUAAUUUCCCCAUCUUCCCCAUCUGAAGAAGCAGGAGAGAACACGGGAAGCUCUGCACCUGCUCUCGCAUUUUCAGUUUCUUUAACUCUUGCAUGUCUUGGAGUACAAACCUCCCCAAUACAUGACCUCGAAUAAACACACCCCAUUACUGAGAAUAAGAAAUGGAGACAAACCCAGAUGCUAGAAUCACGCGAAAAUUCAUCAGGUUCAAGUCCAACAAUCCCUCGAAACUUAGAACAAAAAACAAAACACCGCGAACUCAAUGCCCGUCCUCUGUUUCAAGGAGAACCCAGCCCAAAUCCGAGCAUUCCAACAAGGCAAUUCCUGGGCGAUUUCCGUACAAAUUGAAGAGAAACUGCAAGAAAAAUCGAGGGAAAUGCAUGAAAAAAAAAAAACUCUAUCAGAUUUCACUCAAGACCUUAUCUUUAACACUCCCCACUGAAUCACAACCCGAUACCUAAUGAUUCAAACCAAACAAAACCCAGAAAACCCCACAAAUCAUCACAAAUAAAUUUUACAAACUUUGAUUGAACUCAUCGAAAUUUGCACAAAUACAUUCCCAAUAACAUCCUCGAUCUACCUUGUGCACGGGCAGUCACAGUAACAAAUCCAGAGCAGUCAAAAAACCCAAUCAAACAAUAAACAAUUAUUUAUCUAUAAACACAUCGACAGAAAACCCGUGGAUUUGAAAGACGCUUGAUGACGAGAAAAGUCAAUAAAAAAAGAAAAACAAAAAAAGACAGAGUUGCAGAGAGAGAACAGAGUCACGCACCCAGAUGAGAUGACGUCCGUCUUAGCCAAUCCCGAUUCAGAUAAAGGACGCCCAGUGCGUACUACGCCCCCAUCACCACCCUCCCAACAUAGAGAAAGAGAAAUAGAGGAGGGAGAGAGAGACACGUCGUGGGUUGUAGAGGCGUUUGUGACUUGGUGGUGGGUAGAGUAGCAGAGAGAGUUCAGACUUCAGAGAGUCGUUUGGAGAGACGUCUUACUCCCACCACUCCCCCUGCAUGUGUGUAGGGAGACGCCCUGUCCCCCCUCCUCCACGCGCCAUUCUCCUCUUCCUACCAUAAUCAAUCAAUCGAUUCAAACCCAGAAAAUAUUUUCAAAUAUCUCUGGAAAUCGGCAAAUGGGCCCUUUUUUUUCCAAUUAAUUUCCAAAAAAAAAAAUUAAUUUUUUUUACAAAUUUAUAGAAAAUAAAAAUAAGAAUAAAGGGUUAAGUCGUAAGUGAAAGGAAAAAGUGGAAACGAAUUAUUAGUGCCUUUGUUUUGAUAUGAUAUGAGAUAUUGAAAUGAGUACACAAAGUAGAUGUAAAGAUGAUGGCCGUCUCAAUAUAUUUUCAAAAUCAUUUUUAUUUUUAUUUAAAUUAUAUACUAAUAUUAACUUCACAAAUUGGAAUAUCUUGUCUAUUUUUUAAUAUUAAUAAUGGUGAAAUCAAAUUUGUAUUCUUUUUCAUUUAGUUCUUGAUGGUUAAGCUAGAAGCAUAUAUAUUUAAAUUCACGAUAAAAAAAAUAUAAUAUUAAAAUAAUUGUUUUCAAAAAUAAUUUUGAGAAUAGUUUUUUAAAAUAGUUUAAUUUUUAUAAAACAAAAGUGUGUUUAGAAACUUAAAAUAUUUUUAACAUCUUUUUUAUAUUUUUAAAUUUAUUUUAAAAAUAAUUUUUAUAUGUAGUAUUUCAUUUUUAAUUAUUGUACAUGUUUCUAUAAUUAUAUAUUAAAAUAGUUCUUAAAAAAUAAGAAAAAACAAAAAAAAAAUUAAAUUUUGUUUUUUAAAAAAUACCUUGUUUUUUGUUUUUAAUAAUAUAAAACAUAAAAUAAUUUUUUAUUGUCAAAUAUGUUUCUUGUUAUGAAAUACGAAAACUGUUUUAAUUGACAAUUGUUUUUCAAAAAUCGUUUUUUAUUUUUAAAAAAUGAAAAAUACAUUGACAAUUAGAAACCGUCUUUUAUUUUUUGUUUUCAAAAAUUUAAAAAAAAUGGUAUUUUCAUAUAAGAUAUUUUAAUUAUUUUUAGUUAUUUUUAUUUAUUUUUUAAAUAUUUUAAAAUAUAAUUACAAAAACAUACAUAUCAAUUAAAAAUAAGACAUCGAUAUGAAAAUUAUUACUAAAAUAUAUUUAAAAAUAUUAAAAAUAAGUUAAAAAUAUUUCAAGUUUUAUAAUAAACUUUUAUUUUAUAAAAUAUUAGAAACUAUUUUAAAAAAUUAUUUUAAAAAAUAAUUACUAAAGAUAGACUUCAUAAUUUAGAAUAUACAUAGCGUUCCAUCCAUCUAUAUCCACUGAACAUUUUUCGAGAUCAUAUAUAUAUAUAUAUAUAUAUAUAUAAUGAAAAAAAAAAUAGGAAAAAAACCUAGAACAUGAAGAGUCAUAUGAGAGCAUGGGGUUGUGAUCCAAAAAUCUCUUUACAAACAUUCAUUCUUUGAGAGUUUCAUGUAAUGAAAUGAUGUAAAAUGCAUUGAAUCCACAAACCCACAUGAAAAGUUUGAAGCCUCUACAGUCUACUCAUCCUCAUCCACCCUCCAUCCAACUUUAAAUGGUCCCUCUCAAUUGUUUGUUUGCACUGCAUUUAUGUAUUUCCUGUAUUUAUUUCAUGGAAUUGACUCAUAGCUAUAUUUCCCAUCUAAUCUUGUGUUAUAUAUAGAAAUCAAUUAUCAGACAUUAAACAAAAUUUAUAUCUAAACUAAAAAAAUUUAAUUACAUUUAACAUGUUUAUCUCGAAUUAAUUUUUUAUUUUUUAUUGAAAAUUUUACAAAAUAAUAAAGAAGUAAAAAUAAAAAUUUAUUGUAAUAACUUAUAUGCACUUAUAUUAUAUUUUUAAAAUUUCAGAUAAUAAUUUAUUUUAAUAUCUCAAAGUUUUUAAAUAAUUUUUAAAAAUUAUGGUUAAUUUCACACAAAUCUUAGAGGUUUUGUAUAAAUAUACUUAGCCACUAUUAGUUUUAAAUUUAUUUUAAUUAGCACCUCCGUAUAAAUUUAUUUUAUUUAUAAAAUUUAGUUUUUGGAGAGAUUUUAUGCAAAUAGAUUUUAAAUAGGUGUAUUUAAUGGUUCUCUUAAGUGAUUACAACAGGAGAAUACAUUUCACUCACCUCUUAUAAAAUUUGUGUUAAAUAUAUUUUAUUAAAUGACUUUCUUAUUUUAAAUCAUACAUCCAAAAAAUUUCAAAAUAACGAUGAUAGAAUGUAUUUAACCCGAAUUUUGGGAAGUACGUGAAAUUAUUAGUGUCUCGUAUUGAUAAUAGGCAAUAAUUGAGAUUUUGAAAAAAUAAAAUACAACAAUGUUAAAAAAUAUUUUUUAAAAUUCGACAUUUGAAACUAUUUCUAAAUCCAAUUUCAAGAAAUUCAAUUUUGUUUUUUUGAAGAGAUAACUUUCAAUUGAAAGGACAAUUUUUAAUAGGCAUUGUAAAAAAAAUUUAUAAAUUAAAAAGUAGUUUUUAAAAAUGUUAUAUUUUAAUAAAUAUUAUUUAUUUAUUUUUUAUUUUUUUCAAAAAACCGGCAAUAGCCAAUAGCACAUAGAAGCAACACUCCCUUGUGUCCCUUAUUUUAUAGGACUAUCCUCACAUGGAAAAGGGCAGUGUAGGACAUGUUCCAUCUGGGCACCACACAUGGGCAGUGGCAGAGACCCACCCACCCCUCCUUUCCAAAGGGGCUCGAGGGGCUUAGUGCUUAUCUCAAAACAGAAAGAAAAAAAAGGCAACAAAGCCCACACCCCAUUUUCCAGAGCGUGAGAGAAACGCCCCCAACCACAAAAAGUGGCUGAAAAACAAAAGACCAUACACAAAAUACAAAAACAUAUUGGCAAGUUGGCACAAACCCAUUUGAUGGUGGGGGUGCAAAGGAGCAAGUCACAUCACCUCUGAGAGGGGUGGCCGGG
rnacentral:lncRNA from 1 species